rnacentral:lncRNA from 1 species
CCGAGGUAGAGCUCACUUUCCUUAUCCAAAAGAACCACACAGAAAUGCCACAGGCAACGUAAACUAGGAAACCCUCAAAGCCAAAAAGAUUGCAGAUUUCCUUUCAAUCAAAACGAAAAUGCCCCUCCUUCUCUCCAAUCCUCUCACCUCGCUCUCUUCACUUCCCCCCUUUUCAUCUCCAUCUUUGGCCUUCAUUGCAACACCAGGUACCCACUUCUUUAGAUUUGUCUCGUGUUUGCAGUUUUUGCUAAUAUGGGCUGUAUCGACGGUGAAUUUUAUGAUUUCUGCUUUUCAGCACUUGUUAGUAUAAGCUUAUUUGGUUUCACUUCAUGCUCGCUUGGCCGUUUCAUCAAACACUUAUCACUUGCUUCCUAAGUUCAACCAGUUCUUGGAUGCUCGUGCUUUCUAUAUUAUUUCUAGGAAGACUGGUCUUUUCUCUGUUAUAACCACCGAUUCAAUGUGGGUUUUGCUGAAAAUUCCUAAAUAUUUGAUCUUCUCUUGGAUUUAGUAUUAAAGGCUCAUAUCUGAAUUUUGUGCUCGUGCUUUCUAUAUUAGUUACUGUGAAGUUUGUUUAUUUUGCUGCUGUGAACCAAUAAUCGAAUCUGGGCUGUGCUUAAAAUUACGAAAUAUUUCAUCUUUCACUUUAAUUUAGUCUUCAAGACCCAUAUCUGAAUUUUCAAUGACCUCAGAACCUUUCAAUUCCAGUUUAUGUGGCAAAUCUGCAAACUGCUUUGGCUUCUUCACGGUAUGCAGGUGGUGCCAGCCCAAACUAUGCUCGAGAAUGCUGACAAAGAUAUUGAUGUUGUACUCUCUCCAUAUUCUUUAACUUCAUUUGAUUUGUUAACAGAAUCAAACAAUAUCAGGAUGCCACAAACAGAUUCUUUCUCUAGAUCAUCAAUUUAGAAAAAUAAAUUAAUACAUGAUGUGUAAUUAUAGGAAACAAUCAAAAUAAUGUUAUCUGUGGCUGGCUGGUGUCUUUGCCUGUAUUUAUGUUAAUUUUCGUUGGCUAAUCUCACCUUGUAAACCUGUUGUGUGAAGAAUCUUUCAUCCAUAAGGUACCAUAUUUGAUGUUACCCUACCAAUGGUGAAAGAAGGGCCUGCCUCUAAGCUUGACAGUGGAUGGAAUAGGCUGUUUAAAAAUAAAUUAAUAUUUUAAUUUUCAAGAAAAUUGGAGUACAAAAAAGAAAACUUGAACUUUCUGUUCGAAUGUAAUAUUUCUCUUUCUAGAAAUUUUUAAAAGUAGUUUUUUAAAUUUGUGUUGAAUUUGAAAAAUACUUUUAAGAGGUACUCCAUAGUUUUUAAAUACAAGGUUUUUUUCUUUCUAUUUUUUACUUUAAGAAAAAAACAUGAACAAUAUAAUUUUUUAACAAUGUAAAAGAUUAAUUUAUUUCUUAUAUAUAUUUAGUAUUUAGUUCUUGAGAGCAUAAAAAAAAUGUUUAAUGUGUCUUAGAAAAUAUUUUUCAAAAAUGAUUUUAGUAUCAUUUCUACGCCAACUUUUAAAAAUAAAUUUUAUUAAGAGGUUAUCUAUAUUUAUGAAUGGAUAAUAAAAUUACUAUCAAAAUUCAGUAUUGAAUAUGUAUACAUAUAUAUAAUUAUUUUUAGAUUAACUUUUAAGGAUAAAUAUAAUUUUUAUGAUGAAUCCUGGCUGGAAAAAAUUCUGGCUGCAGGAAAAAACAAUUAACAGAUUCAGCCAAAUGGGUCUACCUGGGCCAAAUGAGCUUCCUUUCUGUGGAAUAUUUCAAUUCUUUUUUUGGGAAUUAUUACAUGAUAUUAUCAAACCCACAUUCUCCUCCUAGGUAUGUAUUUGCUGCGGCUGCUGGUCUUCUUCUACUGGUUGGCGGUGAUGGAGGCAGAACCAGCUGCGGAAUGUUGAAAACAUUUUCUUUAAGCUCUCAAGAACUAACAGAGGCUACCAAUUUCAGGACUCAAUCUUGAUUAUAAUAAUCAGAGGAAGGGUCCCACAAUUACGGCACACACCACGAUGUAGUUUAUUGGAUGACGUGGGAGUGAUGUCAUGAACCAAGACGUGACUCGGUGCUGACUCGGACUUGCUUUUUUGAAAACUAAAUUUGGAGGGAAAAAGCGAAGAGAAAGCGGGGAUGUCUGUGGGCUUGAGAGAGAGAGAGAGAGAGAGAGAGAGAGAGAGAGAAAGGAGAGCCAAAGAAGAAGAGAAAGAGAGCAAGCGAAGCAGAGGAGAAAGAGCCGCGUCUGGUCAGAUUCAAGUUUCAACAACCCUUUCCGUUUUUGAGGCUUCUUUUGAAAGAAAGGCAUCCAUCCAUGUUUCCCCUGCCCUUGGGCUGGCGCGUUCUUGACAUUUUUUCUUUAUUAUUAAUAUGAAUAUUUUAAUUAAUUUACGUAUAUUUUAAUUAAUUUUAUAAAUUUUAAAAUUAAUAAUUAUAUAAACCUUUAAUAAUGGUAAAAUUUAUAUGCGUUCUAGGUAACUUGGACAUCUGGAUAGUAGAUAUAUUUUGUACGGAUAAAUAACUAUAUAAUUAUUAUUUUAUUUUAUUUCGUGAUAGAAGUCACCAUCAAUGUUGUUAAAAUCAUGAUUUUGAUAUGGCACGGAACAUACAAACCAAACUCGGAUCGUAAAAUUAUAAGGAAUUUUAAAAUACAUUAAAAAAAUUUAUGUUUCAAAUAAAAAUUUAUGGGUGAAUAAUAGUUAUCCUACACCUUUUAAUUUUUGUUACUUUAUAAAGUUUAAUAGCAUGGUUUUUCUGUAAAAUUAUUAUUUUUAAUUUUAUAAGAAAAAAUAAACUAUAAAAAAGUCAAGUUUAAUUAAAAAAAAAACACCCCACUAAAUUUAUAAACAAGAAUAACCUGAGUUAUUUGACAAACUAGCAAAUCACGCUAGCUUAAUAGAAAAAAAAAUACAAAUUUAACUUUCCAACAAUAUUAAUAUUAAAAAAAACAAAAGUAAUUUAAAAAAAAAAAGAAAAAAAACCUAUUUUUCAACUAAAAACAGAAAACUCAACGUGGAAAGUAGCAAUCCAUGUGAGAAGAAAGAACCACGGUUACCAAGUCAAGAAGAAAGAGCGCAGAAAGUUCAUUCAAGGUAAAAAAGAAACUAAUACAAAGGACAACAAACCUGACUUUUCCAGAAAUUAUUUACUUUUUCAUUUAAAGUUAGCCUUUACGUGGCUUUAUUCAAGCCUGCCACGCAAGGAAAGUAGGAAAGCAUGAAACUUUUACCCUAGUACGGAAAAAAGCAUUUUCCGCAUAAAAUUAUUAAAUCGCGGUGAAAUCAUGAUUUUAUAUGAUUUUAUUUGAUUUUAAUGAUUUUAUCCGAUUCUGACUUGAUUUUAUUCAUUUUCAAAUUUUACAAGCAAUUUAGUACAUAAAGUCUAUAAUAAUUCGUAAAAAUAUAUGAUUUUACAAGUUAAAUCGCAAUUUUAACAACCUUAAUCACCAUAACAAUGUACCUGAUUAAAGUAAAGGUGGAUGUAUUUUUUAGAUUUUGUUUACUGAAUUUUGUUAUUUUUUAAAAUAGAACAUCUUCGAUUUUCAGGACUGGGUAACCUCUGUUAGCUUUUUAUGCAAAGUUCUUGAAUGCGCUGCUGAGUUACUGGUUGAUAGUUAGCCGCGGCCUCCCUAGGUUUUUUCUAACGUAAAAAAUAUGUUAUCACUAAAAAAUAGUUAGCCGCGGUCCAUUGCUUAGGAGUUAGGUCCCUCCAUCAUCAUGAUUCUGUAAGAUUUUUCCAUUGAUUUCUAAGAACCAAACAAACCAAGACUCUACACACGUUGUCCACUAAAAGCUACUUUAAUUCAGACCUUUUAAAAAAAUUGAACAGAUCUGAAUGGAAUGGAGGUCCAAUUGAAUGACACUAUCUUCAAAGUGAACUGCAGGUUCCACAAAGGAACGUAUGCUGGAAGCAAACGGGGUUGACUAUAAGAAACGAAGAGUGAAAGAGUCAUUUGCUAGUUUGAUCAACAGAUUCCGUUGAUCAAAAUCUGUUGCCUUCGAUGGACUUUCUUCUCUUUUCCAGAUUGGUGGAGUGUGCUCAGGCGAUUGAAGGUGGUAACUUGGAUGUUGCAGAUUCACUUUUGGCAGAAAUUCAAUCUCUAGCUCCUAAAGAAGAGAGCACAUGGAAGAGGAAAGUUGUCAAAUACUUUGCUGAGGCUCUUGUCCGGCGAGCCUAUGGAAUUCGUCCUCCAUUUCCUUUACCCUCGCUACCUUUUCUAUACGAACCAGAGGCAACUUUAUACAAGUUUUCUAAAAUCGCCAGUAAACAUGCCAUUGCCGAUGCCUUGAAUUCGGGAUAUAAACGACUCCACAUUAUUGACUUCUCCAUCGUGUUCGAUUCUUGGCAGUGGAAGUCCUUAAUUGGUGACCUCGAAAGGCAGUAUGGUGGCCUACAAUCAGUCCUGAUAACCAGUAUCACACCGAAACUGUCAAAACACUCUGACUAUCUCCGUGAAAACCGGGAAUGGGCUAAGGGCAGAAAUUGGGAAUUGAGGCAAUUGAUAUGCAAUAGUCCGGAUGAUAUUGUCAAUUGUAUUUCCAAACUCAGAAGGAAAAGGAAGGAUGAGAUGGUGGUUGUGAAUUGGAAUUUUAUACUCCACAAAUUGCUUGCACAAGACGGGGCAAUGGAGCAAGUGCUUUCAAAAGUGAAGGAUUUGGGAGCGGACAUCAUGGUAAUUGUUGAGCAAGAAGCCAAUCUUAACAGUCCUGAUCUUUCGGAGAGGAUCGAACAAUCAUUCCAAUACUACUGCACUACUUUUGAGUCACGGCAGACACCGUCUCAGACCCCUGUGUUACGGGAGAUGUAUUUCAGGCGACAGAUUGGGAAUGUGUUGGCAUGUGAGGGCGUUGACCGGGUCGAGCGGAUUGAGUCAUUUGCUCAAUGGCAAAAUCGCCCAUCUCUGGCUGGGUUCUGUCCAGUUCCCCAAAAGGCAGACGAGUUUAAGGAAGAUUUUCAACACUGUUUAGAAGAGGAAUAUGGUGAAGACUAUUUAGAAGCAUAUGGAAUCGAAGAGAAGGAAGGGCAUAAUAUCCUUCUAAGUUGGCACGGUUUUCCGCUGGCUGUAGCCUCAGUUUGGAAGGUCACUGAUCCACCUCAAUUCAGUGGCGGUGAAUAAUCCAAUUCCAUCCUUUCCCUUCUCUUCUCUUGUUAUACUAAUUAUCAAGCAAUAAAUUCGUUGUGUGUAUUUUCACUUUAGGCUACUGGAAAAACUUGUUGACAGGUCGUUACACAAUGCAAGAUACAGUUGAUGACUCAGAAGGGAUGGCGAGCUCCUCUGAGUCUGAGGAUGAUGAAGAAAAUGAAUCUCUAGUUUGCAGAAUGGCAGAUAGAAACUUGUGGUCCACGCAGGUAUCGCUCUUUGUUUCCGAGAUUUAACAAAUUUGCUAGUUUUAUCUUUAUGGCAUGGGGAGAUUGCAACAACUUCAAAUUCGUUAGACAUAAAUUAGAAACUUACAAUAUAAUUCUGCUUUGAUAAAAGGUUAAAAAAGUCAAUAUAAUUCUGCUUGUGAUUUGCUUUUUUAUCUUUGUGCGAUUAUUGGUGUCGUUGAUCUCACAGGGCUCUUCAAUGAAUCGAAUAGCUGCUUCAGCAAAGCUAUAUGACAUAUUGGAAUACAUAUGUCAUCUACAUAGGUUACCACUGGCUGUGACAUGGAUUUUCUGUAACAGAGGAGGGAAUACUGAUUCAAAGGGAAAACGUAUUCUAUGUAUUGAUGAUAGCGCUCGCUAUGUAAAUCAUUGGCAAAUGGAUGCCUUUGUGGAUCAAUAUGCACGACGUCGUCUCGAGAAAGGACAAGGUAUCGCCGGAAAAGCACUUCAAUCUAAUAUUCAUAUCGAGCAACACAUUUCCGUGCUUCAUCGAGAUGAAUUCCUUUAUGAAGAUUACGGACCUAGCUGGUGCCCCGAAGCCUAUCAUGCUGCUUUUGCUAUAAGGCUAACAAGUACCCACCCUUGCAUGGAUGAUUGCGUAUUGGAAUUUCUUCUCCCUAGAUUCAGAAUGAAAGAUACUUCAGAACUAGUACUUUUGAUAAAUGAGGUCUUGCGUACAUUGCAGAGGAAAUGUUUAAAGAUGUGGGAAGUUAGUGUCAGAGAAGUAAAUGAGGCGAGCGGCUCUGAAGUUAGAUUGGAUGAUGAAAGAAUGCCAAACAUCCCACAUGAAGAUGGUGUUUUAGAAGGAAACGAAUUCAUGACAGUGAACCCAACCAGCAAUCAAGCAGAAGAAACACGCGAGCCUCUUGAACAGGUGCUCUUCUAUACUGAAUUCAUGUCAUUUUUCUCUUGAAGAAUGAGUUUUAAUUUAGAAGAUUAGUUUUUUAUUAUUUUGAUAAAUUUAAAAUAAAAUAAAAUAUUAAUAAAUUAUUUUACGGUUUUUUUAUGAUACAGCUAAAUAUUAAAAAAUAUUUUUCAAUUUAUUUUUUAUAAUACUAUAAAAUAUUUGAAAAUAAUUUUUUAAAAAAAAAUUCAUUUUUUUUUUUAAAAAACUUAUAUUUCAGCGAACAAACAAGCCUACGCGUUGUUUGCUAAAUCAUCUGCCUUGUCACAAAAAAGACUCUCUGUUUUGGAUGGACACCCAUCAUGUGUCCAAUGACAGCCUUCUAUGUGGCAGAUUUCCUUCCGCAGAUUGCGCAAGGGGUGGAAUAAUUAUUUUUCAGUAGAUAAAUUACAUUUGAUAAUUCGAAUAUAAUAAAAUCCAUUUUGCCUCUGUUUAGCUUGCAUGUUCAACUAUUGAAGAAGACACAAUCUGCCAAAUUAUUGACUGGAAUUGGCCUUCAUGUUGCCAAUAUCCUACUUCCCUAUCUCUUGACAGGACGUCCAAGAACAAUCUGCUAUACCUGCAAUGAUGAUUAAGCAUGGAUAUCCCUUGACUAUGGUUCAACUUGAGUUUUUUGUGAAGAAUUUUCAGCCAGUGUUUAAACUUUAUUCAAAAGACGUCGUUGAAGCUGAUGUCCUUGCUAUUUGCAGACAAGAGAAGGAGAAACUCAUCAAUUUUUUUGAUAAGCUCUCUUGUCUCUUGAGUUUAACACUUGAAUUGUGGUCAUCUACUGACAAAAUGAAGACCUACUGCUGCUUCACCGUGCACUUCUGUCACGACCCGAAUCCCGGGUCCAUGACCGGCAACGCAGGAGCGGUGGCGGAAGGACACCCCUCCCGCGCUAAGCCUCAUAACGGACAUAUCAAAAGAAUAAUUUAUUCAAAAAUACGCAGCAUUUCAUAAUCUUCAGAAAUAUUAUAUCCUUCAAAACUGAUGAAACCAGAAGAUAGUUUAAAACUCCUCAUCAGUAAUUAAAACAAAAACAAUAAUCCAUAAUACUCAUUACAUUGUCAAAAAUCCAAACUUAAUCAAAACAAAGUAAUAGUGGAGCGCCUAAGACAUCGAAUCAAACAGCCUUGAAAGAUAAGCAAGGCAUACCGACUCAAAACUGAAGAAGCAGGAACACUCAACAAGGUUCACCUGCUAUCAGAAACUAAGAACCUGAAAUAAUAUUAAGAAUGAGGGGUGAGUUCAACCAACUCAGUGAGGGAAUAAUAAUUAAUAUACAUUUUAGAUAUUCUUGAUAUUUAUAGUUCGCAAGAUCAUUUAUCUUGAUAUACAUAUACAUAUACAUACUAAACUUAUCAUAUACAUAUCAUAUACAUACUAAACGUAUCAUCAUAACGUAGUGGACUAUAUGUCAGAGAUCAGAUGACACCCGAAGGUGACCAGACCAGAUGACACCCGAAGGUGACCACUGUGGGAUGAUCAGUCGCCACAGGCUGAUGCCUCUCUCACCAGCUAGGUAUACAUACAGAAUACUAUGUGCACAUAGGCUAACUACUCUCCGUUAGCAUGGAGUUACUGACAAGUCCCAUAUCAAGGCAUAAUAGAUAUUCACAUAAUCAUCAAAGAAACGUAUAUCAUAUCAAAUAGAAUUUACUUUGACAGAUUGCGAGUGCAAAUUCAAGAAUAAAUGAGUACUCGGAAAAUAAGCAACAUAUAUAAUUAUUCAAGAAAUUAACGAGUUGUACUCAUUGUAUAAUCAACAUACAUAUUUACUUAUCAUAUAUGCAUAUUAAAGAUUAUUCCACUCACCCGGAAAAUAUAGAACUAAAGGAAUGUCAGACGAAAGACCCGAAAAUCCUAUUGAGGAUUGUUAGGAGAACCUACAACAAUAUGAAAAUAUACUCAAAAGCAACUCAACAAGAGAUCCCAAUGCAUAAAAUAAAACCAGGUUUAUUCUCCUAAGUUUAUGGACUAAAACGACAAUUUUCCAAAACAGGGACCAAAACGUAAUUUUACCAAAAUUGGACCAAUCUGGAAAAUACAUAACCAUACUGAAUUUUCACCCAUAAACCAUCCUUAAUUCUGUCUAGAACGAACCAGGGACCGAUCUGAAAUUUUCAUAAAAUUCAGGGACUAAAAUGUAAAUUCCCGAAAUUGAGGGACCAAACUGAAAAUAUUCAAAAUCAAUUAUCAAACUGCGAUUCAUCAUCCUUAACCUCAUAAUAACACUGUCCAGAAUCUCAAAUACAAUUAGGGGUCAAAUUAUAAUUUUCCCAAAGUUUAGGGACUAAACUGAAAUUUCACAAAUUGAGGGACCAAAUUGAAUUUUCGUUAUCUUCAACCUCAAACCCAGAAUUUUACAGAUUACCUACUGUCAUCUCCUGAUUUCUAACACAAUUUCAAAAAUCAUAACUCAAAAUCAUCAUCUUUACCCUCAAUCUCUCACAAUCAACUAAUUAACCAAUUACCCACAACAAUCAACCCAUAACCUUCCAAUUAAUUCAUCAAUCAAACUCAAAACACAAUAUUCAAAACCCUAACAUUUAUCAAAACAGAAAUUAAGGCUUAAAGAACACACAUUUAUACAUAAUCUUACCUUUAAACUUAUUUCCUCCAACUCCUUUCCUUUUUCCCUUAUUUUCCCCUCUUUUCUCUUCUUCUUCUUUCUCCCUUCUCUCUCACGGUUUGCUCUCUCAAAUAUUCAGAUAUCUUUUUUUUUUUUUUCUCUUUAUACUUAUCAUCUCUUUAUACAAUUACUCCAAUACCCUUCAUUUAAUUAUACCAAUUUUUAGCCUUCAAGGGCUUUAUUGCCUUUUACCUACUCAUUAAAUUUCAAAACAUCACAAUCUCCCCACCUUAUAAAAGUUUCGUCCUCGAAACUUAAACUUUAAGAAAAAGUCUUACCAUCAAGUUCAAACAAGAAUGGAUACUUGUUGAGCAUUUCCUCCUCAAGCUCCCAGGUCGCUUCUUCACGUGGGUGUCCGCUCCACACAACCUUAACUGAUGUGAUAUCUUUCGACCGAAGUUUUCUAACUUGUCGAUCCACUAUUUUUAUUGGUUGAACUUCAUAUGUCAUAUCUUUCCUCAGCUCAAUCGGUUGAACUUCUAGCACAUGAGAUGGAUCAGACAAAUACUUCCUCAACAUCGAAACAUGGAACACCGGAUGUAUAGAGGAGAGAUUAGGUGGCAAGGCAAGCCGAUAUGCCACUACCCCUACUCUUUCCAAGAUCUCAAAGGGCCCUAUAAACUUAGGACUCAACUUUCCUUUCUUCCCAAACCUGAAUAUCCCUUUAGUCGGGGAGACUUUUAGGAACACGUUGUCACCCACUGAAAAUUCUAGAUUACGCCUUCUCUUAUCUGCAUAAUUCUUUUGCCUACUCUGAGCUGUUAGAAGCUUAUCUCGGAUCACCUUAAUCUUAUCCGAAGUAAUCUGUAUUAACUCGGGACCCAUUAAUCUCCUCUCACCAACCUCAUACCAACAUACAGGUGAUCUACACUUCCGGCCAUACAAGGCCUCAUAUGGGGCCAUAUCAAUGCUCGCUUGAUAACUAUUAUUAUAUGCAAACUCCACCAAAGAUAAGUACUUGCUCCAUCCGACACCAAAGUCAAUCACACAAGCUCUUAACAUAUCCUCCAAAAUUUGUAUAGUCCUCUCAGAUUGUCCAUCUGUCUGAGGAUGAAAGGCAAUACUUAACUGAAUGUUAGUCCCCAAAGCUUCCUGAAACUUCACCCAAAACCGAGAAGUGAAUUGUGGACCUCUGUCGGACACAAUUGAGAUCGGUACACCAUGCAACCUUACGAUCUCGUUAACAUAGAUUUCUGCCAGUUUUGCAAACCCAUAUGUCACCUUUACUGGCAAGAAAUGAGCUGACUUGGUUAAACGAUCAACUAUUACCCAAACCAAAUCAUAACCCUCUUGACUCCGAGGCAAACCUGACACAAAAUCCAUAGUGAUCCUCUCCCAUUUCCAUUCAGGAAUUAACAAUGGCUGCAAAAGCCCUGGUGGUUUCUGAUGCUCACCUUUAACCUUCUGACAGGUCAAGCAUCGAGAUACAAAUUCAGCAAUGUCCCUCUUCAUACCAUUCCACCAAUAACACUCUUUCAAGUCUCUAUACAUCUUGUUAGAACCAGGAUGUAUAGUAUAGGCAGUUUGAUGUGCUUCCGUCAUCACAUCUCUUUUCAAAUCAUCCACCUCAGACACACAUAACCUGGAACCAAAUCUCAACACACCAUCUUCAUGGAUAACAAAACCCGGAGCUCUCCCUAACUCCAACUCAUCUCGAAUCUUGCAAAGUCGCUCAUCCUUCAUUUGAGCUCCUUUAAUCCGGUCUACCAAGUCUGACUUAGCCUGGAAGUGAGCCAACAAUGCUCCCGAUUCACAAAUCUCAAAACUGACCCUCUCAUCCAACAAUCCGUGUAACUCUUUAAUCAAGGGUCUCCUCACCUCCUGAAUAUGAGCCAAACUACCCAUAGAUUUUCUGCUUAAGGCAUCGGCAACAACAUUUGCCUUGCCCGGGUGAUACUGAAUCGUGCAAUCAUAAUCACUUAAUAGUUCCAUCCACAUUCUUUGUCUCAAAUUCAGAUCCUUCUGCUGGAAGAUAUAUUGAAGACUCUUAUGAUCUGAAAAUAUCUCACAUGUCUCCCCAUACAAGUAGUGUCUCCAAAUCUUAAGGGCAAACACUACCGCAGCCAUCUCCAAAUCAUGUGUGGGGUAAUUUUGCUCGUGCUUCUUCAACUUUCUCGAGGCAUAAGCAAUCACAUUACCAUUCUGCAUCAAAACACAACCCAAACCAAUCCUGGAUGCAUCACAGUACACGGUAAAACCACCAGACCCUGAAGGUACUGUCAAAAUUGGAGCCGUAAUUAACCUUUCCUUCAACUCCAGGAAACUCUUCUCACAUUCUUCUGACCAUUGAAACUUGACACUUUUCUGUGUCAACUUCGUCAAUGGAGCAGCGAUUCGGGAAAAAUUCUCCAUGAAUCUCCUGUAGUAUCUUGCUAAACCCAGGAAACUCCUAAUCUCAGAUACUGUAACUGGUCUAGGCCACUGCUUAACUGCCUCCACUUUCUGUGGAUCAACCUCUAUCCCAUUUUUGGACACCACAUGUCCCAAAAACCCAACACUCUCUAACCAAAACUCACUCUUCGAGAACUUUCCAUACAACUGAUGAUCUCUUAGAGUUUGAAGCACCAAUCUCAAAUGCUCUUCAUGUUCCUCUUUACUUCUCGAAUACACCAAGAUGUCAUCAAUGAACACAAUAACAAACUUAUCAAUAAACGGCCUAAAAACCAUGUUCAUCAUGUCCAUAAAAGCUGCAGGUGCAUUCGUUAACCCAAAAGACAACACUAGGAACUUGUAAUGCCCAUAACGAGUCCUAAAGGCAGUUUUAGGAAUAUCCUCAUUUCUAAUCCUCAACUGGUGAUACCCCGAUCGCAAAUCAAUCUUUGAGAAACAUUGAGCUCCUUGUAAUUGAUCAAAAAGAUCAUCAAUGCGAGGAAGUGGGUAUCUAUUCUUAACAGUGACCUUGUUCAACUGUCUAUAGUCUAUACACAUCCUCAUUGAUCCAUCCUUCUUCUUUACAAAUAAAACAGGUGCUCCCCACGGAGACACACUUGGACGAAUAAACCCCUUAUCUAACAAAUCUUGAAUCUGCUCCUUCAACUCUUUUAAUUCUGCUGGCGCCAUCCUGUACGGUGCCAUAGAGAUUGGUUUUGUUCCUGAAACUAGAUCAAUACAGAAUUCGAUUUCCCUAUUGGGAGGUAGUCCAGGUAAGUCAUCGGGAAAAACAUCGAUGAAUUCCUUAACUAUCGAAACUUGUUCCAUCCUCGGGACCUCCAUGUUCAUAUCAUGCACAUAAGCCAAAAACCCUUGCAUACCUUUUCGUACCAUCCUUCUCGUGAUGGCCGAGAGAAUACUAGAUGGAGAUGAUAACCCAUCUCCAUGAAAAGCAAACUCCGUCUUCUCAUCAGGCUUGAAAAUCACUGUCUUAUUCCAACAAUCAACUGAGGCAUGGUGCCUUGAUAACCAAUCCAUACCUAGUAUCACAUCAAAACCUACUAUGUCUAAAAUUACCAAAUCGCCUAAUAGGUUUCUACCUUGCACUUGAAUCUCACAAUCAACAUAAACAUAUUCCCCAAACAUAACCUCAUCCGAAGGGAUAGCUACACACAAAGGACUCUCUAACAAAAUGGAUUGUUUAGUAAACCUUAAAGCAAAAUAUGACGACACGAAAGAAUGAGUUGCCCCCGUGUCAAAUAACACUCUAGCCUCGAAGGAACAUAACAUAACUAUAAAGGAGUUUUAAGGAGGACACACCAAACCCUAGAUUGGAGAAUUGUAAGAGGAACGACAUCAAGACAAGAUAGAUCCUAAGCUCCACAUAUUACGAGGGUUUUGAAAAAUAAAAAAAAUGACUAAAAUAGAUUACGAGGUUUUAAUAAAAACCGGGCUCUGAUACCACCUUUGUCACGACCCGAAUCCCGGGUCCAUGACCGGCAACGCAGGAGCGGUGGCGGAAGGACACCCCUCCCGCGCUAAGCCUCAUAACGGACAUAUCAAAAGAAUAAUUUAUUCAAAAAUACGCAGCAUUUCAUAAUCUUCAGAAAUAUUAUAUCCUUCAAAACUGAUGAAACCAGAAGAUAGUUUAAAACUCCUCAUCAGUAAUUAAAACAAAAACAAUAAUCCAUAAUACUCAUUACAUUGUCAAAAAUCCAAACUUAAUCAAAACAAAGUAAUAGUGGAGCGCCUAAGACAUCGAAUCAAACAGCCUUGAAAGAUAAGCAAGGCAUACCGACUCAAAACUGAAGAAGCAGGAACACUCAACAAGGUUCACCUGCUAUCAGAAACUAAGAACCUGAAAUAAUAUUAAGAAUGAGGGGUGAGUUCAACCAACUCAGUGAGGGAAUAAUAAUUAAUAUACAUUUUAGAUAUUCUUGAUAUUUAUAGUUCGCAAGAUCAUUUAUCUUGAUAUACAUAUACAUAUACAUACUAAACUUAUCAUAUACAUAUCAUAUACAUACUAAACGUAUCAUCAUAACGUAGUGGACUAUAUGUCAGAGAUCAGAUGACACCCGAAGGUGACCAGACCAGAUGACACCCGAAGGUGACCACUGUGGGAUGAUCAGUCGCCACAGGCUGAUGCCUCUCUCACCAGCUAGGUAUACAUACAGAAUACUAUGUGCACAUAGGCUAACUACUCUCCGUUAGCAUGGAGUUACUGACAAGUCCCAUAUCAAGGCAUAAUAGAUAUUCACAUAAUCAUCAAAGAAACGUAUAUCAUAUCAAAUAGAAUUUACUUUGACAGAUUGCGAGUGCAAAUUCAAGAAUAAAUGAGUACUCGGAAAAUAAGCAACAUAUAUAAUUAUUCAAGAAAUUAACGAGUUGUACUCAUUGUAUAAUCAACAUACAUAUUUACUUAUCAUAUAUGCAUAUUAAAGAUUAUUCCACUCACCCGGAAAAUAUAGAACUAAAGGAAUGUCAGACGAAAGACCCGAAAAUCCUAUUGAGGAUUGUUAGGAGAACCUACAACAAUAUGAAAAUAUACUCAAAAGCAACUCAACAAGAGAUCCCAAUGCAUAAAAUAAAACCAGGUUUAUUCUCCUAAGUUUAUGGACUAAAACGACAAUUUUCCAAAACAGGGACCAAAACGUAAUUUUACCAAAAUUGGACCAAUCUGGAAAAUACAUAACCAUACUGAAUUUUCACCCAUAAACCAUCCUUAAUUCUGUCUAGAACGAACCAGGGACCGAUCUGAAAUUUUCAUAAAAUUCAGGGACUAAAAUGUAAAUUCCCGAAAUUGAGGGACCAAACUGAAAAUAUUCAAAAUCAAUUAUCAAACUGCGAUUCAUCAUCCUUAACCUCAUAAUAACACUGUCCAGAAUCUCAAAUACAAUUAGGGGUCAAAUUAUAAUUUUCCCAAAGUUUAGGGACUAAACUGAAAUUUCACAAAUUGAGGGACCAAAUUGAAUUUUCGUUAUCUUCAACCUCAAACCCAGAAUUUUACAGAUUACCUACUGUCAUCUCCUGAUUUCUAACACAAUUUCAAAAAUCAUAACUCAAAAUCAUCAUCUUUACCCUCAAUCUCUCACAAUCAACUAAUUAACCAAUUACCCACAACAAUCAACCCAUAACCUUCCAAUUAAUUCAUCAAUCAAACUCAAAACACAAUAUUCAAAACCCUAACAUUUAUCAAAACAGAAAUUAAGGCUUAAAGAACACACAUUUAUACAUAAUCUUACCUUUAAACUUAUUUCCUCCAACUCCUUUCCUUUUUCCCUUAUUUUCCCCUCUUUUCUCUUCUUCUUCUUUCUCCCUUCUCUCUCACGGUUUGCUCUCUCAAAUAUUCAGAUAUCUUUUUUUUUUUUUUUCUCUUUAUACUUAUCAUCUCUUUAUACAAUUACUCCAAUACCCUUCAUUUAAUUAUACCAAUUUUUAGCCUUCAAGGGCUUUAUUGCCUUUUACCUACUCAUUAAAUUUCAAAACAUCACAACUUCAUUGACGAUGGAUGGCAGCUGAAGAAGAAGAUUCUUGCUUUCAGGAACUUACGGUACAACUAUGACAUGGGGACUGUACAUGAAGUCUUUAAAAGUGUGCUUGCAGAGUGGAGCAUCAACAAGAACGUUCGCUUCAUAUUCCUGGAUAUAACUCCUCCAAACGAUCACAUGAUUGGAGAAUUAAGAAGUAAGGUUUCUGAUCAAGCCCCACCUAUCCAUGGACAUCUUUUCUGUGUUCCUAGUUAUGCCCACAUUCUCAGUCUCCUUGUUCAAGAUGGAUUUUCUGAGAUAAGGAGUGUGCUUUAUAAGAUAAGAGAAUGUAUAGAGUACGUCAAAGGAAGCUCACUUGUAAGGCAGAGGUUCCAGGAGGCAAUUAAUAAUGGGAGUUUGCAGGACAGGGAAAUGCCUACUCUAGAUGUUGCCGCGAGAUGGGACACCACCUUUCUUAUGCUGGAGAGUUCAUUGGAAUUUAGAACAGCUUUUAAUCACCUUGAGCAAUUGGAUGAUGAUUUCAAAGUGAAUCCAUCUGCAGAAGAAUGGAACAAAGCAACAGCCGUAUUUGAGUGCUUGAAAGAGUUCUACAAUUCAACAUGCAAUUUUCCAACAAGCAGAGAUGAUUAUUUCCUCAGUGUUCGUGAUGUUUAUAAGAACUUGCAAGGCUGGAAACAGAGCGAUUAUGUAUAUGUUCGCGCUAUGGCAAAUAGAAUGAAGGGAAAAUUUGACGAGUAUUGGGGAGAAGCUAGCUUGGCUUUGGGAAUCUCAGCAGUUCUUGACCCCAGCUUUAAAUUGGACAUUAUUGAGUAUGGCUACCGGCAGAUAUACGGCAGUGAUGCUGACUUGCACUUAUCCAGAUUCCGUUACGAUCUUACAUGUGCAUACCAUAAAUAUGCAAAGGACAUCAGCAAUCAGGGACCAUCUUCUUCUGCCAUGGCUGAAGUGGGUCGUUGUACAUCAUCUGAUAUUAGUUUCAAAGAGUGGCGCAAGGGUAAGUAUGAACGCAACAUGGUGCCCUCACAAUGGAAUGAGCUUGAUCAGUAUCUACAACUGCCCCCGGAGAACUUGGAUAAGGAUGGUAACGUAUUAGCUUGGUGGCAAGACAAUGCUCCAAAUUUUCCAAUACUGGGAAAAAUGGCUCGUGAUUUCUUAGCAAUUCCAGUAUCAACUGUCAUUUCCAAGUCAUCAGAGGUUAUGAAGAUGGCAUCAGUCCAUGACGGUGUUCGUCCUGAGAUAGCCGAGGCUUUGAUAUGUGGAAAGGAUUGGUUGGACAGCCCUAACUGCAAGUUUUCCUUUUUCUUUUUGAUCUAUUUAAGUGUGAUGCGUUUAUAUCUCUGCUAUCUGUUUAUUUAUUUCUUCUUCUUCUUUUCUUCAGCAAUUGAUCCAUGUUUGGAUCCUCACUGGUAGUUGCUAGUACUGUGAAAUAAGUUUUUCCCAGGUAAACACUGGCCUUCUCUUUUAUUUCCAAGAACAAGAUUUUGUCUGCAGAGUGAAAAAUCAAAAUGCGCAUAUAAUCUGCAGUCUGCAUGAACAUUAAAACUAGGCUGGAAAGUAAUUCUCAAAUGAAAACAAAUAACAAGUUACAUUAUUUUUCUGUGCCGCAGGGUCAACCAGGCUGAGCAAAUCUGACUUGGAUGCUGUAGAAGAAUAGUACUGGACACAAGAACCUGAAGUGACGAAGACUUAUUUUUUGCUUAAUUUUAUCAUGAAUUUGAAAAUAAAAAAAAUCUUGAUGUAAAAAAUGAUUUGAAACUACUUUUUUAAUGCGUUUUAAAAAUAUAUCUGUAUCUCCUCGAAAAAACAUGAAAUUAAUGUUUUCUAGUGUUAUUUGAUGGUUUUAAUAUUCCAUGUCAAAAAUAAAAAAUAUAUAUAUAAAAAAAUUAUUUUUAACAUUAAUCCAUUAAAUACAAUCUAAUUAAUUUAGUUUUAUAAAUAUGACCAUGACCUAGACAGUUGCCUGCGUACUUUAGUAAACAAUUCAGGUAAUUUUGGCCCAUUGAAAAGCCCAUUUAAAAAACAUUAUAUGACUAUGCUUAAAAAACACUAGGCCUCGAUCAACUAUCACUUAAAACAAGCUAUCAAGCCUGGAUCAAACUUUAAAAUAAAGUAUUUUGUAUUUUAAGGUGUUGAUUAAAAUUUCUCAUUCCUUGCAAAUAUUUAUUUGCAUUCACCAAAAUAAUUAAUAUGUGAGAAACAAAUUUAGGUAGCAUCAUGCAUGAAUUCCCUUCAUUUCACACCAGCAAAAUUAUGUUUGCAUUAUUUCAGCUAUGAUUAUGUUAAUCAUAUUUACAUUAAUCUUUUUAAUUUUCUUUGUACCUAUUUUUUUUAAAAGAAAAAAUCACAGUUUCCAUAAAAAUAAUAAUUAUAACGAUUGUUUGAAUUAAAUGAAUAACAAAUUAUAUUAUUGUAAAUUAAUCUUUCAGCCCUUACUAAAUAAAAUAAAACUAUUCACAUUAAAUGUCUUAUGAUAGUCACUAAUUUAUUUUAAAGAUUCAUUAAUUAGAACAUAUAUUUGAAUAUAAAUAACAUUAUUCAAAACUAACAACGUAAAUAAGAUUUAUAAUUUGAAUAAUAGAAGAAGAAAGAUGCAGAAAUUAAAAGGUUAAAUUAUUCAAAAUCAUUUUAAAUUCUUGGUCAAUACUUUACCAAAUCCAAACCAUGUCCGGUCAUGUUCCUUCCAAAUCCCUAAACUCUGUUAGUCAAUAGUUUACCAGAACUGUAUAUGGACAUCUGUAUUCGGAAGAAUUAAUGGAAGUAGGGAUAUUAACGAGGUGCAUGCCUAGGAGGGCGCUGAAGGAGAGGCCUCGAAUCAUAGAUUGGGCAAUGAAUUCCAUCCAGCUCUAAUGGCUAUGCUCUUAGUACUGCUUACAAGCUUCCACAGCUUAGCAGUGAAGUCGAAUAAAAAUCACUAAUAUACAUAAACUGAGGUCAUUAUACUUUUCCUUUGUUUUCUAGAUGACUCGGUUGCCACUGAGAAUUGGGUAUAAAAAUGACUCUCAAAUGCUAUUUCCAGAGAUUUCUUAUGUGUCUCGAGGCUAUCUUAAAUCUGCAAAUCACCCUGUUGUUUUGUAACUAUUAUUACAACACUUUGUGGAUCAACUCGAGUCUUGUCACAAGUCGUGUUUUAAAUAAGUAAUUGAUACACUUAUAAUCUAUUUUUUAAUCUUUCUAUUUUAAUUUUUAUUCUUUUUUUUAUUUUUAUUUUUACUAUAUUUCCUGAGAAAUAAUAAUAAAAAAUGAUGAAAAAUUGAAAAUAAAAAUGAUGAUAAAAAACAAAUAAAUAAAUGAAAUAAAUGAAGAAUGAAUUAAAAUUUGGGUAAAGGCAACAAGUUUGAGGAUUUAAUUAAACUUUGGAUUAGUUUAAUUAACUAAAUCAAGAGCUUAAUUGAAGAAUUGAUAAGUUUUGGGAUUUAAUUGAGUUUAAAAUUAGUUUAAUUAGUGAGAUUAGAGGCUUAAUUGAAAAAAUAACAAAGUUUUGGGUUGAUUUGGAUCAAAAUUGAAUUAAAGAUUUUUUAAGUUAAUAAUAUAAAUCUUUAAUGAUAAUUUUUAAUUUGAAUAAAAUAAAAUAAAUAUUCUAUAAUUAGAUUAUCACAAAUAUAAGAUAAUAAGAUAAUAAUUAUAAAUUGUGAUUUUUCGUUUUUUUUUUUUUAAUAAAAACUACAUGUAUUCUUGAUUUUUUUUUUUUGAAAAAUACAUUUUGUUGACAAAAAUGAGCAUCUUUAUUAAUUUUUCAUUGAAAAAAGAAAACUAAAAAAAAGUUGUUUUUUAUUUCUAAACACACCUUAAUCCUUUCAUAUUGCUAUUAUAGCUGUUAAAUCUAAUUUGACUUGGUACAUUGACCAGGAUACAAGAGCUGAUCUAGAUUGAUUUUUAGUUAAACUAAUUAACAAGACAUUAGCAUGUUAAAUUGAUAUGACAUGACUUGUUUUUUUAGUAACUUUAAUUGACUCGGUCACAUCCAAUUCAAAACCAAUUGGGUAAAUAUUUUGUAAAAAAAAAAAAUUAUUUUAAUAAAAAUAGUUGAUACAUAGUUUGUUCUAAUGAUUUUGUCACAGGUGGACAUCAUCGCAAGCUAGCCAGUGAAAAAGAGAUAAAAAAAAAAAACUUGUCACGUAGUUUUAUAAUAACUAAAUAUUUUAACUAUUUUUUUCAUAAUUUCUAGUUAAGGAGGUUGAUUAUUUAAUAAUAAAGAUAAACACCAUUUUAUAUAUUAUAUCUAAAGUAAAUUACGUUGUUGUUUGUUUUUAAUUAAAAGAAAUGUUUAAAGUGACUUUGAAAAUAUUUUUAUGAAAUAAUUUUAAUAUCACUUCUACAACAAUUUUUAAGAAUAAAUUGGAUUAAGAGGUGUAUAACUUCUAUGACAACUUUUAAGAAUAAUUCUCAUUAAGAGGUUAUUUAUCCUAUGUUGAUCAAUAAAUAAUAAAAUAAAAAUAAAAAUAAAAAUUCAGUAUUUGCUGAUAAUAAAAUAUUUUUCUUAAAUAAUUUUAGGCCCCGUUUGUUUGACGGAAAGUGGUUUUCUAGAAAGCACUUUCCAAACAUUUCUGUGUUUGUUUGUCAUUAGAAAAGUUGGUCAAUAGAAAAUAUUUUUCAGUCAAAGAAAAAUUUGGCUUGGUUUUCAGGAAAGUGUUUUCCUUUUAUUUUGAACGGAAAAUACUUUUCAAAAGUUGUGAAAAAAUUAAAAUGUCAUAUUAUUUAUUGAUUAUAUCAAAUUUGGUCCUCAAACUUUUGAUUGCUAUAUAUAUUUUGUUUUGAAUAUUUGUUUUUAAUUUUUAUCCCUUAGAAUUUGUUUUUUAUAUUAACUUUGGUCUUUAUUCUUAUGAUUAUUAUUGGCUUUUCUCUUAUCAUUUUUUAAUUAAAUUUUUUUAUGUAUCAAAUUUGAUUCUCAUUAUUUUGAUUGUUACUUAUUUUAUUUGAAAUAAUUUAUGAAAUUGUAAUUAUUAUUAUUUUAAUUUUAUCAUCUUUUAAUUUUUUUUAUCUGUUAGAUUUGAUCUCUAUUAUUUUGAUUAUUAUUUAUUUUAUCUGAGAUAAUUUAUAAAAUUAUAUUUUUUUUCAAUUUCAUUCUCAUUCAACCUUUUAAUUUAUAAGAUUUGUUUCUCAUUAUUUUAAUAAAUUUGAAAAAAAAGUAUUAAUGACAAUAAAAAAUUCACUUAUUUUCUAUGAUAUAACUAAACACUAGAAAAUAUUUUCCAACUUAUUUUUCAUAAUAUUAUCAAACAUAAAAAAAUAAUUCACUUUCUUGAAAUUCACUUUUCAAAAGAAUUAUUUUUCAAAAAGAAACUAAAUUUUCAAAUAAACAAACAUACUUAAUACCACCUUUUUUUUGUGAAAAUUGUUACAUGAUAUUAUCAAACCCCACAUAGUAUUUGCUGCUGCUGUGAAUGCUGGUGGUGAUGGAGGCAGAACCUGCAGGAUGUUGAUAACAUUUUCUUUAUGCUCCCUAGCUUUUCAUCAAAUCGAUUUUCUCCUUGCAAAGUUCUUGAAUAUUGAUUUUUUUAUCGAUUUAUUUUUCAAAUUUUAUUAAUUUUAAAUAUUAUAAAAUUUAAUAAAAUAUACAAUUUAAAUUAUAAAUUUAAUAGAUUCAUCGAGAUUAAUUCAAUAUAUCUCUAAGAAAAAAACAUUUUAUAAUUUUUUUAUUUCAAAAUUUGUUGGUAUAGUAUAGUGAGAGAAGUAACCUAGUUUAUAUUUAAACAAACCCCUAUCAUUAAAUUCGAUUUCAAGCUGAAAACAACUCUAACCAAACAUCAUAAACAGCUCUAAAAUUAUAUUUUUCCACAGACAAUUUUGACAUGUAACCCCCGACCUCUAAGUAAAUGACAGCAUCAUUUUGCAGCACAAUCCUAUCCAGUCAUGACAGAUGGGCUUAGAAAAUGGAAUUUACAAAGCAGAGGAAAAGGCAAGAAUACCAAUUCUCAAUCAAUGGGUCCAUUGCUUAGGUCCCUCCAUCGUGAUUCUGUAAGAUUUUUCCUUUGAUUUCUAAGAACCACACAAACCAUCUCAACACACGUCGUCCACAUCUUCACUCAUGCCCUUCCAAGAUUGCAAAAGAUCUGAAUGGAAUGGAGGUCCAAUUGAAUGACACUAUCUUUAAAGUGAACUGCAGGUUCCACGAAGGAACGUAUGCUGGAAGCAAACGGGGUUGACUAUAAGAAACGAAGAGUGAAAGAGUCAUUUGCUUCGAUUCCCUUCAUCAAAUCUUGUUUCCUUCGAUGGCCUCUCCCCUGUCUUGCGUGUUGAUGGUGUGUGCUAAGGCGAUUGAAGGUGAUCGCUUGGAUGUUGCAGAUUUUCUUUUGGCAGAAAUUCAAUCUCUAGCUUCUAAAGAGGAGAGCAUAUGGACGAGGAAAAUUGUCAAAUACUUUGCUGAGGCUCUUGUCCGGCGAGCCUAUCGAAUUCGUCCUCCUUGUACUUUUCCCUUGCUACUACCCGGAUACAUGUAUAAACCUUUCUGCGAGUUUGCUAGAAUCACCAGUAAACAUGCCAUUGCCGAUCAUGCCUUGAAUUCGGGAAAUAAAGGACUCCACAUUAUUGACUUCUCCAUCAAGUUCAAUUUUCGGCAGUGGAAAGAUUUAAUUGAAGACCUCAAAAGGCAGUAUGGUGGCCUACAAUCUGUCCUGAUAACCAGUAUCGCACCGAAACUGUCAAAACACUCUUACCAUCUCCGUCAAAACCGGGAAUGGGCUGAGCACAAAAAUUUGGAAUUGAGGCAAUUGAUAUGCAAUAGUCCGGAUGAUAUUGUCAAUUGUAUUUCCAAACUCAGAAGGAAAAGGGAGGAUGAGAUUGUGGUUGUGAAUUGGAAUUUUACACUCCACAAAUUGCUUGCACAAGAUGGGGCAACGGAGCAAGUGCUUUCAAAAGUGAAGGAUUUGGGAGCGGACAUCAUGGUAAUUGUUGAGCAAGAAGCCAAUCUUAACAGCCCUCAUCUUUCGAAGCGGCUCGAACAAUCAUUCCAAUACUACUCCCCUUGUUUUAAGGCACUGGAGGAAGAUUGUGAUAGACAUGUGUUCAUGGAGAUGUAUUUCAGGCGACAGAUUGGGAAUGUGGUGGCAUGUGAGGGCGUUGACCGGGUCGAGCGGAUUGAGUCAUUUGCUCACUGGCAAAAUCGCCUAUCUCAGGCUGGGUUUUGUCCAGUUCCCCAACAGGUAGACAAGUUCGAUGAAGAGUUUGUAAUCGAAGAGAAUGAAGGGCAUAAUAUCUUGCUAAGUCGGCACGGUUGUCCGCUAGCUGUAGCCUCAGUUUGGAAGCUCACUGAUCCACCUCAAUUCAGUGGCGGUGAAUAAUCCAAUUCCAUCUUUUCCUUUCUCUUCUCUUGUUAUACUAAUUUAUCCAUGAAUAAAUUCGUUGUGUGCAUUUUCACUUUAGGCUACUGGAAAACAUGUUGACAGGUCUUUACACAAUGCAAGAUACAGUUGAUGACUCAGAAGGGAUGUCGAGCUCCCCUGAGUCUGAGGAUGAUGAAGAAAAUGAUUCUCUAGUUCGCAUAAUGGCAGAUAGAAACUUAUGGUCCACACAGACACAGGUAUCCUUCUUUGUUUCCGAGAUUUAACAAAUUUCCUAGUUUUAUCUUUAUGCCAUUAUUGGUGUCGUUGAUCUCACAGGGCUCUUCAAUGAAUCGAAUAGCUGCUUCAGCUAAGUUAUUUGACAUAUUGGAAUAUAUAUGUGAUCUACAUAGGUUAGAACUGGGUGUGACAUGGAUUUCCUAUGGCCAAGAUGGUAAUACAAAUUCAAAGGGAAAGCGUAUUCUAUGUAUUGAUGAUAGCGCUUGCUAUGUAAAUAAUUGGGUUAUGGCAAAAUUUGUGGAUGAAUAUGCACGACAUCGUCUCGAGGAAGGACAAGGUAUCGCCGGAAAAGCACUUCAAUCUAAUAUUCAUAUCCAGCAUGACAUUUACUUGCUUGAUCCAUCUGAAUUCCCUGAUUCCUGUUCCUUCAGUAGCUCUUGGAUCAGAAAAUGGUAUGCUGCUUUUGCUAUAAGGCUAACAAGUACCCACCCUUGCAAGGAUGAUUACGUACUGGAAUUUCUUCUCCCUGUAGACAUGACAGACAGAACAGAACUUUUGAUAAAUAAGGUCUUGCGUACAUUGCAGAGGAAAUGUUUAAAGUUGUGGGAAGUUAGUGUCAGAGAAGUAAAUGAGGCGAGUGGCUCUGAAGGUAGAUUGGAUGAUGAAAAAAUGCCAAACAUCCCACGAGAAACACGCGAGCCUCUUGAACAGGUGCUCUUCUAUACUGAAUUCAUGUCAUUAUUUGCUUGAAGACUGAUAUCGAAUUUUUAAAUUUUUUUUUUUUAAGAUUUAAAUUAAUUCUAAUUUUAAUAUUUAUUUUUAUAAUUGUUAUUUAUUUUUUUCUUAUAAUUUUUUUAAUUGAAAUUUUUUAUCUAUUAUAUUUGAUCAUCGUUCUUAUUCUUAUUUAAUUUUUUAAUUUAUAAGAUUAGUUUUUGAUUAUUUUAAUAAAUUUAAAAUAAAAUAAAAUAUUAAUAAGUUUUUUUUUUUUAAUAACAUAACUAAAUAUUAAAAAAUAUUUUUUAAUUUAUUUUUAAUGACACUACUAAAUAUCUAAAAAUAAUUUACUUUUAAGAAUUCAUUUAAAAAAAAAAAUACUUCCAUGUUGUUUGCUAUAAGAAUUCUAGCCCACUCUAAUACAUAAAGAAUUGGAUUUUAGGUUAUUUAGAUCCAGAAACACCAAAUUAACUAAUUUUCUUCUAAAAAUAUUUUAAAAAAACUUUUUAAUGAGUUUAAAAUUAAAAAUCAAACUAAAUAAAAAAAAAUCUACAUGUGAUUCGCUGCAAGAAAUUCUAGCCAGCAGAAUUGGGUUCAAGGUUAUUUAGACCCAGAAAGUCUAAAUCAUCUGCCUUGUCAGAUGGACAGAAAAGACCCUCUGUUUUGGAUGGACACCCAUCAUGUGUCCAAUCACAGCCUUCUAUGUGGCAGAUUUCCUUCCGCAGAUUGCGCAAGGGGUGGAAUAAUUAUUGUUCAGUAGAUAAAUUACAAUUGAUGAUUCGAAUAUAAUAAAAUCCAUUUUGCCUCCGUUUUGCUUUUAUGUUCAACUAUUGAAGAACACACAAUCUGCCAUUAUUAUUGACUGGAAUUGGCCUUCAUGCUGCCAAUAUCCUACUUCCCUAUCUCUUGACAGGACGUCCAAGAACAAUCUGCUAUACCCGCACCUGCUCUGAAUGGUGAGAAUGCAUCGCUUAGUAUAGAUGGUGGCCUCCAGAGUACUAAUAAACGACGAAAGAUAUCAGCUGUGUGGGAAGAAAAUGGGGAAGUAUGGGCCACAUGUAAAUACUGUAAGAAGACGUAUUUGCAGCCAUUGUUUGAACUUCAUUCAAAAGACGAGGUUACAGAUGAUGUCCUUACUAUUUACAGACGAGAGAAGGAGAAACUCAUCAAAUAUUUUGAUAAGCUCUCUUGUCUCUUGAGUUUAUCAAUUGAAUUGUGGUCAUCGAAUGACAAAAUGAUGACCUACUGUUGCUUCACCGUGCACUUCAUUGACGAUGGAUGGCAGCUGAAGAAGAAGAUUCUUGCUUUCAGGAACUUACGGUACAACUAUGACAUGGGGGCUGUACAUGAAGUCUUUAAACACGUGCUUACAGAGUGGAGCAUCAACAAGAACGUUAGCUUCAUAUUCCUGGAUAUAACUCCUCCAAAGGAUCACAUGAUUGGAGAAUUAAGAAGUAAGGUUUCUGAUCAAGCCCCACCUAUCCAUAGACAUCUUUUCUGUGUUCCUAGUUAUGCCCAAAUUCUCGGUCUCCUUGUCCAAGAUGGAUUUUCUGAGAUAAGGAGUGUGCUUUAUAAGAUAAGAGAAUGUAUAGAGUACGUCAAAGGAAGCUCACUUAUAAGGCAGAAGUUCCAGGAGGCAAUUAAUAAUGGGAGUUUGCAGGACAGGGAAAUGCCUACUCUAGAUGUUCCCGCGAGAUGGGACACCACCUUUCUUAUGCUGGAGAGUUCAUUGGAAUUUAUAACAGCUUUUAAUCACCUAGAGCAAUUGGAUGAUGCUUUCAAAGUGAAUCCAUCUGCGGAAGAAUGGAACAAAGCAACAGCCGUAUUUGAGUGCUUGAAAGAGUUCUACAAGUCAACAUGCAAUUUUCCGACAAGCAGAGAUGAUUAUUUCCUCAGUGUUCGUGAUGUUUAUAAGAAUUUGCAAGGCUGGAAACAGAGCGAUUAUGUAUAUGUUCGCGCUAUGGCAAAUAGAAUGAAGGGAAAAUUUGACGAGUAUUGGGGAGAAGCUAGCUUGGCUUUGGGAAUCUCAGCAGUUCUUGACCCCAGCUAUAAAUUGGACAUUAUUGAGUAUGGCUACCGGCAGAUAUACGGCAGUGAUGCUUACUUGCGCUACUACCAGAAAUUCCUUGACAAUCUUAUAUGUGAAUACAAUAAAUAUGCAAAGGACUUCCGCAGUCAGGGACCAUCUUCUUCUGCCAUGGCGGACGUGAGUCGUUGUACAUCAUCUUAUAAUAGUUUCAAAGAGUGGCGCAAGGGUAAGUAUGAACGCAAUACGGUGCACUCACAAUGGAAUGAACUUGUUCAGUAUCUAGAAAAGCGUCCGGAGAACUUGGAUAAGGAUGGUAACGUAUUAGCUUGGUGGCUAGACAACGCUCAAAAUUUUCCAAUACUGGGAAAAAUGGCUCGUGAUUUCUUAGCAAUUCCAGUAUCAACUGUCAUUUCCAAGUCAUCAGAGGUUAUGAAGAUGGUGUUGGGAAAACUAGGGACAACUAACCGGAUCAAUUCAGCGGAAUACAAUUCACAAUUCACAAGUCCCAAUCCUUUUUCCCUCUUUGUGCAGUAAAAACAGAAUCAAACAAUGAACAAAUAUAAUGCAACAAUCACACAAAUCAACACCAAGAUUUUUUACGUGGAAAACCCGAUGCGGGAAAAACCACGGGACCGGAGUCCACCUAAAAACUUCCACUAUCACAAAUAAUGGGUUCACAAUUGUUCUUCCUCAGAUUCAACUAAGGGCUACAACAUAUAUAUCAUCAAGAAUAACUUAUUCUCGGAUUACAACAAGAUUAAAGGAGAAUUAUUUGAGAAAAACUCACAAUACUGACAACCCCGUUUUCUGUCAAAACGGCCAGCUUCCACACCACCAAUCUUCAAUCCAACCGUUCAGAAUGAAGAGUAACGUGUCUAGAAGCUGCUGUCCAAAUCUCAGCCCGAUCCAACGGUGAACGAACUGGAAAUCAAAGAAAGAAGACAGACUGCUCUGCUGCCUCCUCUUCUUUCUUUCUCUCGGUUUUUCUCUGCUCUCUCGUUCUUUCUCUACUGCCUCUACAGUGGCAGUUUCAUUUUAAAUCAAAGAGGCAGCCAGCUGCCUCCUUAAUUAAUGUGGUGGUCCCCCCCCAUCACAUGGUGCGGGACCACACAACAAAUCUCCCCCUCACGCACCAUGUGAGGAAUUCGCCAUACUGGCGAUCAACAUGUAAGCUUCAAUUUAGGAGGCUCUGACAAGCCUGCCUCCCUUCUGCAAAACUCAAACUUCUCUCUCGAUAGAGGUUUGGUCAUCAUGUCUGACACGUUGUCAUCGGUAUGGAUUUUCUCAACAACAAAUGACUUCAUCUCCAUAGCAUCACGAAUCCAUUGAUAUCUAACCUCAAUGUGCUUUGAUCGAGAGUGAAAAGUAGGAUGCUUACUGAGAUGGAUUGCACUUUGACUAUCACAGUGCAACACAAAGUUCUCUUGAACUAGGCCAAGUUCAUGUAAGAACUUCUUCAUCCAUAACAACUCUUUGCCCCCUUCAGUAAGAGCAAUAUAUUCAGCCUCUGUAGUGGAUAAUGCCACACAUUUUUGCAACCUUGAUUGCCAUGAGACUGCUCCCCCUGCAAACUUCAUCAAGUAUCCUGAUGUGGACUUUCUAGAAUCAACAUCACCAGCCAUAUCUGCAUCUGUGUAUCCAUCCAACACAGGUUUAUCAUUACCAAAACAUAAGCUGAAACUAGAAGUACCUUUGAGAUACCUGAGUAUCCAUUUCACUGCUGACCAGUGUUCUUUACCAGGAUUGGAGAGGAACCGACUAACCACACCAACUGCAUGAGCUAUAUCCGGCCUUGUGCAAACCAUGGCAUACAUCAAGCUACCAACUGCGGAUGCAUAAGGAACCUUUUUCAUCUCAUCUCUUUCUUCAUCACUUGAAGGACACUGCUUAGAACUUAGUUUAAAGUGGCUUGCAAGUGGAGAACAAACCGGUUUGGAGUUGCUCAUGUUGAAUCUCUCAAGUACCUUUUGAACAUAUCUCUCCUGAGAUAGCCAAAGUUUCUCCUUCUUCCUGUCACGUGUGAUCUUCAUGCCAAGAAUCUGUUUUGCCGGUCCUAAGUCUUUCAUUGCAAAAGACUUGCUUAACUCUUCCUUCAAAAUCUGAAUCUUCUUAGCAUCAUGGCCAACAAUCAACAUAUCAUCCACAUACAACAAGAGAAUAAUAAAGUUUCCAUCUGGAAACCUUUUCAUAAAUACACAAUGAUCAGAAGUGGUCCUGUCAUAACCAUGGUCCACCAUGAAAGAAUCAAACUUCUUGUACCAUUGUCUUGGAGCUUGCUUUAACCCAUAUAGGCUCUUUUUCAACUUGCAAACUAACUGCUCUUUGCCUUUUACUUCAAACCCUUCAGGUUGUUCCAUGUAGAUCUCUUCAUCUAAAUCACCAUGGAGAAAGGCAGUUUUCACAUCAAGUUGCUCAACUUCAAGAUUCAAACUAGCAGCUAAGCCAAGCACAACUCGGAUUGAAGACAUCUUGACCACUGGUGAAAAGAUUUCUUCAAAAUCAAUACCCUUCUUCUGACCGAAGCCUUUCACAACCAAUCUUGCCUUGUACCUUGGUUGUGAGCAAUGUUCAUCAAUUUUCAGCCUGAACACCCAUUUGUUCUUGAGUGCUCUCUUACCUUUAGGAAGCUUCACUAACUCAAAGGUAUGGUUUUCAUGCAAGGAUUUCAUCUCUUCUUGCAUUGCUUUCAACCACUCAUUUUUCUUCUCAUGUGACAUAGCUUCAUCAAAGCAUUCUGGCUCUCCCCCGUCAGUAACCAUCACAUACUCAUGAGGAGAAUAUUUGGUGGAAGGUUGGCGAGGUCUGGUUGACCUCCUCAAUUGUGGCUCAUCUGGAGCUUCCUGCAUAACCUGUUCAGGAAUAACAUCAAUAUCAUCAUUAGUUGAUUCAUGAUCACCAACUAAUGGCUCAAUAAGAAAACCACCAUUUUCAUCAUUUUGCAAGUCUCCCCCAUGAUUAGCAGGCAUCAAAGGUAACUGUGGAGUAGGUCUUGGAUUUGAAGUAGAUGGAAUAAAAGUUGUAGACUCUGUUUCCUCCUUCAGUUCAAAGUCUUCAAUGGUUUGAUCUUCAAAGAAGAUAACAUCUCUGCUUCUCACAAUUUUCUUCUCCUUUGGAUCCCAUAACCUAUAGCCAAACUCAUCAUCUUCAGAUCCCAAGAAAAUACACUGCUUUGUCUUGCUGUCAAGCUUGGACCUUUCAUCCCUUGGAACAUGUACAAAUGCUCUGCAUCCAAACACUCUCAAGUGUGCAUAGGAAACAUCCUUUCCUUUCCAAACUCUAUCUGGAACAUCAAACUCAAGAGGAACUGAUGGAGAAAGGUUGAUCAUGGCAACUGCAGUCUUCAUUGCCUCACCCCAAAAGGACUUAGGCAGCUUUGCAUGAGAGAGCAUACAUCUAAUUCUUUCAACAAUGGUUCUGUUCAUCCUCUCAGCCACUCCAUUCUGCUGUGGAGUCUUAGGAACGGUCUUCUCCAACUUGAUACCCUGUUCCCUGCAGUACUUCUCAAAAGGACCUCUGUAUUCACCACCAUUGUCUGCUCGAACACAUUUCAGCUUUCUACCAGUUUCUCUUUCAACUCUGGCAUGGAAAUCCUUAAAGACAUCAAGCACCUGAUCUUUGGAUUUCAAACAAGUGGCCCAAAUCUUCCUGGAGUGAUCAUCAAUAAAACUAACAAAGUACAAUGCACCUCCAAGAGACUUAUCAAUCAUAGAGCAAACAUCAGUAUGAACUAAAUCAAGAACAUGUGACCUUCUAUGUGAAGGUGAUCUUUGAAAUGCAACUCUAUGUUGUUUACCAACUAAACAAUGAGUACAUGUGUUCAAGUUCAUACCUUUCAAUGGAAGGUAGUUCUUCUUGGCAAGGAUGUCAAGGCCUUUCUCACUCAAAUGUCCAAGCCGCUUAUGCCAUAGAUCAGUAGAGCAAUCUUCAAUUGCAUUCACCUCCCCUUUGAUCACCUUGGCUUGUGACAUGUAGAGACCCAUCUUCUUCCCUUUAGCAACAAUUAGGGAAUUUCUGGAGAGCUUCCAUUUACCAUCUCCAAAGUAACUGUGAUAGCCUUCUUCAUCAAGAGUACCAGUAGAGAUCAAAUGUAGGCGCAUAUCAGGCACAUGCCUAACAUCUUUGAGUAGCAACUUGCACCCAGUAUUGGUUUCCAACCAAAUAUCUCCAAUGCCCACAACACUAGCCAUCCCUUGAUUUCCCAUCCUAACUUGACCAAAGUCACCAGCAGUGUAGGAUGUGUAAAAAUCAUGUCGGGGUGUAACAUGGUAAGAAGCUGCUGAAUCUGCAACCCAGGUGGUAUCUUGACAUGCAAGAUUAACACAGCCAUCAUCACACACAAUGGCAACAUCACCAUCAGAUACAACUGCAGCUGUACCAUUCUCUUCAUUCUUGUCUUCAUCUCUACCCUUUUUAUCUCUUUUAUACUUUCUGCAAUCCUUUUGCAUAUGCCCAGGCUUGUCACAAUAAUAACACUUAAAACCCUUCCUUGACUGAGAUCUUCCUCUUGGCUUCCAUUUGCCUUUUCUAUUGCUGGAUUCUCCAUCUUGCUUGCCGUGAGAGAACCUGCUUUGACUUCUCCCUCGACUUUCUGUAACAAGUGCAUGAGACUCGGAAGUGCUUGUCCCUUUCCUCCUCUUCUCUUCAUUGAGGAUACAAUCCUUCACUGUUUUCAAAGUGAGCUUUCCAUUCGGAGUAGAAUUGCUAAGUGACACUACCAAAGUCUCCCAACUAUCCGGCAAUGAACUCAAUAGGAUUAAUGCUUGCAUUUCAUCGGCUAACUCAAGGUUCAUCAAUGACAGCUGAUUCAAGAACCCUUGGAAUACAUUUAUAUGCACUGAAGCAUCUUCACCAUCUCUAUACUUCAAAUUCACAAGGUCUCUAAUUACAAAAACCUUGUUUUGUGCACUCUCCUUGGCAAAUGUUUCUUCCAACAUCUUCCACACUGUAUAACAGUCAUGUUCUUGAGAAAUAUGAUUAAUGGACUUAGAAGAUACCCAUUUUCUAACAUUAGCGGUAGCCUUUCUAUUUAGUCCAUUCCAUUUUGCAUCAUCCAUAUCAUCAGGCUUUAUUCCUUUACAUUCAAUCGGCAAAGCCAAAUCAUUGCAAUAUAAGUGAUCCUCCAUCAUUGUUUUCCAUAGAAAAUAAUUUGAGGAAGUGAGCUUUAUCAUGCCCGAAUCUUCCUUUUCCAUUUUAACUGCACAAGAAUUCAAUCUACACAACCAAAUGCUCUGAUACCACUUUGUUGGGAAAACUAGGGACAACUAACCGGAUCAAUUCAGCGGAAUACAAUUCACAAUUCACAAGUCCCAAUCCUUUUUCCCUCUUUGUGCAGUAAAAACAGAAUCAAACAAUGAACAAAUAUAAUGCAACAAUCACACAAAUCAACACCAAGAUUUUUUACGUGGAAAACCCGAUGCGGGAAAAACCACGGGACCGGAGUCCACCUAAAAACUUCCACUAUCACAAAUAAUGGGUUCACAAUUGUUCUUCCUCAGAUUCAACUAAGGGCUACAACAUAUAUAUCAUCAAGAAUAACUUAUUCUCGGAUUACAACAAGAUUAAAGGAGAAUUAUUUGAGAAAAACUCACAAUACUGACAACCCCGUUUUCUGUCAAAACGGCCAGCUUCCACACCACCAAUCUUCAAUCCAACCGUUCAGAAUGAAGAGUAACGUGUCUAGAAGCUGCUGUCCAAAUCUCAGCCCGAUCCAACGGUGAACGAACUGGAAAUCAAAGAAAGAAGACAGACUGCUCUGCUGCCUCCUCUUCUUUCUUUCUCUCGGUUUUUCUCUGCUCUCUCGUUCUUUCUCUACUGCCUCUACAGUGGCAGUUUCAUUUUAAAUCAAAGAGGCAGCCAGCUGCCUCCUUAAUUAAUGUGGUGGUCCCCCCCCAUCACAUGGUGCGGGACCACACAACAGAUGGCAUCAGUCCAUGAUGGUGUUCGUCCUGAGAUAGCUGAGGCUUUGAUAUGUGGAAAGGAUUGGUGGUUGGACAGCCCUAACUGCAAGUAAGUUUUCCAUUUCUUUUUUCUCGAUUUAAGUGUCAUGCCUUUAUAUAUCUGCCAUCUGCUUAUUUAUUUCUUCUUCUUUUUUCUUCAGCAAUUGAUCCAUGUUUGGAUCCUCACUGGUAGUUGCUAGUACUGUGAAAUAAGUUUUUCCCAGGUAAACACUGGCCUUCUCUUUUAUUUCCAAGAACAAGAAUAUUUGUCAGCAGAGUGAAAAGUCAAAAUGCGCAUGUAAUCUGCAGUCUGCAUGAACAUUAAAACUAGGCUGGAAAGUAAUUCUGAAAUGAAAACACAUACUAUCAACUCAAUAGCUUAAACUGACGAGGUUUCAUAAUAUAAUUUAUAUUUAUAUUAUUUUUUAACACACCAUCUCAAGUGAAAACUCUUUGAACUUGAAACUUGCAUAGGCCCACAUUACCUUGUGUUUAAUUUUUAUCAAAUAAAUGGUAAUGGUGAGAUUCAAACUCAUGACCGCUUGGUCAUCAAGACUCUGAUACUAUGUUAAAGAAUCAUAUUAACCCAAUAGCUUAAGCUGCUAGGUGAGGUCCCAAGAUAUGAUUUAUAUUAUUUUCUAACACCCCCCUCAAGUGAAAGCCCUUUGAACUUAAAACUUGCACAUGCUCACUUUUUUUUUAUAUAAGAAAUUAAAAUUUUAGUAGCAUAAACGCUCCAAGCUUAAACCAUCCUUGAAACCAUAAAACAUGAUUUUUACAAGUCUAUAAUUUCAAAUGAUAUCUUCAGUACUCAAAUAAAUAGGGAUGAUGAGAUUUGAAUUCGUGACCGCUUAAUCAUUAAGGCUUUGAUACCAUGUAAAUAACCAUAUUAACCCAAUAGCCUAAGCUGUUAUGUGAGGUUCCAGAAUAUAAUUUAUAUUAUUUGUUAUCAGAAGAUACAUUAUUUUUCUAUGUUGUAGGGUCAACCAGGCUGAUCAUAUCUGACUUGGAUGCUGUAGAAGAAUACUAGACAUAAGUUAAGACUUAUUAUUUGCUUAAUUUUAUCAAGGAUUUGAAAAUAAAAAAACUUUGAAUAUAUAAAAAAUGAUUUGAAACUACUUUUGAGUGUGUUCGGCUUGAAAAAAAUAUAAAAUUGAUAUUUUGUUAGUGUUAUUUGAUGGUGUUAAUAUUCUAUAUUAAAAAUAAAAAAAAUCUGGAAAAAUUUAUUUUCAUAUAUUUUUAAUAAAAAAUUAUUUUUAAAAACCAUCAUAUAGGUUGUUUUUGUUACAAAAAUGUAUUAUUGUAAAACCCACUACACCACAGUUUUUGGCCCAAACCAUUAUUGUAAAAUGUAUUAUUAAAUUAUUAUGUUAAAAUGUAUUAUUAUGCAAGUAGGGUUUUAUAUCAAAUUAGAUAGGAAUUUGAUAUGCAAUCGUCAAUCAGUCCUAAUAACCACCAGUAUCACACCGAAAUUGUCAAAACACUCAGACUGUCUCCGUCAAAACCGGGAACGGGCUCGGCAGUUUGGGGGCACAAACCGGGAACGGGCUCGUCAAUAGUCCGGAUGAUAUUGUCAAUUGUAUUUCCGAACUGAGAAGGAAAAGGGAGGAUGAGAUGUGUGGUUGUGAAUUGGAAUUUGAAAUUUAUCUUUUUAAUUGUAUUUGUACUGUCUCUUUUUUUAAGAAAAAAAUCACGGUGGCCGUCAAAGUAAAAAUAAUAAUCAUAAUAAUGAUCGUUAUAUUAUUGUAAAUUAAUUUUUCAGCCCUUACUAAAUAAAAUAAAAAUAUUCGUCUCGUAAUAUCCAUAUCAAAUGUCUUAUGAUAGCCACUAAUUUAUUUUAAAGAUUUAUUAGAAUAUAUAUUUGAAUAUAAAUAACAUUAUUCAAAACUAACAACCUAAAUUAGAUUUAUAUCUUGAAUAAUAGAAGAAGAAAGUUGUAGAAAUUAAAGGGUUAAAUAAUUCAAAAUCAUUUUAAAUUCUUGGUCAUAGUAAUCUAGUCUCUAAACUUUAAUUUUCUUAUUCAAAUAUCAUAAACUAUUUCUUGGUAAAAAAACAAACUUUGAUCCUAAAUAUUUAUAACCACCGAUUCAAUGUGGGUUUUGCUGAGAAUUCCUAAAUAUUUGAUCCUUCUCUUGGAUUUAUAGUCUUAAAGGCUCAUAUCUGAAUUUUGUGCUCGUGCUUUCUAUAUUAUUUACUAUGAAGUUUGUUUAUUUUGCUGCUGUAACCCAUAAUCGAAUCUGGGUUGUGCUUAAAAUUACGAAAUAUUUCAUCUUUCACUCUAAUUUAGUCUUCAAGACCCAUGUCUGAAUUUUCAAUGACCUCAGAACCUUUCAAUUCCAGUUUAUGUAGCAAAUCUGCUAUCAUAGUUUAUGUAGCACAAACUAUGCUCGAGAAUGCUGAUAAAGACAUGGAUGUUGUACUCUCUCCAUAUUCUUUAACUUCAUUUGAUUUGCUAACAGAAUCAAACAAUAUCAGGACGCCACGGAUUGAUUCUUUCUCGACAUCAUCAAAUUAGAAAAAUAAAUUAAUACAUGAUGUGUAAAUAUACUAAACAAUCGAAAUAAUAUUAUUUGUGGCUGGUGUUUUUGCCUGCUAUUUAUGUUAAUUUAACAGGCAAAUUUCACCUUGUAAUACACACACUUGUAUUUUAGCUCCACAGUGGGUUAAUAUUAUUUUUAAAAAAAUAUAAAAAAAUAUUAAGAAUAUAAAAAAUAUUUUAAAUACUUUGGACUUGGGUUUCCCAAGGUGCUUGGGCUAAUAUAUUUUUGGGCUUUGCUUGACAUUAGUUAACCCGGAAAUAUAUAUAUAUAUUAGUUUUUAAUAUUUCAUAUAAAAAAAUUAAAACAUAAUCCAUAUAGACAUAAGAUAAAAGACUAUUUCAAAAGGUUUCAUUGAAAAGAUAUUAUCUUAUUUUAUUAAAUUGGAAUAUUUAAACUAAAAAGAUUUUUUUUAUUUUACAUUAAAAAAACACAACUUUUUGUUUUUAUGAAUAUUUGAAAAAAAUCUCACAAUUGUGAUAUGGGUUAGUAACUAUCUAAAAAAGAUAUAAGAAAAAAAGGAUCUCUAGGAGGGGGAAAACACAUUUGAAAGAUAAAUGUCUCUACCGAGUUUUGAUGGGUCACCCAAGUCUCGGGUUAACCCACUAUGCUGGACCGGGUCUGAUAACUAUUCUUAAACAACAAAAAGUGAGCUUGAGAGUGUUAAUUAUAACUUAUUCCCUUCUUUUCUAGUUCAAUAAAACCAAUUAAUUGGUCCUUAAAAUUUCAAAAUAUAGAUUUAGGUUUAUUUUUGCACUGUUAUUUUUAAAUAUUUUUUAAUUUUAUUUUUGACUCAAGCGUCUGAGCUUAACAACCAGGUCAGACCCAUUCGCCUUUUUUUGAAUGUCAGGCCUAAAAUGCUUGGGUCUAGUAGCCAUGUGAGACCAAAGUAAGUUAGGUCUGACAUGAUUGUCAAACCGAAUGUGUUUUUGUUGGCAUAGUUGUCAGAUCUAAGUCCCUUGAGACCAGAAUAGUUGCCAAACCCAAGUAUCUUGAGCCUGACAUAGUUGCUAGAUCUAGGCGUGAGUCUAACGUUAUUGCUACAUGCAUCCCUAAAAUUCAUUUAAUUUUUUUUAUAGUAAUAUCUAAUUUUAGUAAAGAAAUUAUCUAUAAAAUUGUACAAAUUAAAAUAGUCAAAAGAACAAUAAAUCUUUUAAAUAUACAAUAUUUUUUCCCCAUGACAUAAUAUAUCAAUUCAAAAUUUAUCCAUUAUGAUCAUAUAUUUAAAAUUUUCAUAUAUAUUAAUAGUUAUAAUAUAGAAUAAACUCCCUGUUGCUGUUGGAUUGCUUAUGAAAAUGGACAACGCAGGUUGCCAACCGAAUGUUGUCACAUACAGUACGCUUAUUGAUAGCCUUUGCAAGGAUAGACUAGUCGAAGAGGCUUUAGAUAUCUUCUCUGAAAUGAAAAGUAAAAGGAUUCAACCGAAUGUUGUCUCUUACAAUUCCUUGAUGCAUGGUCUAUGCAAUUCAGACCAGCAGGAAGAGGCGUCAGCAUUGUUCAAUGAAAUGACGAGUUUCAUCAUCAUGCCAGAUGCAGUUACCUUCAACAUUUUGGUCGAUACACUUUGUAAAAAGGGCAAGAUUUCAGAGGCUCAAGGAAUAGUCAAGACAAUGAUUGAGAAGGGUGUGGAGCCUAGUACCGUGACUUAUAGUUCGUUGAUGAAUGGAUAUCUUUUGCAAAACAGAGUUUUUGAAGCUAGAAAGGUAUUCAAUGCGAUGAUAACCAGGGGCUGUAUACCUGACGUUCUUAGUUACAACAUCUUAAUCAAUGGAUGCUGUAAGGCCCAGAGGAUAGAUGAGGCAAAACAAUUUUUUGAUGAAAUGAGUUUUCGAGGCUUAAUUCCAAAUACUGCUACUUACAACACUCUUGUAAGUGGUUUGUCUCAAGCAGGGAGAAUUUUUGAAGCAAAAGAGCUUUUCAAGAAUAUGCAUGUCCAGGGCUGCAUGCCUAAUGUUCUUAGUUACAACAUCUUAAUCAAUGGAUCUUGUAAGGCCCUGAGGAUAGAUGAGGCAAAACAGCUUUUUGAUGAAAUGAGUUUUCGAGGCUUAAUUCCAAACACUGCCAGUUACAACACUCUUAUAAGUGGCUUGUUUCAAGUUGGGAGGAUUUUGGAAGCAGAAGAUCAAGCUUUUCAAGGAUAUGCUUGCCCAGGGCUGCUCCCCUGAUCUAGUAACUUACUCAAUUUUUCUUCAUGGCUUAAGCAAACAAGGUUACCUUGAUCAGGCAUUGGAACUAUUACGAGAAAUGCAAAAUAAUUACUUGAACCCUGAUUUGGUGAUCUAUAAUAUCUUAAUUGAUGCCAUGUGCAAAUCUGGGAAGCUUGAAGAUGCAAGGGAGCUGUUUUUGAAACUCCAUGUCAAAGGAUUGCUGCCUGAUGUUCGAAGUUGGACUUCAAUAAUCAGUGGACUUUGCAGAGAAGGAUUGCUAGAUGAAGCAUACAAAGCUUUCAGACAAAUGGAAAGGGAUGGCUGCCCACCAGAUUGUUGCUCUUACAAUGUUAUUGUCCGAGGAUUUCUCCAGAACAACGGUGCAUCAAGGGCUGAACAACUUUUUCAGGAAAUGUUUGAUAGAGGAUUCUCUGCAGAUGCCCUGACCAGAACCUUGGCGGCAGAUCUGUUGUCUAAAGAUGACAAUCUUGGUUUGAAGAGGUUGCUUGGUGAAUCUGAACGUCGUCAAGAUGAAAAGGUGAUUUAAAUUUUCCAUACCAGUGCUGCUAGUUGUUGGUGCAAAUAUUACAUGACUUCUCUUGGUUCAAUCCUGUCACAAUUUUAACAAUAUUCACUUUCUUUUGUUUCAUGUAGUUGUUACUCUUUAGGACUGGCAUUCACCUAUUCUAGGUUAUAUAUUCAUGCUAGUUCUUUUAUGUGUAUCCAUAAAUAUAGUGUUGGGUAGAUUACCUGAAUGAAAGUCAUUCAAGUUUUCUGUAAGUUACUCUUUUGCUUCAAGCACCCCGGAUUUCUUCAUACGUCUUGCUGAAAAUGCUUCAAGCACCCCAGAUUUCUUCAUACAUCAAUUCUUGCUGAAAAUAAUCCCUGUCCUACUGUAUUUGCUAGAUUCUUGGUCAUUGUGCAUUUCUGGAUGAGGAUGGAUGCUACUCCCACUUUUACAAAUAAAAACAAAAGAAUAUGGGUGUGAUGCCAUUGAGUUUUGUUUUGUUUAUGCUUGUUUGUUUGAUCUUUUGAUCUGUUUGUGGAUUUGGGUGAUAUAUUAAUGGUAUGUUACCUGGAAAAGAACUUUAGAUCUUAGUGUUCAGUAUUCUAGAAUUCACAUCAGAUGUUUGAGAUCAAUUAGGUACAAGUGUUUAUAUAAAUUUGUGGUUGAUCAGAGUUAAGCAAUGAAAGCAAUUUAAUUUUUCUCUAAGUGAUUAAACAUAUUUGAAUUUUCAUAUUAAAUAACUUUCAAUACAUGUAUAUGUAUGAUAUCUUCUUUUUUUCCCACGAUAGUUUCUUUUGUUUGUGGAUAGGAUUGUAUGUCUCUUUCUUUGUUGAAUAUAUGCAUGUUAUGUUUUCAAGAAAAUAACCCUGUAUCUUGAAGUUUUAUGUUGUACAGUGGGAAUUAAACUUCUUGUGAUUAACAUCUAGGCAGGUGGGAUUUGAAAUAAGAAUUUUGAUUUGCAUAGGAUGAUUGAGGUCAUGUGUACAAAGGGAUAUAGGCUGGCCAUUUAUGAUUGUUUUAGCAAAUUGUUGUUAUAAUUAUGUUGAAGCUGAGGUAUUGAUAUGCUGGCAGUAAUACUAAAACAUUCAAUGCUAAAUGCUUGAUGCUUAUGAAAUUGAGAGUUGAAUUCCUUGUAAUUAUUGAGAGUAGGCAGCAGAGUGAUAAAAUGAUUUGAACAUUUUCAUGCAGGAAAACUAACAUCAAUCUGGUGAAUUAUUCCCGUGAAACAAUUGCUGUAUGAUGUUUCUUUGCAUGACCAUACGUGGAGGAUAAACAUGAUGCGCUUAGAACUUUCCAGAAUCAUACUUUGUGUUCUUAUCUACUUUGCUUUUCUCUUUUUAUUCUUCAAAUUGAGAAAUCAAUCCUGUGUAUUAUGGAUAAUUAUUUUACACACUUCUUACUGCAGGCAGGAUAAGAUCCAUUUUGUAGAAAAGGAGAAAUGAGAGAAGAAGAUGCAAAUUAGUCUUGCAUGGAACACGAACUCCGACAUGCCUAUACAAAUCUGUUUAUUACAUUAGAUGAAAGAAUCGGUAUUGAGUCCAUAGAAAGUAGCAUGUACUUCUAAUUUGAACUACUUACCCUCUAUUUAGAUGCUAGGUUAUUGAGGUGAUAUGACAUUGUUUUUCAUGCAGCAUUACUCAUCUUUGCUUUUUUCUUCCAAGAGACCUUGUGGUAGUUGGGUUUUACAAGUUUGAAACUAAGAUGUGUUUGUCAAAUGAUCCAUAAUUGAGAUUUCAAAAAUGAGUUGCUAUGAUAUAGUCACCUGAUCUCAAUUCUAUAUUAAGUUAAAUUUGACAAAGAUUUUCUUCAUAAAAAUUUGUCUGAAGGUCUGCAAAUGUUACUCUUCACUCCAGAUUCUGGAAGAUAGACCAGUUUCAGAACUCAAAUUAAUGUGCUUUUUUCUACCAGGAAAUUAUCUCAAGUUCUAUGAUGCCAAAAGAAGUGCCUAUCUUGACAUCAAGAUAAUCUCAAACUGUGAUGGGUCUUCUCAUUCUUUGGAUCACCCAGCUGUUACUAUGAUUUUCAUGUAAACAUCCUGUCACAAUAGCUUUGUUUUCUUUCUGUUUUGCAGUAUUGUACUUAUGUGUAUUUUCAUCAGUUGGAAAACACAAUGCUAAUCCUCUUUUACUCUUUGAACUAGGUUUUUACAUCUGCCAGCAACCUGUUUUCUAUGACUCAUAAGUUUGAUCGCACAUCCCGCACUUGUCCAAAGGUGUGUCAUAUGCCUUUCGACAACAUACUGACUAAAAUAUGUGACAAAUAUUCAUGGGAUUUACUAUUUUUGAGGCUUCUGUGAGUGACUAUGCUGUGACUGGAAAUGAUGUGGGCACAGGAAGUCUUUUAGCUGCACUUGCUGACACCGGAUUCCUCAUUGGUCUAAAAAGGAACAGGUUUGUAAUACUUGUUCCAGCAAUCUUAAGUUAUUUGUGAAUGUGCUAUUCAGUGAUCAAGGGUCUGAAAUUUUUAAUGCCUUCCCACUCUCUUUCCCCGCGGAGAGGGGGGGUGAACAAAUUAAUAAAGAACUCCUUUGAAAUAGUGAAAGGUCACGGUUGGCACGGUUGUCCGCUAGCUGUAGCCUCAGUUUGGAAGGUCACUGAUCCACCUCAAUUCAGUGGCGGUGAAUAAUCCAAUUCCAUCCUUUCCUUUCUCUUCUCUUGUUAUACUAAUUAUCCAUCAAUAAAUUCGUUGUGUGUAUUUUCACUUUAGGCUACUGGAAAUUACAUGUUGGCAGGUCUUUACACAAUGCAAGAUACAGUUGAUGACUUAGAAGGGAUGGAUACAGUUGAUGACUCAGAAGGGAUGGCGAGCUCCACUGAGUCUGAGGAUGAUGAAGAAAAUGAUUCUCUAGUUUCCAUAAUGGCAGAUAGAAACUUAGGGUCCACGCAGGUAUCGUUCUUUGUUUCCGAGAUUUAACAGAUUGCCUAGUUUUAUCUUUAUGGCAUGGGGAGAUUGAAACAAUUUCAAAUUCGUUAGACAUAAAUUAGAAACUUACAAUAUAAUUCUUGCUUUGAUAAAUGGCAAAAAAAAUAAAAAUAAAAAUAAAAAAUCUAAAAGAGUUUGAUCCACUGCUUGUGAUAUACUUUUUUUUUUGAACUUUAUGCCAUUAUUGGUGUCGUUGAUCUCACAGGGCUCUUCAAUGAAUCGAAUAGCUGCUUCAGCUAAGUUAUUUGACAUAUUGGAAUAUACAUGUCAUCGACAUGAGUUACCACUGGCUGUGACAUGGAUUCCUUAUUGACAAGAUGGUAAUACAAAUUCAAAGGGAAAACGUAUUCUAUGUAUUGAUGAUAGCGCUCGCUAUGUAAGAGAUUGGUCAAUUAAAGAAUUUGUGUAUAUCUAUGCACGAUAUCGUCUCGAGGAAGGAAAAGGUAUCGCCGGAAAAGCACUUCAAUCUAAUAUUCAUAUCCAGCAUAACAUUUCCCUGCUUGAUCCAGCUGAAUUCCCUUAUGCGAGGUACCUAAGUAUCUUGCUGGGCUAUAAAGCUGCUUUUGCUAUAAGGCUAACAAGUACCCACCCUUGCAAGGAUGAUUACGUAUUGGAAUUUCUUCUCCCUAGAUUCAUGGAAGAGACUUCAGAACUAGAACUUUUGAUAAAUAAGGUAUUGCGUACAUUACAGAGGAAAUGUUUAAAGAUGUGGGAAGUUAGUGUCAGAGAAGUAAAUGAAGCGAGUGGCUCUGAAGUUAGAUUGGAUGAUGAAAGAAUGCCAAACAUCCCACAUGAAGAAACACGCGAGCCUCUUGAACAGGUGCUCUUCUAUACUGAAUUCAUGUCAUUUUUUUCUUCAAGAAUGAGUUGAUUGCUAAGCAUUUUGAAUUGAAUUUUUUUAAAUUUUUUUUAAAAUUUAAUUUAAUUUUAUUUUUAUAUCAAUUUUGAUCCUUAUUUUUAUAAUUAUUAUUUAUUUUUCUUUUCUAAUUUUUUUAAUUAAAAUUUUUUAUUUAUCAUAUUUAAUCUUCAUUCUCAUUCAACUUUUUAAUUUGUAAAAUUAAUUCCUCAUUAUUCUAAUAAACUUGAAAUAAAAUAAAUAUUAAUAAGUUAUUUUCCAGUUUUUUUUAUAACAUAGUCAAAUAUCAAAAAAUAUUUUUCAAUUUAUAUUUUAUGACACCAUGAAACUCUAAAAAAUAAUUUAAUUUUUAAAAAUUCAUUUUCUAAAAAACAAUUACAUACAAUAAGAAAUUCUAGCAAGCUGUGGUACCUAGAGAAUUGGAUUCUAGGUUAUUUAGAUCCAAAAACCCUUCAAAUUAACUCAUUUUCAUUUAAAAACAUUAAAAAAAAACUUUUAAUAAGUUUAAAAUUAAAAAUCAAAUCAAAUAUAAAAAAUUUACUUGUGAUUCGCUACAAAAUAUUCUAGCCAGCAGAAUUGGGUUCUAGGUUAUUUAGACCCAAAAACUCUAAAUCAUCUGCCUUGUCAGAUGGACAGAAAAGACCCUCUGUUUUGGAUGGACACCCAUCAUGUGUCCAAUCACAGCCUUCUAUGUGGCAGAUUUCCUUCCGCAGAUUGUGCAAGGGGUGGAAUAAUUAUCAUGUUGCCAAUAUCCUACUUCCCUAUCUCUUGACAGGACGUCCAAGAACAAUCUGCUAUACCCGCACCUGCUCUGAAUGGUGAGAAUUCAUUGCCCAGUGUAGAUGGUGGCCUCCAGAGUACUAAUAAACGAAGAAAGAUAUCAACUGUGUGGGACAGGUUCGUUAAGCAUCGGGGAGAAAAUGGGGAACUAUGGGCCACAUGCAAGUAUUGUAAGAAGAAGUAUAGAGCAGAAAGAAAAAGAGGAACUUCAAAUUUGCACAAGCACUUAAAAAAUUGUUCGCCAAGCAGACAGGACGAAGCAGAGCAGCAAAUUUUGGUUGCGACAGGUGACUUGAGUACUAGCGUCAUCCAAGGGAAUUUUGUCAUAGAUCAAGAAAGAAGUCGUGUAGACAUUGCGACAAUGAUGAUUAAGCAUGGAUAUCCCUUGACUAUGGUUCAACAUGAGUUUUUUGUGAAGAAUUUUCAGCCAGUGUUUCAACUUUAUUCAAAAGACGUAGUUGAAGCUGAUGUCCUUGCUAUUUGCAGACAAGAGAAGGAGAAACUCAUCAAUUUUUUUGAUAAGCUCUCUUGUCUCUUGAGUUUAACACUUGAAUUGUGGUCAUCUACUGACAAAAUGAUGACCUACUGUUGCUUCACCGUGCACUUCAUUGACGAUGGAUGGCAGCUGAAGAAGAAGAUUCUUGCUUUCAGGAACUUACGGUACAACUAUGACGUGGGGACUGUACAUGAAGUCUUUAAAAGUGUGCUUACAGAGUGGAGCAUCAACAAGAACGUUCGCUUCAUAUUCCUGGAUAUAACUCCUCCAAAGGAUCACACGAUUGAAGAAUUAAGAAGUAAGGUUUCUGAUCAAGCCCCACGUAUCCAUGGACAUCUUUUCUGUGUUCCUAGUUAUGCCCAAAUUCUCACUCUCCUUGCUCAAGAUGGAUUUUCUGAGAUAAGGAGUGUGCUUUAUAAGAUAAGAGAAAGUAUAGAGUACGUCAACGGAAGCUCACUUAGAAGGCAGAGGUUCCAGGAGGCAAUUAAUAAUGGGAGUUUGCAGGACAGGGAAACGCCUACUCUAGAUGUUCCCGCGAGAUGGGACACCACCUUUCUUAUGCUGGAGAUUUCAUUGGAAUUUAUAACAGCUUUUAAUCACCUAGAGCAAUUGGAUGAUGAUUUCAAAGUGAAUCCUUCUGCGGAAGAAUGGAACAAAGCAACAGCCGUAUUUGAGUGCUUGAAAGAGUUCUACAAGUCAACAUGCAAUUUUCCGACAAGCAGAGAUGAUUAUUUCCUCAGUGUUCGUGAUGUUUAUAAGAAUUUGCAUGGCUGGAAACAGAGCGAUUAUGUAUAUGUUCGCGCUAUGGCAAAUAGAAUGAAGGGAAAAUUUGACAGUAUUGGGGAGAAGCUAGCUUGGCUUUGGGAAUCUCAGCAGUUCUUGACCCGAGCUAUAAAUUGGACUUUAUUGAGUAUGGCUACCGGCAGAUAUACGGCAGUGAUGCUGACUUGCACUUAUCCAGAUUCCGUUACGAUCUUACAUGUGCAUACCAUAAAUAUGCAAUGGAUAUCAGCAAUCAGGGACCAUCUUCUUCUGCCAUGGCUGACGUGAGUCGUUGUACAUCAUCUGAUAUUAGUUUCAAAGAGUGGCGCAAGGGUAAGUAUGAACGCAACAUGGUGCGCUCACAAUGGAAUGAGCUUGAUCAGUAUCUACAACUGCCGCCACCAGAGAACUUGGAUAAGGAUGGUAACGUAUUAGCUUGGUGGCGAGACAAUGCUCAAAAUUUUCCAAUACUGGGAAAAAUGGCUCGUGAUUUCUUAGCAAUUCCAGCAUCAACUGUCAUUUCCAAGUCAUCAGAGGUUAUGAAGAUGGCAUCAGUCCCUGACCGUGUUCGACCUGAGAUAGCUGAGGCUUUGAUAUGUGGAAAGGAUUGGUUGGACAGCCCUAACUGAAAGUAAGUUUUCUUUUUCUUUUUGCUCGAUAUUUAAGUGUGAGCUAUCUGUUUAUUUAUUUCUUCUUCUUUUUUCUUCAGCAAUUGAUUCAUGUUUGGAUCCUCACAGGUAGUUGCUGGUUGCUGGCCUUCUCUUUUAUUUCCAAGAACAAGAUUUUGUCUGCAGAGUGAAAAAAUCAGAAUGCGCAUAUAAUCUGCAGUCUGCGUGAACAUUAAAACUAGGCUGGAAAGUAAUUCUGAAAUGAAAACAAAUAGGAAAGUAAUUAGGUAGCAUUAUACAUCAAUUCCCUUCAUUUCAGACCAGCAAAAUUAUGUUUGCAUUAUUUCACCUAUGAUUAUGUUAAUUAUAUUUACAUUAAUCUUUUUAAUUGUAUUUGUACUGUCUCUUUUUUUAAGAAAAAAAAUCACGAUGGAAUUCAAAGUAAAAAUAAUAAUUAUAAUAAUGAUCGUUAUAUUAUUGUAAAUUAAUUUUUCAGCCCUUACUAAAUAAAAUAAAAAUAUUAGUCUCGUAAAAUCCAUAUCAAAUGUCUUAUGAUAGCCACUAAAUUAUUUUAAAGAUUCAUUAGAACAUACAUUUGAAUAUAAAUAACAUUAUUCAAAACUAACAACAUAAAUUAGAUUUAUAUUUUGAAUAAUAGAAGAAGAAAGAUGUGGAAAUUAAAGGUUUAAAUUAUUCAAAAUCAUUUUAAAUUCUUGGUCAAAGUAAUCUAGUCUCUAAACUUUAGUUUUCUUAUUCAAAUAUCAUAAACUAUUUUUUGGUAAAAAAACAAGAUUUUUUUUUAUUUAUGUUUUUGUCUCUGUUUUUUUUGUUCUUUUCAAAUUACAUAUUUUUCCUGAUUCCUAUUAUGUUUCUAAAUUCUUACCUGUGAUUGAAAUUAAUAAAAAAAAAUCUUCAAAAACAGUUUGGUUAAUGAAAUUAGAAAAAUAAUAAUUAAAGUACAAUUUGGAUAAUUUUAACAAUUUAGCCAAAUUGAAAAGAGAAAAGCAAAGGACCAUGUGAAAACGUUUCGAAACUUGUUUGAAGGUCUUUUUCUCUGGGUGAGAGCACACCGAGGAAGAGCUCACUUUCCUUGUCCAAAAGAACCACACAGAAAUGCCACAGGCAACGUAAACUAGGAAACCCCCAAAACCAAAAAGGAUUGCAGAUUUCCUUUCAAUCAAAACGAAAAUGUCCCUCCUUCUCUCCAAUCCUCUCACCUCUCUCUCUUCACUUCCCCCACUUUCAUCUCCAACUUUGGCCUUCAUUGCAACCCCAGGUACCCACUUUUCUAAACUUGUCUCAUGUUUGCAGUUUUUGCUAAUAUGGGCUUUAUCGAAGAUGCAUUUUACAAUUUCUGUUCUUGAGCGCUUUUUUGUAUAAGCUUUUUUGGUUUUACUUCAUGCUCGCUUGGCCGUUUCAUCAAACACUUAUCACGUGCUUCCUAAGUUCAACCAGUUCUUGGAUGCUCGUCCUUUCUAUAUUAUUUCUAGGAAGACUGGUCUUUUCUCUGUUAUAACCACCGAUUCAAUGUGGGUUUUGCUGAGAAUUCCUAAAUAUUUUAUCUUUCUCUUGGAUUUAGUCUUCAAGGCUCAUAUCUGAAUUGUGUGCUCGUGUUUUGUAUAUUAGUUACUAUAUAGUUUGUUUAUUUUGCUGCUGUAACCCAUAAUCGAAUCUGGGCUGUGCUUAAAAUUACUUUAGUCUCAAGACUUAUAUCUGAAUUUUCAAUGACCUCAGAACCUUUCAAUUCCAGUUUAUGUGGCAAAUCUGCAAACUGCUUUGGCUUCUUCACGGUAUGCAGGUGGUGCCAGCCCAAACUAUGCUCGAGAAUGCUGACAAAGAUAUUGAUGUUAUACUCUCUCCAUAUUCUUUAACUUCAUUUGAUUUGUUAACAGAAUCAAACAAUAUCAGGAUGCCACAAACUGAUUCUUUCUCUAGAUCAUCAAUUUAGAAAAAUAAAUUAAUACAUGAUGUGUAAUUAUAGGAAACAAUCAAAAUAAUGUUAUCUGUGGCUGGCUGGUGUCUUUGCCUGUAUUUAUGUUAAUUUUCGUUGGCUAAUCUCACCUUGUAAACCUGUUGUGUGAAGAAUCUUUCAUCCAUAAGGUACCAUAUUUGAUGUUACCCUACCAAUGGUGAAAGUGUUGGUGGGAGAAACCACUGGUGGUGGCUUUGAAACACUCGGAGGGGAUAAAACACAAGGUUUUAUUACAAAAACACAAGCUUACAAUUAAUUAACACAAAAGCUUAAUACAAUACACGCCCUCUCUCUUUCUCUCUAGUGUCUCUCUCUACUCUCUCCACAAGUUGACCUAAGCUGAUCAGGUUCUGCUUUAUGGCUGGGACAUAAUAGACAUUGGCGAUGUAGCUGGAAUCGCCGUUCUUCAACUUGAUUGGGAUGCUGCCUUUACCUUUGAACGGAACCUUUGAGGUAUCUCCAAAAGUAACUAGACCUUGUUUGGUCUCAUCUAGAUCACUAAAUAACUCUCGGUAGCCGCACAUGUAAUUGCUGGCUCCAGUAUCUAGAUACCAUAUAUUUUCCUGUUUCUCGCCAAGUUCUUGUUGGACAAGAAAUGCAGCUUCUAUGUCAUCCUUCUCUGCAUAGUUGGCUUGCUCACGUAUCUCCAACGGAGCUUUCCUUCUGCAUUCAGUGCUAUAGUGCCCAAAUUGAUUGCAACUAUAACAUUGGAUAUUCCUCUUGUCACGGUUAUUGUAACCGCCUCCUCUUCCUCUAGGAGUGAAUGCUUGAUGUCCUCUACCUCCUCUGGUGGUGUUUCUACCACCUCUUCCUCUAAAGCUUGUAUUCCAAGAACCUCUUCCUUGGAAUUUCUGAAAUCCUCCUCUGGAUUGUUGACUUCCUGCUUGAGUGGUAUAUCCACUUGUUGAAGUCUCCCCUUGCUCAUAUCUCUCUUUGAGCGACAACUUUGCUUGUAAGGCAUGCUCGAUGGCCUUAUCUCCAUUUCUCUUUACAAUCUUCUGCUCAUGAGCUUGCAAAGAACUCAUAAGCUCAUCAACUGUCAACUUGUCCACUUUCUUGGACUCUUCAAUAGCGACAACAACAAAAUCAAAUUUUGGAUCUAGGGAUCUCAAAAUUUUCUCAGUAAUUCGAGAAUCGAUGAUGGCUUCUCCAUUUCUCCUCAUCUGAUUGACUAUCACCAUAAUUCUUGUGUGAUAAUCAGAAAUAGACUCCGAGGACUUCAUUUGCAAUAACUCAAAUUCACCUCGCAAAGAUUGAAGACGAAUCUUCUUGAUUCUGUCAGCACCUUUGUAUUUUUGUUGGAGAGCCUCCCAUAUAUCAUGUGAUGUUUCAGCGGAAGCUAUGAUCUCGAAUGUAUCUUCAUCAAGACCUUGGUAGAUGAUGGUCUUUGCUUUGUUGUCCUUCUUUCUGUUGACUUUCAAGGCUUGCUUCUGUGCCUCUUGUAAAGCAUCUUCUUCUUCUUUGGACUCUGGUUCAUCAUAACCAUAGUGUACAAUCUCCAAACACUCUUGUGAACCAAGGAAUGCCUUCAAUCUGAUGCACCAAUUAUCAUAGUUGUCUUUGGUCAGCUUCGGGAUGAGUGUUUGUGUACUUUCUGUAGUCAUUUCGCUCUUUUAAUGACUAUAUCUCCUUCUGGGAGUUGAAUUUGGCAAAACCGACACUGUAGAUCGAUCCGGAAUGGUCGAAAUAGUCGGGAACCGGUCUGACUGUGUAGCAAUCAGGUCCGAAAAUGGGUGAACCGGUCACAACACCAAAUCUGGGCGUCGGGCGGUUCGCUGGGUUGAACCGGGAAUAUUCUGCGGAAUAUUCUAUCGGCUCGGCUUAGGCUAAUAGCGGCUCGGCUUAGCGGCUAGGCUUGAAAAGGGAAUAUUCUUGGGAAUAUUCUUCGGCGCGGCUGGAGGCUUGGCUUGAUGAUCGGCUCGGCUCGGCUUAACGGCUCAAUAUAUGGCGCGCGUGGACGUCACUCGUCUUCAACCUCUGGAGCGCGUGGCUGCGACUGGGCAAACAGUGCAGAAUCUUCAGGUGGCACGUGUGGUCUACCUCCGUCUCCGAUCAAUCUGAUUCUUGCGCCAGGGAGUUUGUAUGGAUGAUCUCUACACGAUGGAAUGAUCAAAACUCGUUUUUGACAACUUUGAAAAUUCGGAUAUCUCCCAAAACACUUCUGUUUUCUGACGAACGGGGCUCUGAUACCAAUUGUUGGUGGGAGAAACCACUGGUGGUGGCUUUGAAACACUCGGAGGGGAUAAAACACAAGGUUUUAUUACAAAAACACAAGCUUACAAUUAAUUAACACAAAAGCUUAAUACAAUACACGCCCUCUCUCUUUCUCUCUAGUGUCUCUCUCUACUCUCUCCACACAGAAUAACAUAAGCUUAGCUUGUUAUUUAUACACGAAUUCAAAACAAGAUAAUUCAACCUUCAAGUGUGAAGGCGGCUGUGGACGGUGGUGUGAAGGCGGCAUGCAGCUGGUGGCUGGCGGCUGGUCGGUGGCAGCUGGUGGUUGCCUUCCUUGACCAUCUAGAUUGAGUUUAAUAUUCAACAGAAAGAAGGGCCUGCCUCUAAGGUUGACAAUGGAUGGAAGAGGCUGUUUAAAAAUCAAUUAAUAUUUUAAUUUUCUAGAAAAUUGGAGUACAAAAAAGAAAACUUGAACUUUCUGUUCGAAUGUAAUAUUUCUCAAAAGUAGUUUUUUAAUUUUUUUAAUUUGUGUUGAAUUUGAAAAAUACUUUUUAGAGGUACUCCACAGUUUUUAAAUACAAGUUUUUGUUUUCUAUUUUUUACUUUAAGAAAAAAAAGGAACAAUAUAAUUUUCUCCUUUAUAUACAUUGCACAAGCAUUUUUUAACAAUGUAAAAGAUUACACACACACACACACACUUAGUGAUUACUAUAAAUUUAAUUUUUAUUAUAAUUCUAAUAUAAAGAUUUUUUAAAGUUAAUAAUAUAAAUCUUUAAUGAUAAUUUUUAAUUUGAAUAAAAUAAAAUUAAUAUUCUAUAAUUAGAUUAUCAUAAAUAUAAAAUAUUAAGAUGAUAAUUAUAAAUUAUGAUUUUGCUUUUGCUUUUGCUUUUUUUUAAUAAAAACUACCUGUAUUCUUGAUUUAUUUUUUAUUUUUGGAAAAAUAUAUUUUUGUUAAUAAAAAUGAGCAUGUUUUUUAAUUUUACAUUGAAAAAGGAAAACUAAAAAAAUGUUGUUUUCUAUUUCUUAACACACCUUAAUCCUUUCAGGCUAUUAUUAAAGUUGUUAAAUCUAAUUUGAUACUUGUUAAUUAAAUUUAAUCUGAAGAGGUUGACUAGGAUACAAGAGUUAACCUAGGUUGGUUUUGAGUUAAACUCAACAACACAUUAACCUGUUAAAUUCAUUUGACAUGACUUGUUUUUUAGUAACUUUGGUUGACUCAUUCACAUCCAAUUCAAAACCAAUUGAGUUAAUAUUUUGUAAAUAAAAAAAUUGUUGGUUUAAUAAAAAAAUUAGUUGAUUCGUAUCAACUUUGUCACAAGUAGACAUCGUGGCGAGCUAGCGAGUGAAAAAGGGAUAAAAAUGAAAGAAAAAAAAAUUAUCACCUAAUUUUAUAAUAACUAAAUACUUUAAUUGGUUUUUCAUAUUUUCAUGUUAAGAGAAUUAGUUAUGUAAUAAGAAAAAUAGAUAUUAUAUAUCAUAUCAAAGAUAAGUUGUAUUAUUAUUUAUUUUUAAUGAAAAGAAAUGUCUUGUGUGCUUUGGAAAAUAUUUUUCUAAAAUGAUUUUAUUAUCACUUUUAAGUUAACUUUUAAAAAUAAAUCUCAUUCAGAGGUUAUAUUUCUUAUAUUGAUUAAUGAAUAAUAAAAUUACGAUUAAAAUUAUGUAUUGAACAUAUAUAUAAUCAUCUUUAGGUCAACUUAUAAUGAUAAAUCCUAUUAAGGUGCUAGCUAUUCCAUAUUGAUCAUUUGAAAACAAAAUCACAACCAAAAUUUAGUAUUAAAAAUAUAAAUUUUUUAUUAUCAUUUUUAGGUCAACUUCUAAGGAUAAAUCUCAUUAAGAGGUUAUUUAUCCUAUAUUAAUCCAUAAAUAAUAAAAUUAUAAUGAAAAUCCAGUAUUGAAUAUAUAAUAAUAAUAAUAAUAAUAAUAAUAAUUUCAUUAUCACUUUUAGGUAAGUCAACUUUUAAGGUUAAAUCCAUUGGGUUAUCUAUCCUAUGAUGAUGGUCCAUGACUAAUAAAAUUAUAAUAAAAAUUUAGUGUUGAAAAUAUGUAUUUUUAAUAAUUUUAUUAUCACUUUUAGGUUAACUUUCAAGGGUAAACCUCAUUAAGAGUUUAUCUAUCUUAUAUUGACCCAUUAAUAAUAAAAAUGAGAAAAAAAUAUAUUUUUUAAUAAUUUUACUAUUUUUUUUAUCAACUUCUAAGGAUAAAUCCCAUUGAAAGUUAUCUAUUUUUUGUUAAUCCGUGAUAAAAAUCACGACAAAAAUUCAGUAUUUAAAAUAUAUAGUUUUAAUAAUUUUAUUAUCACUUAUAGGUUAACUUUCAAGGGUAAACCUCAUUAAGAGUUUAUCUAUCUUAUAUUGACCCAUUAAUAAUAAAAAUAAGAAAAAAAAAAUAUUUUUAAUAUUUUUUUUUUAUCAACUUCUAAAAAUAAAUCCCAUUGAAAGUUAUCUAUUCUUUGUUAGUUCGUGAAUAAAAUCACGAUAAAAAUUCAGUAUUGAAAAUAUAUAUUUUUUAUAAUUUUAUUUCCACUUUUAGUUUAAUUUUCUAAGGAUUAAUCCCAUCAAAUGGAUAUUUAUCCUAUAUUGAUUAAUGGAUAACAAAAUCAUUAUUAAAAUUUAUGUAUUAAAAAUAUAUUUUUGAAAUGAUUUUAUUAUUGUUUUUAUGUAAACUUCUAAGAAUAAAUUCUACCAGUGAAUUACUUAUCCUAUGUUGAUUUAUAAAUAAUAAGAUUACGACCAAAAUUUAUGUCAAAAAACCUAAAUAAAUGUUCAUAUUUUUUUAAAAAAACUUCAAAGUGAUCUUAUUAUUAUUUUGAGGAUUACUUCUAAAAUGUUUUUUAGAGGAUUCUCUGUAGAUGCCCAGACCAGAACCUUGGCGGCAGGUCUGUUGUCUACAGAUGACAAUCCUGGUUUGAAGAAGUUGCUGUACUCAGUGCUGCUAGCUGGUGGUGUGAAUAUUACACCACUUUCUUAGUUCGAUCCUGUCACAAUUUUAACUAUAUUCGCUUACUUUUGUUUCAUGUAGUUGUUACUGUUUGGGACUGGCAUUCGCCUAUUCAUGCUAGCCACCACUAGUUAUCUGCUAAACCCUAAUUGCAAAUUCAGGAUGAUGACUGAGAUCAUGUGAACAAGGGGCUAUAGGAUGGCCAUUUAUGAUCGUUUUAACAAAUUUUUGUUAUAAUUAUGUCUGAAGCUGAGGUAUUGACAUGCUUGCAGUGAUAUAUACUAAAAUAUCCAAUGCUUGAUGCUUCUGGAAUUGAGAGUUGAAUUCCUUGUAAUUAUUUUGAAGAUGGUAGCAGGGCUUGGCAUGAGUGAUAGAAUUAUGACAGCUUUUUCAAGGAGGAAAACCAACAUCAAUCUGGUGAGUUAUCCCUGUGAGACAAUUGUUGUAUGCUGUUUCUUUGCAUGGCCAUAAGUGGGUAAUUUUAUUUUUUUUGGAAAUUAUUACAUGAUAACAUUUUUCACGGAUUCCCUUGAUCAAAUCUUGUUGCUUUCGAUGGCCUCUCUUCUUUUUCACGGAUUGGUGGGGUGUGCUAAGGCGAUUGAAGGUGGUGACUAGGAUGUUGCAGAUUCACUUUUGGCAGAAAUUCAAUCUCUGGCUCCUAAAGAAGAGAGCAGAUGGACGAGGAAAGUUGUCAAAUACUGUGCUGAGGCUCUUGUCCGGCGAGCCUAUGGAAUUCGCCCUCCAUGUACUUUCCCCUCGCUACCUUUGCUAUCCGAACCAAUCGAAUACAUAUAUGACGGGUUUGCUACAAUCACCAGUAAACGACUCCACAUUAUUGACUUCUCCAUCAUGUUCGAUUUUUGGUGGUGGAUUUAUUUAACUGAUGACCUCAAAGAGCAGUAUGGUGGCCUACAAUCAGUCCUAAUAACCAGUAUCGCACCGAAACCGUCAAAACACUCUGCCUAUCUCCGUCCAAACCGGAAAUGGGCUCGGAAGGUUGAGGACAAAAAUUUGGAAUUGAUACUUCCAGUAGUAGAAGUGGUAGGCCAAAGUACCAAAAGGAUGUUCUUUUACAAACAUUGAAGAUGCCUUGUGUUGCUUUAAUCACAUGGUUCAUAUGCAUCCCCUGCCUCGUAUUAUCGAAUUUAAUGAUUUUUUAUCAGCUCUUGUCAGAAUCAAACAUUAUGGGACUGUGCUUUAUUUGUCCAAACAAAUUGAAUUGCUGCAGAUCGAACGUGAUGUGUGUCAUUUUAGCAUUUUGAUUAAUUGCUUCUGUCGCUUGCAACGUGUGGAUUUUGGGUUCUCUGUCUUGGGGAAAAUCAUUAAGCUUGGUUUUGAACCCAGUGUCAUGGUUUUUUCUACUUUAAUUAACGGGCUUUGUAUUAAGGGUAAAAUUGUUCGUGCUGUGGAAUUUUUUGAUGAGAUGGUGGAAAGAGGCUAUCAACCUAAUCUACAUACCUAUACCACGAUUAUAAAAGGUUUGUGUAAGAUUGGUAAAACCCCUGCUGCUGUUGGAUUGCUCAAGAAAAUGGACAAUGCAGGUUGCCAACCGAAUGGUGUCACAUACAGUACGCUUAUUGAUAGCCUUUGCAAGGAUAGACUAGUCAAAUAGGCUUUAGAUAUCUUCUCUGAAAUGAAAAGUAUGAAUAUGAAAAGUAUGAAUACAAAAAUAUAAAAUAUGAAGAUAGUAAUUAUAAAUUAUGAUUUUUCUUUUGCUUUUUUUAUAAAAACUACUUGUAUUCUUGAUUUAUUUUUGGAAAAAUACAUUUUUGUUAACCAAAAUGAGCAUGGUUUUUAAAAAUUUUCAUUUUCCAAAGAAAACUAAAAAGAAAGAAGUUGUUUUCUAUUUCUGAUCACACCUUAAUCCUUCCAGGCUACUAUUAUAGGAUUCAAAAGCAAACCUAGGCUGUUUUUUUGUUAAAUUGAACAGGAUAUUAGCAUGUUAAACAUGGCUUGUUUUUUAGAAACUUUGGUUGCCUCGUCACAUCCAAUUCAAAACCAAUUGGGUUAAUAUUUUGUAAAUAAAAAAAAAAUUAUUUCGAUGAUUCUGAUCCAAUGAUUUUGUCGCAAGUGGAUAUUGUAGUGAGCUACCGAGUGAAAAAGAGAUGACAAUGAAAAAAAAACACUUUUUUUUUAUGAUAACUAAAUACUUUAAUUAAUUUUUUAAUAAUUUCUGAUUGGAGAGAUUGAUCAUGUAAUAAAAAGAUAGAUAUUAUUCUGUAUAUGAUGCCUAGAAUAAAUUGUAUUAUUAUUUGUUUCUAAUAAAAAAAAUAUUUAAUGUAUCUUAGAAAAUAUUUUUUUUAAAUGGUUUUAGUAUCAUUUCUACGCCAACUUUUAAGAAUAAAUUUCAUUAAGAGGUUAUUUACAUUGAUGAAUGACCUUGCUAUUUGGCAGAUUGUUGCUCGAUACUAAAUUCAUAUUGUGAAUAAUCACUGGGGUUUUUAUGAGUUUAAUUAAUUAAAUUCUAGAUUUGUUCUAGAUAUCAUUAAUUCGAAUAAUAUAAACUUCAGCUACGUGGGAGAGUGUUACUGGAUGAUAGUUAGCUGCGGCCUCCUUUCCUAGGUUUUUUCUAAUGUAAAAAAUGUGUUAUCGCGAAGUUAAGUGUUUUUAAGAAUUAAAAAGAAAUUGACACUCAAAGUUCUUUACUUCACAAUUAAUUCACCGAUCAUGGGCAUAUAAAAGCAAGGAAUACCAAUUCUUAAUCAAUGGGUCCCUCCAUCAUGAUUCUGUAAGAUUUUUCCUUUUAGUUCUAAGAACCAAACAAGCCAUCUCAACACAUGCCCUUCCAAGAUUGCAACACAUGUCCACUAAAGCUACUUUAAUUCAGACCUUUUUUAAAAAUUGAACAGAGCUGAAUGGAAUGGAGGUCCAAUUGAAUGACACUAUCUUCAAAGUGAACUGCAGGUUCCACGAAGGAACGUAUGCUGGAAGCAAACGGGGUUCACUAUAAGAAACGAAGAGUGAAAGAGUCAUUUGCUCUUCGAUUCCCUUCAUCAAAUCUUGUCGCCUUCAAUGGCCGCUCCCCUGUCUUGCAUAUUGAUGGAGUGUGCUAAGGCGAUUGAAGGUGGUCGCUUGGAUGUUGCAGAUUCACUUUUGGCAGUAAUUCAAUCUCUAGCUCCUAAAGAGGAGAGCAUAUGGAGGAGGAAAGUUGUCAAAUACUUUGCUGAGGCUCUUGUCCGGCGAGCCUAUGGAAUUCGUCCUCCAUGUACUUUACCCUCGCUACCUUUUCUAUGCCAACCGGACAAAUACAUGUAUGAACCUUUCUACGAGUUUGCUACAAUCACCAGUGAACAUGCCAUUGCUGAUGCCUUGAAUUCGGGAUAUAAACGACUCCACAUUAUUGACUUCUCCAUCAUGUUCGAUUUUUGGUUGUGGAAUUCCUUAAUUAAAGAGCUCAAAGAGCAGUAUGGUGGCCUACAAUCAGUCCUGAUAACCAGUAUAGCACCGAAACUGUCAAAACACACUGACUGUCUCCGUCACAACCGGGAAUGGGCUCGGCAGUUUGGGGGCACAAAUUUGGAAUUGAGGCAAUUGAUAUGCAAUAGUCCGGAUGAUAUUGUCAAUUGUAUUUCCAACCUCAGAAGGAAAAGGAAGGAUGAGAUUGUGGUUGUGAAUUGGAAUUUUACACUCCACAAAUUGCUUGCACAAGAUGGGGCAAUGGAGCAAGUGCUUUCAAAAGUGAAGGAUUUGGGAGCGGACAUCAUGGUAAUUGUUGAGCAAGAAGCCAAUCUUAACAGUCCUGAUCUUUCGGAGCGGAUCGAACAAUCAUUCCAAUACUACUUCACUAUUUUUGAGUCACUGGAGAAAACAUAUAGUACCCCUGUGUUAUGGGAGAUGUAUUUCAGGCGACAAAUUGGGAAUGUGGUGGAAUGUGAAGGCGUUGACCGGGUCGAGCAGAUUGAGUCAUUUGCUGAAUGGCAAAAUCGCCUAUCUCGGGCCGGGUUUUGUCCAGUUCCCCAACAGGUAGACAAUUUGGAGGAGGAUCUUUCUUUUUUAGAAGAAUUUGGAAUCGAAGAGAAGGAAGAGCAUAAUAUCCUGCUACGUCGGCACUGUUUUCCGCUAGCUGUAGCCUCAGUUUGGAAGGUCACUGAUCCACCUCAAUUCAGUGGCGGUGAAUAAUCCAAUUCCAUCCUUUCCUUUCUCUUCUCUUGUUAUACUAAUUAUCCAUCAAUAAAUUCGUUGUGUAUUUUCACUUUAGGCUACUGGAAAAACAUGUUGACAGGUCUUUACACAAUGCAAGAUACAGUUGAUGACUCAGAAGGGAUGGCGAGCUCCUCUGAGUCUGAGGAUGAUGAAGAAAAUGAUUCUCUAGUUUCCAUAAUGGCAGAUAGAAACUUAGGGUCCACACAGGUAUCGUUCUCUGUUUCCGAGAUUUAACAAAUUUCCUAGUUUUAUCUUUAUGGCAUGGGGAGAUUGCAACAACUUCAAAUUCGUUAGACAUAAAUUAGAAACUUACAAUAUAAUUCUGCUUUGAUAAAUGGCAAAAAAAAUCAAUCUAAAAGAGUUGGAUCCACUGCUUGUGAUUUACUUUUUUAUCUUUGUGCCAUUAUUGGUGUCGUUGAUCUCACAGGGCUCUUCAAUGAAUCGAAUAGCUGCUUCAGCAAAGUUAAAUGACAUAUUGGAAUAUAUAUGUGAUCUACAUAGGUUACCACUGGCUGUGACAUGGAUUUCCUAUGGCCAAGAUGGUAAUACAAAUUCAAAGGGAAAACGUAUUCUAUGUAUUGAUGAUAGCGCUUGCUAUGUAAAUAAUUGGUUAAUGGAUGAAUUUGUGGAUGAAUAUGCACGACAUCCUCUCGAGGAAGGACAAGGUAUUGCCGGAAAAGCACUCCAAUCUAAUAUUCAUAUCCAGCAUGACAUUUCCCUGCUUGAUCCAGCUGAAUUCCCUGAUACGAGUGAGGGAAUUAGCCGGUACAUCAGAAUCCAUCAUGCUGCUUUUGCUAUAAGGCUAACAAGUACCCACCCUUGCAAGGAUGAUUACGUACUGGAAUUUCUUCUCCCUAUAGACAUGACAGACAGAACAGAACUUUUGAUAAAUAAGGUCUUGCGUACAUUGCAGAGGAAAUGUUUAAAGUUGUGGGAAGUUAGUGUCAGAGAAGUAAAUGAGGCGAGUGGCUCUGAAGUUAGAUUGGAUGAUGAAAGAAUGCCAAACAUCCCACAUGAAGAAACACGCGAGCCUCUUGAACAGGUGCUCUUCUAUACUGAAUUCAUGUCUUUUUUUUCUUGAAGAAUGAGUUGAUUGCUAAGCAUUUUGAAUUGAUUUUUUUUUUAAUUUUUUUUUAAAUUUAAUUUAAUUUUAUUUUUAUAUCAAUUUUAAUUUUAAUUUUUAUAAUUAUUAUUUAUUUUUCUCUUAUAAUUUUUUUAAUUAAAAUUUUUUAUUUAUUAUAUUGGAUUCUCAUUUUUAUUUUUAUUCUCAUUUAACUUUUUAAUUUAUAAGAUUAGUUUCUUAUUAUUUUAAUAAAUUUGAAAUAAAAUAAAAUAUUAAUAAAUUAUUUUACAGCUUUUUUUUAUUAUUUAGCUAAACAUAAAAAGAUAUUUUUCAAUUUAUUUUUUAUGACACUAUCAAAUAUCUAAAAAUAAUUUAUUUUUCAAAAUUUUACUUUUAAAAAAUAAAAAAAAUUUACAUUUCAGACAGAGCACACGUGUUGUUUGCUAUAAGAAAUUCUAGCCAGCUCUGGUACCUAGAGGAUUGGAUUCUAGGUUAUUUAGAUCCAAAAACAUCAAAUUAACUCAUUUUCAUCUAAAAACAAUAAAAAAAAACCUUUUAAUGAAUUUAAAAUUAAAUAUCGAACUAAAUAAAAAAAAUCUACAUGUGAUUCGCUGCAAGAAAUUCUAGACAGCAGAAUUGGGUUCAAGGUUAUUAAGACCCAGAAACUCUAAAUCAUCUGCCUUGUCAGAUGGACAGAAAAGACCCUCUGUUUUGGAUGGACACCCAUCAUGUGUCCAAUCACAGCCUUCUAUGUGGCAGAUUUCCUUCCGCAGAUUGCGCAAGGGGUGGAAUAAUUAUUGUUCAGUAGAUAAAUUACAUUUGAUAAUUCGAAUAUAAUAAAAUCCAUUUUGCCUCCGUUUUGCUUGUAUGUUCAACUAUUGAAGAAGACACCAUCUGCCAAUAUUAUUGACUAGAAUUGGCCUUCAUGUUGCCAAUAUCCUACUUCCCUAUCUCUUGACAGGACGUCCAAGAACAGUCUGCUAUACCUGCACCUGCUCUGAAUGGUGAGGAUGCAUCGCUUAGUGUAGAUGGUGGCCUCCAGACUACUAAUAAACAAAGAAAGAUGUCAGCUGUGUGGGACAACUUCGUUAAGCAUACGGCAGAAAACGGGGAAGAAUGGGCCACAUGUAAAUAUUGUAAGAAGAAGUAUAGAGCAGAAAGCAAAAGAGGAACUUCAAAUUUGCACAAACACUUAAAAAAAUGUUCGCGAAGCAGACAGGACGAAGAAGAGCAGCAAAUCUUGGUUGAGACAGGUGACUUGAGUACUAGCGUCAUCCAAGGGAAUUUUGUCAUAGAUCAAGAAAGAAGUCGUCUAGACAUUGCAACAAUGAUUAUUAAGCAUGGAUAUCCCUUGGACAUGGUUCAACAUGAGUUUUUUGACAUUUUUGUGAAGAAUUUGCAGCCAGUGUUUAAACUUUAUUCAAAAGACGAGGUUACAGAUGAUGUCCUUACUAUUUGCAGACGAGAGAAGGAGAAACUCAUCAAUUUUUUUGAUAAGCUCUCUUGUCUCUUGAGUUUAACACUUGAAUUGUGGUCAUCUACUGACAAAAUGAUGACCUACUGUUGCUUCACCGUGCACUUCAUUGACGAUGGAUGGCAGCUGAAGAAGAAGAUUCUUGCUUUCAGGAACUUACGGUACAACUAUGACCUGGGCACUGUACAUGAAGUCUUUAAAAGUGUGCUUACAGAGUGGAGCAUCAACAAGAACGUUCGCUUCAUAUUCCUGGAUAUAACUCCUCCAAAGGAUCACAUGAUUGGAGAAUUAAGAAGUAAGGUUUCUGAUCAAGCCCCACGUAUCCAUGGACAUCUUUUCUGUGUUCCUAGUUAUGCCCAAAUUCUCAGCCUCCUUGCUCAAGAUGGAUUUUCUGAGAUAAGGAGUGUGCUUUAUAAGAUCAGAGAAUGUAUAGAGUACGUCAACGGAAGCUCACUUAGAAGGCAGAGGUUCCAGGAGGCAAUUAAGAAUCGGAGUUUUCAGGACAAGGAAAUUCCUACUCUAGAUGUUCCCGCGAGAUGUGACACCACCUUUCUUAUGCUGGAGAGUUCAUUGGAAUUUAGAACAGCUUUUAAUCACCUAGAGCAACUCGAUGAUGAUUUCAAAGUGAAUCCAUCUGCGGAAGAAUGGAACAAAGCAACAGCCGUAUGUGAGUGCUUGAAGGAGUUCUGCCAGUCAACAUGCAAUUUUCCAACAAGCAGAGAGGAUUAUUUCCUUAAUGUUUGUGAUGUUUGUAAGAAUUUGCUUAAGUGGGAACAGAGUGAUUAUGUAUAUGUUCGCGCUAUGGCAAAUAGAAUGAAGGGAAAAUUUGACGAGUAUUGGGGAGAAGCUAGCUUGGCUUUGGGAAUUUCAGUAGUUCUUAACCCGUACUUUAAAUGGGACAUUAUUGAGUAUGGCUACCCGCAGAUAUACGGCAGUGAUGCUGACUUGCACUUAUCCAGAUUCCGUUGCGAUCUUACAUGUGCAUACCAUAAAUAUGCAAAGGACAUCAGCAAUCAGGUACCAUCUUCUUCUGCCAUGGCUGACGUGGGUCGUUGUACAUCAUCUGAUAUUAGUUUCAAAGAGUGGCGCAAGGGUAAGUAUGAACGCAACAUGGUGCACUCACAAUGGAAUGAGCUUGAUCAGUAUCUACAACUGCCUCCGGAGAACUUGGAUAAGGAUGGUAACGUAUUAGCUUGGUGGCAAGACAAUGCUCGAAAUUUUCCAAUACUGGGAAAAAUGGCUCGUGAUUUCUUAGCAAUUCCAGUAUCAACUGUCAUUUCCAAGUCAUCAGAGGUUAUGAAGAUGGCAUCAGUCCAUGACGGUGUUCGUCCUGAGAUAGCCGAGGCUUUGAUAUGUGGAAAGGAUUGGUUGGACAACCCUACCUGGAAGUAAGUUUUCCUUUUCUUUUUGCUCGAUUGAAGUGUGAUGCUUUUAUAUCUCUGCUAUCUGUUUAUUUAUUUCUUCUUCUUCUUUUUUCUUCAGCAAUUGAUCCAAGUUUGGAUCCUCACUGGUAGUUGCUACUUGCUAGUAGUGUGAAAUAAGUUUUUCCCAGGUAAACACUGGCCUUCUCUUUUAUUUCCAAGAACAAGAUUUGUCUGCAGAGUGAAAAAUCAAGAUGCGCAUAUAAUCUGCAGUCUGCAUGAACAUUAAAACUAGGCUGGAAAGUAAUUCUCAAAUGAAAACAAAUAGCAAGUAACAAGGUACAUUAUUUUUCUAUGCCGCAGGGUCAACCAGGCUGAGCAUAUCUGAUUUGGAUGCUGUAGAAGAAUAGUACUGGACAUAAGAACCUGAAAGUGACGAAGACUUAUUAUUUGCUAAAUUUUAUAGAUGUAAGAAAUAAUUUGAAACUACGUGUGAGUCCGUUUUGGCUUAAAACAAAGCAAGAAAUUGAUGUUUUUUUUUUUUGUUAUUUAAUGGUUUUAAUAUUCUAUGUGAAAAAUAAAAGAAAUUUUUUUUAAAAAUAUUUUUAUAUGAUUCAAUUAAAAAAUUAUUUAAAAAAACAUCAUUUAUCAUAAUACAAAGUGCAUGUCUAUUUUUGAGCUUUAAAAAUAUAUUUUUUAUUUUUUUAUUUCAAAUUAAUUUUUUUAUUUUUAAAUUAUUUUGACGUGGUGAUAUUAAAAAUAAAUUUUAAAAAAUAAAAAAAUAUUAUGUUAAUAUAUUUUUAAAUAAAAAAUAUUUUUAAAAACAAUUAACUUAUUAAAUUGAUCAAGGUUUGAGUUGAUCUAGUAAAGAUGUAAAUGAGAUUUGUUUGAUUUAAAAAAAAAAAAACAUUGUUUUUAAUUUUUUUUAAAUUAAAAUAAUGUUAUUUUCAGUUAAUCUAAGUUUGAUCUACUUUGAUUAGAUAUAUAUUAAAAAUAUAUUUGAGAGUAUAGUAAUAAUUAUUUUUUUAAAUAGAUAUAUAAAAAUACAAUAAAAUAAUAUUUUUUAUUUAAAAAAUUAUUUUUAAUCCUAAUAAAUCAAAACAAACAAAAUAAUUACGUCUCAUAAGUAUAAGUUAGAGAGCGGCCAACAUAUCGAGGAAGAUAAUUGAGGUAAUGGUAAUUUUGUCCCAGUAAAAAACCCAAUUAAAAACAUUGUAUGACUAGCCAAACAAUUAACAUGUGAGAAGCAAAUUUAGCUAGCAUUAUCCGUCACUUCACCAAUUUUUUCUUUAUCUAUGUUUUUGUUGUUAUUUUUUUUUUCAAAUUACGAAUUUUUCCGAUUCCUAUUAUUAUGUUUCUAAAUUAUUACAUGUGAUCGAAAUUAAUAAAAAAAAUUAUUUAUUUUCAGAAAGAAUUUAGGUAAUGAAAUUUUAAAAAAUAUAAUAAUUAAAGUACAAUUUGAUCUAAAAUCCCGGAUAAUUUUAACAAUUUAGCCAAAUUGUAAAGAGAAAAACAAAGGACCAUUUGAAAACGUUUCGGAACUUGAAUGAAGGAUUUCCUUUCAGUCUUUUUCUCUGGGAGAGAACAAACCAAGGUAGAGCUCACUUUCCUUGUCCAAAAGAACCACCCAGAAAUGCCACAGGCAACGUAGACCGGGAAACCCCGCAAACCAUAAAGAUUGCAGAUUUCCUUUCAAUCAAAACGAAAAUGUCCCUCCUUCUCUCCAAUCCUCUCACCUCUCUCUCUCUUCACUUCCCCCACUUUCAUCUCCAACUUUGGCCUUCAUUGCAACCCCAGGUACCCACUUCUCUAAACUAGUCUCAUGUUUGCAGUUUUUGCUAUUAUGGGCUUUAUCGAAGAUGCAUUUUACGAUUUCUGUUUUUGAGCGCUUUUUUGUAUAAGCUUAUUUGGUUUCACUUCAUGCUCACUUGGCCGUUUCAUCAAACACUUAUCACUUGCCUCCUAGGUUCAACCAGUUCUUGGAUGCUCGUGCUUUCUAAAUUAUUUAGAUGAAGACUGGUCUUUUCUCUGUUAUAACCACCGAUUCAAUGUAGGUUUUGCUGAAAAUUACUAAAUAUUUUAUCUUUCUCUUGGAUUUAGUCUUAAAGGCAGUUACUAUAAAGUUUGUUUAUUUUGCUGCUGUAACCUAUAAUUGAAUCUGGGUUGUGCUUGAAAUUACGAAAUAUUUUAUCUUUCACUUUAAUAUAGUCUUCAAGACCCAUAUCUGAAUCUUCAAUGACCUCAGAACCUUUCAAUUCCAGUUUAUGUGGCAAAUCUGCAUACUGCUUUGGCUUCUUCACGGUAUGCAGGUGGUGCCAGCCCAAACUAUGCUCGAGAAUGCUGACAAAGACAUUGAUGUUGUACUCUCUCCAUAUUCUUUAACUUCAUCUGAUUUGCUAACAGAAUGGAACAAUAUCAGCAUGCCACAGAUUGAUUCUUUCUCUAGAUCAUCAAAUUAGAAAAAUAAAUUAAUACAUGAUUUGUAAAUAUACGAAACAAUCAAAAUAAUGUUAUUUGUGGCUGGUGUUUUUGCUUGCUAUUUAUGUUAAUUUAAGAGGCAAAUUUCACCUUGUAAUAUAUAUUACCAAAGAAUAUAAAACAUGUUGCUCUUUUACUGUGGAUGCUGAGACAUUUUGACUGUGGAUUGUGGCAGUGUGAUACCGGUUUUGCCCUUGGUGAAUUCAUUGCUGGGUGUUGUUGGGCGGGUGCUGUCUUGGUUUUUGGUUGCUUUCUUUGUUAGGGGCAGGGUGAGGCAGGGGAGCGUCAACCACUUUUUCCUGCUGUGGGCCAGGGCUUCCUGUGGGCAUGCAGGCUUUGUGUUCGUGCCUCUUCGUUUUCUAGGGGAUUGGAUUUCUUUCUUUUGUCAUGGUUUGUUUUGGGGGUGUCUCACCUCCCUUCUCUGUUUCAAUCUGCCUGCAGAGUGUGCGACAGGGGGGUUAUUGCUCUAUGGAUUGGAUGUUGAUUUGGGUAUGAGCGUUUGAUUUGUCGAUUUUUAGUUUCUUUGCCUCUGCAUUGUCUGCGUUUGGUUUGUGAAUUUUUGGUUUCUUGGCCUCUGCUUUCCCUUUUGAUGUUGUUGGGUUGUGUGUGGGUUCGUUUCUUUGUGUGUUGUUCUGGUUUGGCAUAUUUUUUAAAAUUGUGGUUGGUUUUGCUUGAGUUAUGUCACUUCAGGUCCUGUUUCUUUGUGUAUUUGGGGGAAUGGCAUGCUACUGUUUGAUGUCUUUUCUUCUGGUGGGGAGUAGGUAGAGUAGUUUGGAUUUGGCGUCCUUCAUCAGUUGCAUCUUCGUUUUCAGGUCUUUCCCUUUCUUUCUUUUUGGUUUGUUGGGUGCUGUGGCAUUGUUUUGCCUUCUUAUUGGUUCUUUCAGCCUUCUAUUCCUUUUUUUCAGUUUGGUUGGUUUCAGUUUUAGUCUUUUUUAUCGUCAUUUUAACUGCUUUGUUUUUUCUUUUCCUCUUGAUGGCUUAUCAGGUUUAGCUUCUGCUCAUUGGGCUUGAGCUGGCAGAGUUCCAGUUUUGUGGUCUGCCAUGCUGGUUCUUUUGUUGAGAUGCUGCUAUGACAAGUUUUGAAAAUCUCUUAUUGCUUUAUGAUAUUUGUCUUGGGCGGCAUUCCAUGUUGAUAUGUUUUUGCAGCAGGGAUUAGUUUUUAUAUUCGUGCUGUUGGCUUCUGUUUUGGUUGUCUGUGGUCUGUUGCUUUUAAGGUUAUUUGUCGCUGGUGCUUUUGUUUUUAUUACUGCUUUGCUGUUGAGGGGGGUUCUGUUACUGUCUGUGUCCAAAUAUGUUAGGGUUUCUCGUCCGGGGAGGGUGGCUUCCGGGAAACGUGCAUGGUAGGGGAGGUUUGGAUAAAAUGAAAGAUCUCGAUGCAUGAUUGUUAGAUGGUUUUGCUGUGGAUUUGUGUUUUGCUUUGGUGGUCUUUGUGCACAUUCUGAACUUAAAGGCCACUUAAAGACCACGAAGGGUCUUCCUAGACUAAGGUUAAAGUGCUUGGUCUGUUCAGAAAACUUUUUUGCAAGGUUCAUGUUCUCUUUUCUUUCAAGCUUUGGCCUUUGUCAGUUGCACUGUGAGUUCAGUCAUGGUUGAUUGUUUAAUUGGUUUGCCAUUUGUCUUUUGAGGCUGAUUUUAUUUGUUGUUCAUGCAGGGGCCUUUGGUCAUCUUUUAAACUUCAGACCCUUCUGCUCUCUGCAUCUUGGUAAGCAUUGCCCUGGGUUUCUUUCAUCUUUUAAGGUUCUGUUCAUUUUCUUAUUCUGCUAUGGGUGUUUUGUUUACAAGAUGUUUUUGUUUUAUGGUUUGCUGUUUCAUUCAUUUAUCUACCUUUCGUUACAUAUCUUUUUGGUUCUUUUCUCCCUUUUCAAUUGCUUUUAUAAUGUUGUUACUGUUUUGAUUUUUCCUUGUUCUUUUUUCUUUUUUUGUUUGUCAGCAUCUUCUAUUUUGUUGUCAUUUGUUACCAUCUACUGUUUUGGCUGUGCUUUGUCCAAUAAAAAACUUCAGUGUGGUCGUGUUGUCAUGUUCCUACCAUUUUAAGGACUGCCUCAAUUAAGGAUGACCCUGACAUGCCCUGAUUACCCAAGGUGAGAUUUAACCAGCAACAAUCAUACCCCAAUGUUUGAGGCAGGGGAUCAUGUGUGAUCUUAUGCAUAACUUUCUUCCCCAUUUUACAUGAAUUUCAUUGAAAUUCUGGUGGCUAGCCUUUCAAUAGUAUUGCACCGGUGUUGGAUUUGAGUGUUUAUCAUGUUGAACUAAGAGGCUGGCAAUUAUUUGAAUCAUGGGACCACUGAUUAAAAACUUGGUGAAAAUUCCCAAUUCCAGUCAUAGCUUUUUUUCAGGUUUCCCUUCAAUUGAAUUUUAGAGUUCAAUGCAUAUUUAUGGAUGUGGAGCUUGAGGAAAUUUCUCUAAUCAACAAAAAGACAAACAUUGACUUACGAAUUUAGCAUUUUGAUUUAGAAAAAGCAUGCCAUUCAUCACAGAAUUUGACAUUUUGCUUUAAAGCAUGGAGUUUACAUUUACUUAGAUUUACUUUGGGAUAGAACCUCAUGACCAGCUUCUCCUAGGAUUCUAUCCCUGAUUUACUUUCUAAACAUACCUUAAUCCUUUCAUGCUGCUAUUAUAAUUGUUAAAUCUAAUUUAACUUGGCAGAUUGUCUAGGAUACAAAAGCAAACCUAGGUUUGUUUUUAGUUAAACUGAACAAGACAUUAGCCUAUUAAAUUCAUUUGACAUGGUCACAUCCAAUUCAAAACCAAUUGGGUCCAUAUUUUGUAAAUAAAUUUUCUUUUUGUUUUGAUAAAAAAUAGUUGAUUCACAUGUUGAUCUAAUGAUUUUGUCACAAGUGGACAUCGUGAUGAGCUAGCGAGUGAGAAAAGGAUAAAAAAAAAAACUUGCCACCUAGUUUUAUAAUAACUAAAUACUUUAAUUGGUUUUUGAUAAUUUCUGGUUAAUUGAGUUGGUUAUGUAAUAAGAAAAAUAUACAUUACUCUAUACAUCAUAUCUAAAAUAAUAAAUUGCAUUGUUAUUUGUUUUUAAUGAAAAGAAAUGUCUAAUGUGCCUUGAAAAAUAUUUUUCUGAAAUGAUUUUAGUAUCACUUCGAUUAAAAUUCAGUAUUGAAUAUAUAUAUAGAGGUUUUUAGGUCAACUUUUAAGAAUAAAUUCCAUUAAAGUGUUAUCUAUCUUAUAUUAGCCCAUGAUAAUAAAAUUACAACCAAAAAUGAUUACGUAUGGCACUUCCGUGCUUGAUCCACCUGAAUUCCCUGAUGACAGUUACGGAAUUAUCCGGUGGAUCAGAAACUUUCAUGCUGCUUUUGCUAUAAGGCUAACAAGUACCCACUCUUGCAAGGAUGAUUAUGUAUUGGAAUUUGUUCUCCCAGGAGGCAUGAAAGAGACUUCAGAACGAGUACUUUUGAUAAAUAAGGUCUUGCGUACCUUGCAGAGGAAAUGUUUAAAGAUGUGGGAAGUUUGGGUCAGAGAACUAAAUGAGGCCAGUGGCUCUGAAGUUAGAUUGGAUGAUGAAAGAACGUCAAGCAUCCCACAUGAAGCAGUUUCUAGGGUUUUUCAUUUCCAUCAUGCGAUGGUGUUUUAGAAGGAAAUGGAUUCAUGACAUUGAACCCAACCAGCAAUCAAGCAGAAGAAACACACGAGCCUCUUGAAUGAGUUGCGCUCUUCAUGCACGUCUGCGAAGCUAAGGCUUUUAUUUCGAUAGGUCUUGUAGUUCUUAUGAAUGGGUGAGAUUGGAAGGGGGGGACCAAAAUAACAAAAUGCGGCAAAUAUGAGUGAUGUACAAUAAGUUUCGAAAACAUUUACUUUGGUCCUUUAAUUUAAACAAUCAUGUAAAUUAUACAAUUUCGAUCCCUGUAAAUUAUCCAAUUUUAUUUUGUACAGAAGUUUAUUUUUGUUAUUUUUUGAACUCUGGUUGAGAGAGCGAUAAAAGAGAAAUUUAUUGAUAGUAUCAAUUUAGGCUAUUAAAAUGAGGUAUUUUUGUGUCAAAUUAUUCUAUCUGAUAAGAGGAGUUAAUAUUAGGGGAACGUUUAGGAACGCGGCUGCGGCUGCGUUCCUAAAAAAUUAAAAAAAAAAUUUUUUACUAAAAUUUAAUAUGGUUUGUACGUUUUGGAUCGUUUUGAUGUGCUGAUGUCAAAAAUGAUUUUUAAAAAAUAAAAAAAAAUCAUUGGCAUGCAUUUUGGCACGAAAAGUUAUUUGAAAAGCACCCGCAACCACACUGCCAAACACGCUCCUAGGUGUUAAUGUUGCCCACAUCCUACUUCCCUAUCUCUUGACAGGACGUCCAAGAACAAUCUGCUAUAUCUGCACCUGCUCUUAAUGGUGAGAAUUCAUUGUCCAGUGUAGAUGGUGGCCUCCAGAGUACUAAUAAACGAAAGAUAUCAACUGUGUGGGACAGAUUCGUUAAGCAUCGGGGAGAAAACGGGGAAGUAUGGGCCACAUGUAAAUAUUGUAAGAAGACGUAUAGAGCAGAAAGCAAAAGAGGAACUUCAAAUUUGCAUAAGCACUUAAAAAAAAUGUUCGCCAAGCAGACAGGACGAAGCAGGGCAGCAAAUUUUGGUUGAGACAGGUGACUUGAGCACUAGCGUCAUCCAAAGGAAUUUUGUCAUAAAUCAAGAAAGAAGUCGUCUAGACAUUGCAACAAUGAUGAUUAAGCAUGGAUAUCCCUUGGCUAUGGUUCAACAUGAGUUUUUUGAAAUUUUUGUGAAGAAUUUGCAGCCGGUGUUUAAACUUUAUUCAAAAGACGUAGUUGAAGCUGAUGUCCUUGCUAUUUGCAGACAAGAGAAGGAGAAACUCAUCAGUUUUUUUGAUAAUCUCUCUUGUCUCUUGAGUUUAACACUUGAAUUGCGGUCAUCUAAUGACAAAAUGAUGAACUACUGUUGCUUCACUGUGCACUUCAUUGACGAUGGAUGGCAGCUGAAGAAGAAGAUUCUUGCUUUCAGGAACUUACGGUACAACUAUGACAUGGGGACUGUACAUAAAGUCUUUAAUAGUGUGCUUACAGAGUGGAGCAUCAACAAGAACGUUCGCUUCAUAUUCCUGGAUGUAACUCCUCCAAAGGAUCACACGAUUGGAGAAUUAAGAAGUAAGGUUUCUGAUCAAGCCCCACCAAUCCAUAGACAUCUUUUCUGUGUUCCUAGUUAUGCCCAAAUUCUCAGUCUCCUUGCUCAAGAUGGAUUUUCUGAGAUAAGGAGUGUGCUUUAUAAGAUAAGAGAAUGUAUAGAGUAAGUCAACGGAAACUCACUUAGAAGGCAGAGGUUCCAGGAGGCAAUUAAUAAUGGGAGUUUGCAGGACAGGGAAAUGCCUAUUCUAGAUGUUCCCGCGAGAUGGGACACCACCUUUCCUAUGCUUGAGAGUUCAUUGGAAUUUAGAACUGCUUUUAAUCACUGUUGACCAAGAAUGACUCUAGAAGCAAAAUAAAAUCUCAGUAGAAUCUAAGUUUGUUUACAUUUAUUAGAGUUUGUUUCUUGUUGCUAGUCUAAUGACUAUUUUUAUUCCAUGUAAUAGAAAAUCAGAUAUCCUAGGAGAAUAUCUUGCAAUUCUGUUUUUCCUUAUUGUAUAAAUAAUCGUAUUGAAAUUCAAUAAAGCAUGUGUUCUGCUGCAACUACAAUAUAAAGCUUUUGUUUUCUCUUCAAUAUAUACAACAAAUUGGUAUCAGAGCUGAUUUUCUUGAGGGACUUGUGAAAUUGAGAGAUCCUAAACACAACCUUCAAACACCUGUGAGAUUGAGAUAUCCUAAACACAACCUUCAAAUACUUUUCAUCUAAACACAACACAACCAAUAUGAACUCAGAAAUGCCAUUUACUGCAGUUGCACCUCCAGUAUUUGAUGGGAUCAAUUAUCAAGUAUGGGCUGUUAGAAUGGAAGCCUAUCUUGAUGCUAAUGAUCUAUGGGAAGCAGUUGAACAAGUAUAUGAGUGCCAACUCUGUCAGACAAUCCAACAGUUGCACAAAUCAAAAAUCACAGAGAGAAGAAGCAGAGAACAUCGAAAGCAAAAGCAACUUUGUUUGCAGCAGUCUCACCCACCAUUUUCAACAGAAUAAUGACUCUCAAAACAGCAAAGGAAAUCUGGGAUUUUCUGAAAGGAGAAUACGAAGGAAAUGAGAGAAUCAAAGGGAUGCAGAUGCUAAACUUAAUCCGAGAGUUUGAGUUACAAAAGAUGAAAGAAUCAGAAACAAUCAAGGAAUAUUCUAACAAACUUCUCAGCAUUGUUAACAAUGUAAGACUUCUUGACACUGAUUUUUCUGAUUCUAGAAUUGUUCAAAAAAUUCUAGUAACAAUUCCAGAGAAGUUUGAGACAACAAUCUCAUCUUUAGAAAAUUCUAAAGAUCUGUCAAGCAUUACCUUGGCAGAGUUGUUGAAUGCACUACAAGCACAAGAGUAAAGGAGGCUGAUGAGGCAAGAAACAACUGUAGAGGGUGCAUUCUUUAUCAAAUCUCAAAACUAUCGUGAUGGUAAGAACAAAAAAAAACAGAACAACAAGUUUGGAGGCUCUGCAUUCAACACCAAAAACAAUAAAACUAGCAACAUUCAAAGCUUUCCUCUCUGCCCUCACUGCAAAAAAAAAAACAAUCAUCCUCAGAAUAAAUGCUGGUGGAGUCCUAAUGCACGUUGUUUUAAGUGUGGUCAGUUAGGGCACAUGGAAAAGAUAUGCAAGACUCAACAACAACAAACUGAAGCCAAAGUUGCCGAUGAUCAACAUCAGGAGGAGCAUUUGUUUGUGGUUCCAUGUUUAGCCACAAAUAAAUUCACAGAAAAUUGGCUCAUUGACAGCGGUUGUACAAAUCACAUGACUCAUGAUGGAAAGCUCUUCAAAGAGCUUGAUAGAAAUAUUAUUUCCAAAGUCAAGAUUGGAAAUGGAACUCACUUGAAAGUAGAAGGCAAAGGAACAGUAGCCAUUGAAACACACUCAGGUUUUAAAUUAAUUUCAGAUGUACUAUAUGUUCCUGAAAUUAAUCAAAACUUGUUAAGUGUUUCCCAGUUGCUGGACAAAGGUUAUAAAGUGCUGUUUGAAGAUAAAAGUUGUGUGAUUGAAGAUGCUGAGGGCAUAGAAGUCUUUAAUAUUCAGAUGAAAGGCAAAAGUUUUGUGCUGGAUUUUAAAGAAGAGCAGGCUGUUGUAUACAAGGAAGUCAAUAAUUCAUUACUUUGGCACAAGAGAAUGGGGCAUUAUCGUUAUGAAGCAUUAUUUUUCAUGGAAAAGAAUAACAUGGUGAAAGGCUUGCCCAAAUUAGAAAAAGAUCUUCCAAUAUGUGCUGCCUGUCAAUAUGGAAAGCUGUCAAGACUUCCAUUUCAACAAACCAAAGCCUGGAGAGCUACACAGAAGUUGCAACUAAUUCACACAGAUGUUGGAGGACCAAUGAACACAUCAUCUCUAAAUGGCAGUAAGUACUAUGUUGUCUUUAUUGAUGAUUAUUCCAGAAUGUGUUGGAUUUACUUUAUGAAAUUCAAAGCUGAAGUUGCCAACAUAUUUGGAAAGUUCAAAGCAUGGAUUGAAACUCAAAGUAACUGUAAAAUUCAGGUAAUCAGAUCCGAUAAUGGAACUGAAUACACUUCUGAAAAAUUUAACAGAUUUUAUGAAGAUGCAGACAUUGAACACCAACUUACAGCACCAUAUUCUCCACAACAAAAUGGUGUUGUGGAAAGAAAAAACAGAACAGUGAUGGAGAUGACGAGAUGCUUGCUACAUGAUAAAGGAUUGCCUAAGAAAUUCUGGGCUGAGGCAGCUAAUACAUCAGUAUUCUUGUUGAAUAGAUUGCCAACAAAAGCCCUGCAGACAAGGACUCCGUUUGAAGCCUGGUUUGGCUACAAACCAAAGCUAAUUAAUCUGAAGAUAUUUGGUUGUUUAUGUUUCUCUUAUAUUCCUCAAAAUAAGAGAGACAAACUGGACAAGAAGGCUGAAGCUGGGAUUUUUGUAGGCUACAGUGUUGUUGCAAAAGCCUACAGAAUCUACAUACCUCAAAGAAACAAAGUAAUCAGCAGGGAUGUUCAGUUUUUUGAAUCUGACAGCUGGGAUUGGAAAAAUGAAAAGCAAAUUGAAGAUCAAAAUCAGAAGAAUGAAAUAGAUGAUGUACCUGUGAGAGGAACCAGAACUCUUGCUGACAUCUAUCAAAGAUGCAAUGUUGCUGCAAUAGAACCUGCAAAUUAUGAAGAAGCUGCAACUGAUCAGAAAUGGUUAGAUGCAAUGAAGGAGGAGCUAAAGAUGAUUGAAAAGAAUCAAACGUGGGAAUUGGUGGACAGACCUCAACACAAAAAAGCCAUAGGAGUCAAAUGGAUUUUCAGGACCAAAUUGAAUUCUAAUGGUUCUGAGAAUAAAUACAAGGCAAGGCUGGUUGUCAAGGGAUAUGCUCAGAUGUUUGGGGUGGAUUUUUUUGAAACAUUCCCUCCAGUUGCAAGGAUGGAUACAAUAUGGAUGCUGCUGGCACUUGCUGCACAAAAAGGCUGGACUUUACAUCAAAUGGAUGUAAAGUCAGCUUUUUUGAAUAGUUACUUGGAGGAAGAAAUCUUUGUUGAAUAACCUGAAGGUUUUUCUGUUGCAGGACAAGAGAAUCAGGUAUAUCAACUAAAAAAAGCCUUAUACGGCUUAAAGCAGGCUCCAAGAAGCUGGUACAGCAGGAUUGAUGCUUACUUGCAAAACUUAGGCUUUAUAAGAAGUCUAAGUGAAUCUACUCUUUACGUAAAAGGAGCUGAAGGACAGAUACUUGUUGUAUCUCUGUAUGUUGACGAUUUGCUGAUAACAGGAAGCUGUAGAGAGCAAAUCGACAAGUUCAAAGAAGAGAUGAAGUCUGUUUUUGAAAUGACAGACCUUGGAGGGAUGGCAUUCUUUCUUGGCAUGCAAAUAUUUCAAAAACAAAAUGAAAUAUUUCUGUGUCAGCACAAAUAUGCAAAGGAAAUUCUCAAGAAGUUCAACAUGGAACAAUGCAAGCCAACUACAACACCAAUGAAUCAAAAGGAGAGGUUCUGCAAGGAAGAUGGAGCUGGAAAAGUGGAUGAAAAGCUAUACAGAAGCCUAAUAGGUUGUCUAAUGUAUUUGACAGCAACCAGACCAGACAUCAUGCAUGCUGUAAGUCUAUUAUCUAGAUAUAUGCAUUGUGCAAGUGAAAUUCAUUUUCAAGCAGCAAAGAGAAUUCUCAGAUACAUAAAAGGCACAGCUGAUUAUGGGAUCAAAUUCAGUCAAGUUGGUGAAUUCAAUCUUCAUGGUUACUCUGAUAGUGACUGGGCAGGAAACAUUGAUGACAUGAGAAGCACCUCUGGUUAUUGCUUUAGCUUUGGUUCAGGUGUUUUUUCAUGGAGCUCAAAGAAACAAGAAAUUGUUGCCCAAUCUACAGCAGAAGUUGAAUACGUUGCUGCCACUGCCUCUGCAAACCAAGCAGUUUGGAUCAGGAAACUAUUGGCAUAUUUGAAUCUGAAGCAAAAUGAAAGCACACAACUGUUUGUGGACAACCAAGCUGCAAUAUCAAUCUCAAAUAAUCCAGUAUUUCAUGGCAGAACAAAACAUUUCAAGAUUAAAUUUUUCUUUCUAAGAGAAGUUCAACAAGAAGGAGAAGUAAAGCUGCUCUACUGCAAAACAGAGGAACAACAUGCAGACAUCUUAACAAAAGCACUUUCUAAGCUCAAGUUUGAGUAUUUGAGACAGAAGUUGAGAGUUUGCAACUUCAGAGUCAAUGAGGAGAAUUGUUGACCAAGAAUGACUCUAGAAGCAAAAUAAAAUCUCAGUAGAAUCUAAGUUUGUUUACAGUUAUUAGAGUUUGUUUCUUGUUGCUAGUCUAAUGGCUAUUUUUAACAGAAAAUUAGAUAUCCUAGGAGAAUAUCUUGCAAUUCUGUUUUUUCUUAUUGUAUAAAUAAUCGUAUUGAAAUUCAAUAAAGCAUGUGUUCUGCUGCAACUACAAUAUAAAGCUUUUGUUUUCUCUUCAAUAUAUACAACAAUCACCUAGAGCAAUUUGAUUGUGAUUUCAAAGCGAAUCCAUCUGCGGAAGAAUGGAACAAGGCAACAUCCAUAUGUGAGUGCUUGAAGGAGUUCUACAAGUCAACAUGCAAUUUUCCAACAAGCAGAGAGGAUUUAUUUCCUUAAUGUUUGUGAUGUUUAUAAGAAUUUGCUUAAGUGGGAACAGAGUGAAUAUGUAUAUGUUCGCGCUAUGGCAAAUAGAAUGAAGGGAAAAAUUGACGAGUAUUGGGGAGAAGCUAGCUUGGCUUUGGGAAUCUCAGUAGUUCUUAACCCGUACUUUAAAGUGGACAUUAUUGAGUAUGGCUACCGGCAGAUACACGGCAGUGAUGCUGACUUGCACUUAUCCAGAUUCCGUUACGAUCUUACAUGUGCAUACCAUAAAUAUGCAAAGGACAUCAGCAAUCAGGGACCAUCUUCUUCUGCCAUGGCUGACGUGAGUCGUUCUACAUCAUCUGAUAUUAGUUUCAAAGAGUGGCGCAAGGGUAAGUAUGAACGCAACAUGGUGCACUCACAAUGGAAUGAGCUUGAUCAGUAUCUACAACUGCGGCCACCAGAGAACUUGGAUAAGGAUGGUAACGUAUUAGCUUGGUGGCAAGACAACGCUCAAAAUUUUCCAAUACUGGGAAAAAUGGCUCGUGAUUUCUUAGCAAUUCCAGUAUCAACUGUCAUUUCCAAUUGAUGCUUUUAUAUCUCUGCCAUCUGUUUAUUUAUUUCUUCUUCUUUUUUCUUCAGCAAUUGAUCCAUAUUUGGAUCCUCACUGGUAGUUGCUAGUACUGUGAAAUAAGUUUUUCCCGAAGUAAACAGUACUGGUCUUCUCUUUUAUUUCCAAGAACAAGAUUUUGUCUGCGGAGUGAAAAAAUCAGAAUGCGCAUAUAAUCUGCAGUGUGCAUGAACAUUAAAACUAGGCUGGAAAGUAAUUCUGAAAUGAAAACAAAUAGCAAGUAACAAGGUACAUUAUUUGUCUAUGCUGCAGGGUCAACCAGGCUGAGCACAUCUGAAUUGGAUGCUGUAGAAGAAUACUGGACAUGAGAAAAUGAGAACCAGAAGUGACCAAGACUUAUUAUUUGCUUAAAUAUUUUAUCGUGGAUUUGAAAAUAAAAAAAAUCUUGAUGUAAAAAAUGAUUUGAAACUACUUUGAGUCUGAUUGGGCUUGAAAAAACAUGAAAUUGAUAUUUUUUAGUGUUAUUUGAUGGUUUUAAUAUUCUAUAUAAAAAAUUAAAAUAAAUCUGAAAAAAUAAUUUUUUUAUAUUUUUAAUUAAAAAGUAUAUUUAAAAAGCAUAAUGUAUUAUAAUAUUCAUAACAAUGUUUGUUUGUUUUUUUUAAAAGCAUUUUUAAAAGAAUUGAAAUUUUUUUAUUUUUUUCUUUACUUUAAAUUAAUAUUUUUUUCAAAUGGUUUUGAUGUGCUGAUAUUAAAAAUAAUUUUAAAAAAAUAAAAAUAUUAUUUUAAUAUAUUUUAAAAAAAUAAACUUUAAAUAACCAUCUAAAUAACAUGAGGUUUACAAUUGCGAGAAAUAAGUUGAUAGUGCAGAAAUGUAAAUAAAUUUUAAGUACUCAAUGUAUAAUUUAAAUGCUUAAUUACUGAAAAUUCAGUCAUAAUAAAUAAUAAAAACCAGUACUUCGAUUCUCCUAUGUGUUACUUGCAAUCCGGAGUGAUUUACAAAAAUGUAUUAUUGUAAAACCUGGACGUGGAUCAACUUGAGCUAAAAUGUAUUAUUAAAUUAGAUAGGAAAUUGACACAGUUAAAACUCAAUUGCCUUAUUAAAUUAAUCUAUGAUCAGUCCAGAUUCAAGUGAGAUCUGUUAGAUAUUUUUUAAAAUGUUAUUUUAACUUUAUUUUAAAAUAAAAAUAAUAUUGUUUUUAAUUAUUCUAAGUUGACUAAUCAUAAAUAGUGUUUAAAUAGUGUUUAAAAGCAUGAUAUUAAUUACUUUUUAAUAUUAACACAUCAAAACAAUAUAAAUAAUCAAGACCUCAACAAUGGCCUGCUUAUUAUAGAAGAUAAUUGAGGUAAUUUUACCCCAAAGAAAAGCCCAGCUAAAAAUAUUAUAUGUCUAAUUCAGACCAACUGUCACAAAGAGCAGAUAUUCAGCGGUUAAAACAAGCUUUCAAGCUCAGAUCAAACUUUAUGAUAAAGCAUUUUGUAUUUUAAGGUGUUCAUGAGAAUCUAUCCAUCCUUGCAAAUAUUUAUUUGCAUUCACCAAAAUAAUUAAUAUGUGAGAAACAAAUUUAGCUACCAUUAUAAAUCAAUUCCCUUCAUUUCACUCCAGCAAAAUUAUGUUUGCAUUAUUUCACCUAUGAUUAUGUUAAUCAUGUUUACAUUAAUCUUUUUAAUUGUAUUUGUACCUUUUUUUUUUAAGAAAAAAAAUCACGGUUGCCAUAAAAAUAAUAAUUAUAAUGAUCAUUUGAAUUAAAUGAAUAACAAUUUAUAUUAUUGUAUAUUAAUUUUUCAGCCCUUACUAAAUAAAAUAAAACUAUUCAUCUCUAACAUCCACAUCAAAUGUCUUAUGAUAGUCACUAAUUUAUUUUAAAUAGAACAUAUAUUUUAAUGUAAAUAACAUUAUUUGAAACUAACAACGUAAAUAAGAUUUAUAUUUUGAAUAAAAGAAGAAGAAAGAUGUAGAAAUUAAAGGGUUAAAUUAUUNNNNNNNNNNNNNNNNNNNNNNNNNNNNNNNNNNNNNNNNNNNNNNNNNNNNNNNNNNNNNNNNNNNNNNNNNNNNNNNNNNNNNNNNNNNNNNNNNNNNNNNNNNNNNNNNNNNNNNNNNNNNNNNNNNNNNNNNNNNNNNNNNNNNNNNNNNNNNNNNNNNNNNNNNNNNNNNNNNNNNNNNNNNNNNNNNNNNNNNNNNNNNNNNNNNNNNNNNNNNNNNNNNNNNNNNNNNNNNNNNNNNNNNNNNNNNNNNNNNNNNNNNNNNNNNNNNNNNNNNNNNNNNNNNNNNNNNNNNNNNNNNNNNNNNNNNNNNNNNNNNNNNNNNNNNNNNNNNNNNNNNNNNNNNNNNNNNNNNNNNNNNNNNNNNNNNNNNNNNNNNNNNNNNNNNNNNNNNNNNNNNNNNNNNNNNNNNNNNNNNNNNNNNNNNNNNNNNNNNNNNNNNNNNNNNNNNNNNNNNNNNNNNNNNNNNNNNNNNNNNNNNNNNNNNNNNNNNNNNNNNNNNNNNNNNNNNNNNNNNNNNNNNNNNNNNNNNNNNNNNNNNNNNNNNNNNNNNNNNNNNNNNNNNNNNNNNNNNNNNNNNNNNNNNNNNNNNNNNNNNNNNNNNNNNNNNNNNNNNNNNNNNNNNNNNNNNNNNNNNNNNNNNNNNNNNNNNNNNNNNNNNNNNNNNNNNNNNNNNNNNNNNNNNNNNNNNNNNNNNNNNNNNNNNNNNNNNNNNNNNNNNNNNNNNNNNNNNNNNNNNNNNNNNNNNNNNNNNNNNNNNNNNNNNNNNNNNNNNNNNNNNNNNNNNNNNNNNNNNNNNNNNNNNNNNNNNNNNNNNNNNNNNNNNNNNNNNNNNNNNNNNNNNNNNNNNNNNNNNNNNNNNNNNNNNNNNNNNNNNNNNNNNNNNNNNNNNNNNNNNNNNNNNNNNNNNNNNNNNNNNNNNNNNNNNNNNNNNNNNNNNNNNNNNNNNNNNNNNNNNNNNNNNNNNNNNNNNNNNNNNNNNNNNNNNNNNNNNNNNNNNNNNNNNNNNNNNNNNNNNNNNNNNNNNNNNNNNNNNNNNNNNNNNNNNNNNNNNNNNNNNNNNNNNNNNNNNNNNNNNNNNNNNNNNNNNNNNNNNNNNNNNNNNNNNNNNNNNNNNNNNNNNNNNNNNNNNNNNNNNNNNNNNNNNNNNNNNNNNNNNNNNNNNNNNNNNNNNNNNNNNNNNNNNNNNNNNNNNNNNNNNNNNNNNNNNNNNNNNNNNNNNNNNNNNNNNNNNNNNNNNNNNNNNNNNNNNNNNNNNNNNNNNNNNNNNNNNNNNNNNNNNNNNNNNNNNNNNNNNNNNNNNNNNNNNNNNNNNNNNNNNNNNNNNNNNNNNNNNNNNNNNNNNNNNNNNNNNNNNNNNNNNNNNNNNNNNNNNNNNNNNNNNNNNNNNNNNNNNNNNNNNNNNNNNNNNNNNNNNNNNNNNNNNNNNNNNNNNNNNNNNNNNNNNNNNNNNNNNNNNNNNNNNNNNNNNNNNNNNNNNNNNNNNNNNNNNNNNNNNNNNNNNNNNNNNNNNNNNNNNNNNNNNNNNNNNNNNNNNNNNNNNNNNNNNNNNNNNNNNNNNNNNNNNNNNNNNNNNNNNNNNNNNNNNNNNNNNNNNNNNNNNNNNNNNNNNNNNNNNNNNNNNNNNNNNNNNNNNNNNNNNNNNNNNNNNNNNNNNNNNNNNNNNNNNNNNNNNNNNNNNNNNNNNNNNNNNNNNNNNNNNNNNNNNNNNNNNNNNNNNNNNNNNNNNNNNNNNNNNNNNNNNNNNNNNNNNNNNNNNNNNNNNNNNNNNNNNNNNNNNNNNNNNNNNNNNNNNNNNNNNNNNNNNNNNNNNNNNNNNNNNNNNNNNNNNNNNNNNNNNNNNNNNNNNNNNNNNNNNNNNNNNNNNNNNNNNNNNNNNNNNNNNNNNNNNNNNNNNNNNNNNNNNNNNNNNNNNNNNNNNNNNNNNNNNNNNNNNNNNNNNNNNNNNNNNNNNNNNNNNNNNNNNNNNNNNNNNNNNNNNNNNNNNNNNNNNNNNNNNNNNNNNNNNNAAAAAGAGUUUAGGUAAUGAAAUUAAAAAAUAAUAAUAAUUAAAGUACAAUUUGAUCUAAAAUCCCGGAUAAUUUUAACAAUUUAGCCAAAUUGAAAAGAGAAAAACAAAGGACCAUUUGAAAACGACAAAUCUCAUUGUAUCUCUAAGAUCCCGGUUCGGUUCAAAUCGGUUUUUUGGCUUGAAAAACCAGAAAAACAAAACAACACAGUUCUAGCGUUUCCCAUUUGGAUAGCCAGAGCUGCUUCAACAUGGGCGUUGUAUCUCACAAACCCAAAACCUUUGUCACGUUGCACUCGCACAUCUUCUAUAGUUCCAACACCCAGCAAAUAGAGAUGCCGAUGCAGAUCAACAGGAGUAACUUGCAGAUUAUUUGUUGAUGAGAGACACCACUCAGAGGAGGGAGUCGUAGAGCAUUUUGAUCAAGUUAUGUCUAGAGGAACAUCAUGUUUAGAAACACAAAUGGAGCAAUAUGAACCCAGCCACAGACCUGCACAACUCCAUCACAUUGUAUGGACUAUCUAUUGGUCCAAGCAAAUCUGAAUUUUUUAUAUGAUAAUAAAAAUGAAAAUCCCAUGUAAACAAGAGGGGGGAGACGAGAGAUAGAGAGAGAGGAGGAGGAAGAGAUGGGGAAGUUUGACAUAAUUAAAAAACAAAAUACAUAGAAUAAUAAUGCAUGCUAUUUAAGCACACCAACAAGCCCAACAAUAAAAAUAAAAACUUGAAAGUCUCAUGAUUCAACACAGGAAAUGGAUAAGCGCUUCCAAAUUUUUAUUUUGAUAAGAAAGUAGAAAAAGGUAGAAAACAAAGCUGGAUUUUUAGUUUCUCUGCCUCUGCUUUCUCUGCGCUUGGUUUGUUAAUUUUUGGUUUCUUGGCCUCUGCUUUCCCUCGUGAUGCUGUUGGGUUGUGUGUGGGUUCGUUUCUUUGAGUGCCGUUCUUGUUUGGCACAUUUUUGAAAAUUGUGGUUAGUUUUGCUUGUGUUAUCUCACUUUAUAUCCUAUGUUUUUUUAUAUUAAUAUGGAUAUUCAAAUUAAUUUAUGUAUAUCUCGAUAUUUAAAUUUAUAAAUCUUAAAAUUAAUAACCAUGUAAGCUUUCAAUAAUCAUAAAAAAACUUAAAAUUAUAACCAUUAAAAAGCAAACACAGGUCCAGAUGAAUUGAGCUAUUCCUCAUGGUUAUUCCCUUCCUUUUUUUGUUUGUUAGGUGUUGUGGCAUUGUUUUGCCUUUUUAUUGGUUCUUUCAUCCUUCUAUUUCUUUUUCUUUUUUAAUUUGGUUGGUUUUCGUUUUAGUCUUUUUUUAUCGUCAUUUUAACUGCCUUGUUUUUUUUUCCCUCUUGAUGGCUUAUCAGGUUUGGCUUUUACUCCUUGUGCUUGAGCUGGCAAAAUUCCAGUUUUGUGUCUGCCUUCCUAGUGUUUUGUCGAGGUGUUGCUAUGACAAGUUUUGAAAAUUUCUUAUUGCUUUAUGAUAUUUGUCUGCCGCCCAUGUUGACUGGUGUUUGGCGGCUGGUGUUCGGGGUGGACACUUCUAUAUUGUUUCAGUAGGGAUUAGUUUUUAUAUUCGUAUUGUUGUCUUCUGUUUUGACUGUAUGUGGUUUUUUACUUUUAAGGUUAUUUAUCGCUGGUGCUUUUGUUUUUAUUACUGCUUUAGUGCUUUGCUGUUGAGGGGGAUUCUGUUUGAUUUUUCCCAUACGUGCAUGGCCCCCUGUUUGAUUUUUCCUUUUUUUUUUUUUUUGUCAGCAUCUUCUAUUUUGUUGUCAUUUGUAACCAUCUACUGUUUUCGCUGUGCUUUGUCCACUAAAAAACUUCAGUGUGGUCGUGUUGUCAUGUUCCUAGCAUUUUAAGGACUGCCUCAAUUAAGGAUGACCCCGACAUGCCCUGAUUACCCAAGGUGAGAUUUAACCAGCAACAAUCAUACCCCAACGUUUGAGGCAGGGGAUCAUGUGUGAUCUUAUGGAUAAUUUUCUCCCCUUUUUUGCACGAAUUUUCAGAUCUCUAUUGACAUACACAGCAACCACAGUAAAACUAUCAGCCACACUACCUCCAUUUCAACACUUAUGCAUGCAUGCCGAUGGGGUUAAUACUUUUGUAGCUUUUUUUUUCAGGUUUCCCUUCAAUUGAAUUAUAGAGUUCAAUGCAUAUUGAUGGAUGUGGAGCUUGAGGAAUUUUCUCUGAUCAACAAAAAGCCAAACAUUGACUUACGAAUUUUACAUUUUGAUUUAGAAAAAACAUGCCAUACAUCACAGAAUUUGACAUUUUGCUUUAAAGCAUGGAGUUUACAUUUACUUAGAUUUACUUUGGGAUAGAACUUCAGUUGAAGGAGAUGUUAGGUCUUUGAUUAGUUCCAUUCUCUUUUUUUUUUCAAUUGGUAAUACAGCUCAUUUAAUCAUUGAAGAUGAUUCUGUCGGUUUGAGAGAGCCACGGUCAAUGACUUGUAGAAUUUGUCAGAUGGUGUUACGUUGUCCUUGGCAUCUUGAGAAUGAGAAGACUGAGUUCCCUUUUUUGCUAUACUAAGAUGUGUAAAGGUCAGCGAGCAUGUGGAAAUAGAAAACAGAUGAUAUUGGGAUUCAUUUGUGCUGUUGUUGGACAUUAAUUUGUUUAGUUGUUGAGGUCGUCUGUUUGCUUCUUUUGUUGGAUCCUAUUCAUCUAUACUUCCAGGUUGCUUUUUUCUCUUUUGUUGGCUGGAGGAUAUCAUCGUCUAUUUUUUAUAUUUGUCGUGCCUGUAUCUAGCAUGUGCAUGCAGACUUCAAACUUUAUAGAUGUAGAGCAUUUUCAAUUCUUCUUCAAGUUAAGGCUUUUUUUAGUCAGUUCUCUGUUUUUCUUAUUUGCGUUGUCUUGUUUGGUUGUCCUGCUUUUGUGCCCAAUCUUUGUUCUUUAUUAUUUUGCAAUUCUGCCUAGCAGACGAUGUUGGCCUUUUGGUGUUUUUCCUACUGAUUUGGUGUCUUGCUUCUUUACGAUUCAAGUCUCUCAUGCUUCUUUCAAUCAAGAGCAUACGACCAUGGAAAAAAAUGUAUAAUUCUGUUAUUCGCGCUGCAAAGAAAAACUGCCAUGUACAAGCUUUGAUUUUUAUUUGGAUUUCAUUCUCGUUGUCUUGGUUAUGUGUUUACUUCUUUACAUCUUUGUCAUAAUUCAAUUUUUAAAUUUAAAAUAAAAAAAAUGAAUUAAAAAUAAUAUGAAAAUUGGAUCAAAAUAACAUAAAUUAAAAGUUUAAGGACUAAUAAGGAUGAAUUAUAAAUUUGAAAGUCAAUUUGAUCAAAAUUGAAAGAAAUGAUAAGUUUGGGGAUUUAAUUAAACUUAGAUUUAAUCAAUUAAUGCAAUCAAGGGUUUAACUGAAGAAAUACCAAAGUUUGGGGUUGUUUUGGGUUGAAAUUGUAAGAAGUUAAAGUUCAAGGACCAAAGUGAAUAGGCGGUGAUACUAUAGGGGGGUUAAUUGAUUUUUUCAAGGGUAAUUUUGAAAGAAUUAAAAGUUGAAGAACCAUUUAAUGAUUGAAUUGAUUAAAUUAAAAAUCAAGGAUUAUUUUGUAAAUGUUGCUGAAAUUUAGGGGUUUAAUUGCAAUUGAUCGAGGGGAAAAAUUAAAAAAAAAAUCAUGAAUAAGAACUUCAAGAAGGCAAAUUGAAAAUAGCCAUUUCAUUGAAAAACAAUUUCGUUUCAAAAUAAAUUAUUUAUCUUCUUCAUCUCACCAGACCAGAAAGAAAAAAACAUAUAUUUUUACCAUCGCUUAUCGUUAUCAUUACUCCUGCAAUAAUAUCAUUUUUUGGUUCUAUAAAAGUAGGGGCGCCUGGCUCUAAGGUUUAUAGUUAAUGGAAGAGGCAGUAUAAAAAUCAAUUAAUAUUUUAAUUUUCUAGAAAAUUGGAGUACAAAAAAGUUUGAAAGUAAUAUUUCUCUAUCAAGAAAUUUUUUAAAGUAGUUUUUUUAAUUUGUGUUGAUUUUAAAAAAUACUUCUAAGUGGUACUCCACAGUUUUUAAAUACAAGUUUUUUUUUCUUUCUAUUUUUUACUUUAAGAAAAAAAGCAUGAACAAUAUAAUUUUCUCCUUUAUAUACAAGCAUUUUUUAACAAUGUAAAAGAUUAAUUUAUAUAUAUAUAUAUAGUGUUUACUACAAAUGUAAUUUUUAUUAUAAAUCUAAUAUAAAGAUUUUUUAAGUUAAUAAUAUAUUUCACUUCUUAUUUUGAAAAUUGUUACAUGACAUUCUCCACCCCACAUUCUCCACCUAGGUACGUAUGUAUUUGCUGCUGCUGCUGCUGCUAUCUGCGGCUGCUGGUCUUCCUCUACUGGUUGGUGGUGAUGGAGGCAGAACCAGCUGCAGGAUGUUGAAAACAUUUUCUUAAUGCUCUCUAGCUUUUCAUCAAAUCGACUUUUCUCCAUGCAAAGUUCUUGAAUGCGCUGCUGAGUUGCUGUUUUCCACCUUGCUACUUUGGCAGAUUUUACAAGAUGAUAGUUAGCUGCGGCCUCCCUAGGUUUUUUCUAAUGUAAAAAAUAUGAUAUCGCGAAGUUUUUAAAAAUUAAAACAAAUUGAUACUCAAAGUUCUUUACUUCACAAUUAAUUCAAAAAACACAAAUAAAAAAAUAUCUUAUGGAUUUUUCAUCCAUAAGAUACCAUAUUUGAUGUUAUCCUACCACUGGUGAAAGUAGAGCCUGCAGCCUCUAAAGUUGACAGUAGAUGAAAGAGGCUGUUUAAAAAUCAAUUAAUAUUUUAAUUUUUUUAAAUAUUGAAUUACAAAAAAGAGUUGAUUUUGAAAAGUACUCUUAAGAGGUACUUCACAGUUUUUAAAUACAAUUUUUUUUCUUCUAUUUUUUACUUUAAGAAAAAAAAACAUAAACAAUAUAAUUUUCUCCUUUAUAUACAAGCAUUUUUUUAACAAUGUAAAAGAUUAAUUUAUUUUCUAUAUAUAUUUAGUGAUUAUUAUAAAUUAAAUUUUUAUUAUAAAUCUAUUAUAAAGAUUUUCUUAAGUUAAUAAUAUAAAUCUUUAAUGAUAAUUUUUUAUUUGAAUAAAAUAAAAUUAAUAUUAUCACAAAUAUAAAAUAUUAAGAUAAUAAUUAUAAACUAUUAUUAUGCUUUUUCUCUUGCUUUUUUAUAUAAAAAAUACUUGUAUUCUUGAUUUUUAUUUUUUGAAAAAUACAUUUUUGUUAACAAAAAGGAGCAUGUAUUUUUUUUAAAAAAAAAUAUUAAGUGAACUGCAGGUUCCACUAAAAGCUACUUUAAUUCAGACCUUUACAGAAAAUUGAACAGAUCUGGAUGGAUUGGAGGUCCAAUUGAAUGACACCAUCUUUAAAGUGAACUGCAGGUUCCAUGAAGUAACGUAUGCUGGAAGCAAACGGCGUUGACAAUAAGAAACGAAGAGUGAAAGAGUCAUUAGCUCUUCGAUUCCCUUGAUCAAAUCUUGUUGCUUUCGAUGGCCUCUCUUCUUUUUCACAGAUUGCUGGAGUGUGCUAAGGCGAUUGAAGGUGGUAACGUGGAUGUUGCAGAUUCACUUUUGGCAGAAAUUCAAUCUUUAGCUUCUAAAGAAGAGAGCAUAUGGACGAGGAAAGUUGUCAAAUACUUUGCUGAGGCUCUUGUCCGGCGAGCCUAUGGAAUUCGCCCUCCAUGUCCUUUACCCUCGCUACCUUUGCUAUUCCCACCAAUCCAUUACAUGUAUGAACUUUUCUACCAGUUUGCUAAAAUCACCAAUAAACAUGUCCUUGCUGAUGCCUUGAAUUCGGGAAAUAAACGACUCCACGUUAUUGACUUCUCCAUCGUGUUCGGUUUCCCGCAGUGGAAUUCCUUAAUUAAAGAGCUCAAAGAGCAAUAUGGUGGCCUACAAUCAGUCCUGAUAACCAGUAUCGCACCGAAACUGUCAAAACACUCUGCCUAUCUCCGUCAAAACCGGGAAUGGGCUCGGAAGGUUGAGGGCAAAAAUUUCGAAUUGAGGCAAUUGAUAUGCAAUAGUCCGGAAGAUAUUGUCAAUUGUAUUUCCAAACUCAGAAGGCAAAGGAAGGGUGAGAUGGUGGUUGUGAAUUGGUAUUUUACACUCCACAAAUUGCUUGCACAAGAUGGGGCAAUGGAGCAAGUGCUUUCAAAAGUGAAGGAUUUGGGAGCGGACAUCAUGGUAAUUGUUGAGCAAGAAGCCAAUCUUAACAGUCCUGAUCUUUCGGAGCGGCUCGAACAAUCAUUCCAACACUACUCCCCUUUUUUUGAGUCACUGGAGGAAGAUUAUCAUAGAAAUGUGUUAUGGGAGAUGUAUUUCAGGCGACAGAUUGGGAAUGUGGUGGCAUGUGAGGGCGUUGACCGGGUCGAGCGGAUUGAGUCAUUUGCUCAGUGGCAAAAUCGCCUAUCUCAGGCUGGGUUCUGUCCAGUUCCCCAAAAGGCAAACAAGUUCGAUGAAGAGAUUGUAAUCGAAGAGAAGGAAGGGCAUAAUAUCCUGCUACGUCGGAGCGGUUGUCCGCUGGCUGUAGCCUCAGUUUGGAAGGUCACUGAUCCACCUCAAUUCAGUGGCGGUGAAUAAUCCAAUUCCAUCCUUUCCUUUCUCUUCUCUUGUUAUACUAAUUAUCAAGCAAUAAAUUCGUUGUGUGUAUUUUCACUUUAGGCUACUGGAAAAACAUGUUGACAGGUCUUUACACAAUGCAAGAUACAGUUGAAGACUCAGAAGGGAUGGAUACAGUUGAUGACUCAGAAGGGAUGGCGAGCUCCUCGGAGUCUGAGGAUGAUGAAGAAAAGGAUUCUCUAGUUUGCAUAAUGGCAGAUAGAAACUUAUGGUCCACACAGGUAUCGUUCUUCGUUUCCAAGAUUUAACAAAUUCCCUCGUUUUAUCUUUAUGGCAUGGGGAGAUUGCAACAACUUCAAAUUAAACUUACAAAUAUAAUUCUUGCUUUGAUAAAUGGCAAAAAAAUCAAUCUAAAAGAGUUUGAUCCAAUAUUGGUGUCGUUGAUCUCACAGGGCUCUUCAAUGAAUCGAAUAGCUGCUUCAGCUAAGUUAUAUGACAUAUUGGAAUAUAUAUGUGAUCUACACAGGUUACCACUGGCUGUGACAUGGAUUUCCUAUGGACAAGAUGGUAAUACAAAUUCAAAGGGAAAACGUAUUCUACGUAUUGAUGAUAGCGCUUGCUAUGUAAAUAAUUGGUCAAUGGGAAAAUUUGUGGAUGAAUAUGCACGACAUCAUCUCGAGGAAGGACAAGGUAUCGCCGGAAGAGCACUUCAAUCUAAUAUUCAUAUCCAGCAUGACAUUUCCGUUCUUGAUCCAGCCGAAUUCCCUCAUGCGAGUAACUUAAGUAUCUGGCAUAACAGAAACUUUCAUGCUGUUUUUGCUAUAAGGCUAACAAGUACCACUCUGCCAGGAUGAUACGUAUGGAAUUGUCUCCCAGAAGGCAUGAAAGAUACCUCAGAACUAGAACUUUUGAUAAAUAAGGUCUUGCGUACAUUGCAGAGGAAAUGUUUAAAGUUGUGGAAAGUUUGGGUCAGAGAACUAAAUGAGGCUAGUGGCUCUGAAGUUAGAUUGGAUGAUGAAAGAAUGUCAAACAUCCCACAUGAAGAUGUUUCUAGGGUUUUUCAAUUGCCAUCAUCCGAUGGUGUUUUAGAAGGAAAUGAAUUCAUGACAUUGAACCCAACCAGCAAUCAAGCAGAAGAAACACGCGAGCCUCUUGGACAGGUGCUCUUCUAUACUGAAUUCUUGUCAUUUUUUUCUUGAAGAAUGAGUUGAUUGCUAUUGUAUUUUGUAUUGGAACUUUUUUUUUUAAUUUUUAAUUUUAAAAUUUGACUUAAUUUAAUUUUUAUAUUAAUUUUAAUUUUAAUUUUUAUAAUUAUUAUUUAUUUAUUUUUUAUAAUUUUUUUAAUUAAAAUUUUUUAUCUAUUAUAUUUGAUCCUUAUUUUCAUUCAAGAUUAAUUUUAAUAAAUUUUAAUAAAAAUAAAAUAUUAAUAAAUUAUUUUUUAUUUUUUUUUCAUGACAUAGUUAAAUAUCAAAAAAUAUUUUUUAACUUACUUUUUAUGACAUUAUAAAACACUAAAAAAUAAUUCAUUUUUUAAAAUUUUAUUUUUUUAAUUAUUUUUUAGCAAAUAAAUAAGUUCGUGUCAUUUGCUAUAACAAAUUCUAACAAUAUAAUUGGAUUAAAUCAAAACAUUUUAAAAAAACCUUUAAUAAGUUUAAAAUUAAAAAUCAAACCAAAAAAAAACAUUAACUUGUGAUUCGCUACAAGAAAUUCUAGCCAGCAGAAUUGGGUUCUAGGUUAUUUAGACCCAAAAACUCUAAAUCAUCUGCCUUGUCAGAUGGACAGAAAAGACCCUCUGUUUUGGAUGGACACCCAUCAUGUGUCCAAUCACAGCCUUCUAUGUGGCAGAUUUCCUUCCGCAGAUUGUGCAAGGGGUGGAAUAAUUAUCAUGUUGCCAAUAUCCUACUUCCCUAUCUCUUGACAGGACGUCCAAGAACAAUCUGCUAUACCCGCACCUGCUCUGAAUGGUGAGAAUUCAUUGCCCAGUGUAGAUGGUGGCCUCCAGAGUACUAAUAAACGAAGAAAGAUAUCAACUGUGUGGGACAGGUUCGUUAAGCAUCGGGGAGAAAAUGGGGAAGUAUGGGCCACAUGUAAGUAUUGUAUGAAGUAUAGAGCAGAAAGCAAAAGAGGAACUUCAAAUUUGCACAAGCACUUAAAAAAUUGUUCGCCAAGCAGACAGGACGAAGCAGAGCAGCAAAUUUUGGUUGAGACAGGUGACUUGAGUACUAGCGUCAUCCAAAGGAAUUUUGUCAUAGAUCAAGAAAGAAGUCGUGUAGACAUUGCGACAAUGAUGAUUAAGCAUGGAUAUCCCUUGACUAUGGUUCAACAUGAGUUUUUUGUGAAGAAUUUUCAGCCAGUGUUUAAACUUUAUUCAAAAGACGUAGUUGAAGCUGAUGUCCUUGCUAUUUGCAGACAAGAGAAGGAGAAACUCGUCAAUUUUUUUGAUAAGCUCUCUUGUCUCUUGAGUUUAACACUUGAAUUGUGGUCAUCUAAUGACAAAAUGAUGACCUACUGUUGCUUCACCGUGCACUUCAUUGACGAUGGAUGGCAGCUGAAGAAGAAGAUUCUUGCUUUCAGGAACUUACGGUACAACUAUGACAUGGGGACUGUACAUGAAGUCUUUAAAAGUGUGCUUACAGAGUGGAGCAUCAACAAGAACGUUCGCUUCAUAUUCCUGGAUAUAACUCCUCCAAAGGAUCACAUGAUUGGAGAAUUAAGAAGUAAGGUUUCUGAUCAAGCCCCACCUAUCCAUGGACCUCUUUUCUGUGUUCCUAGUUAUGCCCACAUUCUCAGUCUCCUUGUUCAAGAUGGAUUUUCUGAGAUAAGGAGUGUGCUAUAUAAGAUAAGAGAAUGUAUAGAGUACGUCAGAGGAAGCUCACUUAUAAGACAGAAGUUCCAGGAGGCAAUUAAUAAUCGGAGUUUGCUGGACAGGGAAAUGCCUACUCUAGAUGUUCCCGCGAGAUGGGACACCACCUUUCUUAUGCUGGAGAGUUCAUUGGAAUUUAUAACAGCUUUUAAUCACCUAGAGCAAUUGGAUGAUGAUUUCAAAGUGAAUCCAUCUGCGGAAGAAUGGAACAAAGCAACAGCCGUAUUUGAGUGCUUGAAAGAGUUCUACAAGUCAACAUGCAAUUUUCCGACAAGUAGAGAUGAUUAUUUCCUCAGUGUUCGUGAUGUUUAUAAGAAUUUGCAAGGCUGGAAACAGAGCGAUUAUGUAUAUGUUCGCGCUAUGGCAAAUAGAAUGAAGGGAAAAUUUGACGAGUAUUGGGGAGAAGCUAGCUUGGCUUUGGGAAUCUCAGCAGUUCUUGACCCGAGCUAUAAAUUGGACAUAAUUGAGUAUGGCUACCGGCAGAUAUACGGCAGUGAUGCUGACUUGCACUUAUCCAGAUUCCGUUACGAUCUUACAUGUGCAUACCAUAAAUAUGCAAAGGACAUCAGCAAUCAGGGACCAUCUUCUUCUGCCAUGGCGGACGUGAGUCGUUGUACAUCAUCUGAUAUUAGUUUCAAAGAGUGGCGCAAGGGUAAGAACGAACGCAACAUGGUGCACUCACAAUGGAAUGAGCUUGAUCAGUAUCUACAACUGCCGCCACCAGAGAACUUGGAUAAGGAUGGUAACGUAUUAACUUGGUGGCAAGACAAUGCUCGAAAUUUUCCAAUACUGGGAAAAAUGGCUCGUGAUUUCUUAGCAAUUCCAGUAUCAACUGUCAUUUCCAAGUCAUCAGAGGUUAUGAAGAUGGCAUCAGUCCAUGACGGUGUUCGUCCUGAGAUAGCUGAGGCUUUGAUAUGUGGAAAGGAUUGGUUGGACAGCCCUAACUGGAAGUGAGGUUUCCUUUUCUUUUUGCUCGAUAUUUAAGUGUGAGCUAUCUGUUUAUUUAUUUCUUCUUCUUUUUUCUUCAGCGAUUGAUUCAUGUUUGGAUCCUCACAGGUAGUUGCUGGCCUUCUCUUUUAUUUCCAAGAACAAGAUUUUGUCUGCAGAGUGAAAAAUCAGAAUGCGCAUAUAAUCUGCAGUCUGCGUGAACAUUAAAACUAGGCUGGAAAGUAAUUCUGAAAUGAAAACAAAUAGCAAGUGACGUGAUGUUUUUAAUUAUGAGAAAGAAGGUGAUGGUGCAUAAAGGUAAAUAAUUUUCAAGUAUUCCAUGUAUAAUUUCAAUGCUUAAUUACUGAAAAUUCAGUGAUAAUAAAAACCAGCACUUCGAUUCUCCCAUGUGUUAGUUGCAAUCCCGGAGUGAUGUAUAAAAAUGUAUUAAAACAUUCUAAAUCCAGUAUUAUAACUAUUAUAAUUAUGACCUAUAGUGGCCUACAUAUUGUGGAAGAUAAUUGAGGUAAUUUGGGCCAAGAACAAAGCCCAGCUAAAAACAUUAUAUGACUAGGUCCAGACCAAUUGUCAUUGAGAGUAGACAUCCAGCAGCUGUAACAAGCUUUCAAGCCUAGAUUAAAUAUUUUAAAGUGUUUAUAAAAAUAUCUCCUACUUGCAAAUAUUUAUUUGUUUUCACCAAAAUAAUUAAAUGUGAAGAAACAAAUUACACAUCAAUUCCCUUCAUUUCACACCAGCAAAAUUAUGUUUGCAUUAUUUCACCUAUGAUGAUGUUAAUCAUAUUUAAAUUAAUCUUUUUAAUUUUCUUUGUAUCUAUUUUGGCUAGAUCAUAAAUUAAAAAGGUAUUUGGGAGUAUAAUAAUUGUUGUUUUUUAAAAUAUUUUUUACUAAAAAUACAAAAAAGAAUAAUUUUUAUAUUAAAAAAAUUAUUUUUAAUAUCAACACAUUAAAACAAUCUAAAUAGUCUGGUAUUGUAAUUAUAACUAAGAUAAUUAAGGUAAUUUUGGAAAUUAAUUAUUUGUUAAAUUUCUUAUAAUAGCCACUAAUUUAUUUUAAAGAUUCAUUAGAACAUAUAUUUUAAUGUAAAUAAAAUUAUUCAAAACUAACAACAUAAAUAAGAUUUAUAUUUUGAAUAAUAGAAGAAGAAAGAUGUAGAAAUUAAAGGGUUAAAUUAUUCAAAAUCAUUUUAAAUUCUCGAUCAAAGUAGGCUACUAAUUAAACUUUAAUUUUUUUGAUAUAUAUUAGCAUAUCAAAACGAUACAAAAAUACUAAAAAACUAAAAUUUAUGGGAAUGUGAAUUGAACUGCAUUCCCAAACAGUCUCUUAAUCAAUUUAAACCUUUUAAAAUCAAACCUGAAUAAGAGAUUUUCUUGAUUCUUAAAUCAAUUUCUUCAGUGUUUUUAGAAAAGUUUUUGUAUUUAUUUUUCAGGAAAUGUUUUCUUUCAUGCUCUUCAAAGUCGAUCCACAACCAAUUUACAAUCAUCACUCAAUUUUUUUUAAAAGACCUAUAUCAUCUUCUUGAAUCUUAGAAAGUAGAAGAAACUCCUUGAUUAUGAAUGUUCCAUGUUCGUUCACCUGUAAAAUUAGAAGGGUGUUUAAGAGAAUAACAAUGAUUACGGUUCAAAUUAUUUUUAAAUAUUAUAUAAAUAAAUUAGAAUAAAAAUAAGAUGAAAUACUAAAAUGUUUGUCGAGACCGAGUCUUUUGAAUCAACUUAUUUGUCAAGUGAAACUAAAUCUUUUUUAUAUAUAUAUAAAUUGAAAUUCUAUUAAUUAGAAGAAACUCCAAAAAAUUAUAUAUAUAAAAAACGUUGCAGCACGAGAUUUGGUUUGGUAGUUUAGUCGGUGGGUUAAAUUAAAAACAUUAAAAUGUAUAGACCUCAAGUUUAUAUUAUUAAAAUGUUGGUGUCUUUAUCGCCUCAAACAGCUUCUUCGUAAAAAAACAUACAGAAACAUGUAUCCAAUCAGCAAGAGUUUACUUUUGCAAUUUAGAGUUUUAAUAUUUUAGACGACUCCUCAGAUUUUAAAAAAAGGCACUGUUCAUUGUCAUGGGAUAAAUCAUACAUUUCGUCACUCUACUUUUUAUAUUCUCUUAAUUCAAUCCCUCUUCUCUGUUUUGAAUUAAUUAGGUAUUUGUACUCAUUAAUUACUUUUAAUUAGGCCCCUCCUUCAUGAUUCUGUAAAUUUUUCCAUUGCUUUCUAAGAACCAGACAGGCCAUCUCAGCACACAUCCACAUCUUCACCCUUGCCCUUCCAAGAUUGCAACACAUGUCCACCAUAGCUACUUCAACUCAAAACUUAAAAGGAAAAAAGUGAUCGAACAGAUCAUCAGAAUGGAAUGGAGGUACUCUCUAAAGUUCAAGUAACCAUUGUCUUUGAUCGUCAAAUUGUUUGGUUAUCUAUUGAUGAUGUGCUUCAACUUUCAGGACUUGAAAGAACUUGUCAGAAAAAAAACAGGGACCUCUUUUAGUUCUUACGGAUUGCACGAAGGAACCGUAUGCUGGAAGCAAACGGGGUUGACUAUAAGAAACGAAGAGUGAAAGAUGAUAGACAGUAAUGUUUAUAUGGAAAUGAAAUAGAAAUGAAGAAAGAACAGAGAGUGAAAAGAACGAAGAACAGAGAAUGAAUGAAUCUGUUAUGCACAGAGAAGCAGAAGAUGAAUUCUAACACUGUUUUGUUAUUUGCUUUUUGCUUAAUGUUUUCUUUACUCAUACUCUGUUUAUAUGUGUAGCAUUGGAAAGAUACUCUACUAAGAAUAUUCUUCCUUUACACACAAUAUAUAUUGCUAACAGAUUCUCCUUUUGUAACAAACAUACUAACAGCAUUGUAACAAUAUUAAUUGUUGAUCUUCUGACACUUGGCAUCAUUAGGACCGUUGAUAUCUUUACAUGCCCCCUCAAUCGCAGGCUGGGAGGAGCCAAGCAUGAGAUUGGAGCAAUGAUGCUGAAAUAAAGAAAUGGAAAGGCCUUUGGUGAGGAUAUCAGCAAACUGAUCAUUAGAGGAGACAUGCUGGACCAGUAAAUCACCCAUGAUAACCCGCUCCCUAACAAAAUGAUAAUCGAUCUGGAGAUGUUUCAUCCUGGAAUGGAACACUGGAUUGGAAGCAAGGGAGAUAGCAGAAAUAUUAUCACAAUGAAUUAAAGGUGGAAGAAGUAAAGGAAUAUGAAUGUCACAAAGCAGUUGACGAAUCCAGGCAAGCUCUGCAGCAGUGAUAGCGAGAGCGCGAUAUUCAGCCUCCGUAGACGAACGAGAAACAGUAUGUUGUUUCUUAGAAGCCCAAGAAAUAGGACUGGAACCAAAAUAGACAAGAGAACCAGAGACAGACCGGCGGUCAUUAGGAUCUCCAGCCCAGUCGGCAUCACUGUAGGCCUGCAAAUGAAGAGGACCAGGAUGAAAGUGAAGGCCAAGAUGUAGGGUACCUUUGAGAUAUCGCAAAAUGCGUUUGACUGCUACAACAUGAGAGACCAUUGGAUUAUGCAUGAACUGGCAAGCUUGAUUCACCGAAAAAGCAAUAUCAGGCCUUGUGAAAGUGAGAUACUGCAAGGCUCCCACAAUGCUCCUGUAGUGCUGCGGAUUAGAAUAUGGCUGGCCGUCAUCCUUGAGCAGGUGAUGAUGAGGAAGACAAGGAGUAGCACAAGAUUUUGAAUUCUGCAAAUCAACCCUGGCAAGUAAGUCAGUGAUAUAGCUAGUUUGAGACACAAGUAAACCAGAAGGCAGAUAGGAAAUCUGCAGCCCCAAAAAAUGAUGCAAUGGACCCAAAUCUGUGAGGUCAAAUUCCUGAGACAGAGCAGCAAUAACAGAUGAAAAAAGAGAGGAAUGGCUGCCAGUAAGAAUGAUAUCGUCAACAUAGAGGAGCAAGAUCAGAGUGCUAUGAGAAGAGUGCUGAACAAAUAAAGAGGAAUCAGCAAGAGAUGGUUGAAACCCCAAGCUGGGCAAAAAACUGGUGAACCGCUCAUUCCAGGCACGAGGAGCCUGCUUGAGACCAUACAAAGACUUCCUCAGCCGGCAAACAAAAUCAGAGGGAUGAGCCUUACUAACAAAGCCUGGAGGUUGAGUCAUAUAAACCUCCUCAUGAAGAAUGCCAUGCAAGAAUGCAUUCUUCACAUCAAGCUGUCGCAAGGACCAAUUAAAGUGAGCUGCAAGGGCAAGAACUAGACGAACAGUGGUGGGUUUCACCACAGGACUGAAGGUUUCUCCAUAGUCAAUACCCUCCUCUUGACUAAACCCCUUAGCCACUAAUCGAGCCUUAUGGCGAGCUAUAGAACCAUCAGCAUGCUUCUUCAGCCGGUAGACCCACUUACAGCCAACAAGAUUUCUGUCAGGUGGCAAAGCAACAAGGUCCCAAGUACCCUGGGCAUGAAGGGCCUCAAUUUCCUCCUGCAUGGCUGAUUGCCAUUCAACAGUGGCAGAAGCAAUCUUGAAGGAACGAGGUUCAACCUGAGAAAGAGCAAGAGAUGAAACAGUGGCAGAAUAUGCCUUUUUCUUGGAAAUGCCACUUUUAGACCUGGUAGUCAUGGGAUGAAGAUUCAUGGGGGAGAGAGGCAGAACUACACACAGGCGCUCAGGGUGGAAGUCUGGAUCCACGGGGAGAGGAGAAUGUGCAGGGGAGUGCAAGUCAGAUGAGGGCUGUAAAGACAGACCAGGUGACAAAGAAGGUAAUGAUGCAGAAGGAGUAGAAGAAAAGGAAGGAGAGGAAGAAACAAGAGGCAAAACAGAGUUAUGAAGAGAGACAGAUGGGGAAGAAGGAGAGACAGCAGACACAUGCAGAGAAGGAGAGACUGCAGGCAUAGGCACAGAGAUAUAAGGAAACAAUGAUUCAUCAAAGAGGACAUGGCGAGACACAAAGAUGCGAUUGGUAUGAAGGGAAAAACAAAUAUACCCUUUAUAUUGGCCGGCAUAGCCUAAAAAGAUGCAAGUGGAAGUUUUUGGCUGUAGUUUAUUAGUGUUGUAAGGCCGAAGUAAAGGGAAACAAGCACAACCAAAGAUGCGCAAGUGAUGGAUGACAGGGGAAGAACCAUACAGCAAGAAAAAAGGAGAUUUCAGCCGUAGAAUUUGACAAGGCAAUCUAUUAAUCAAAUAGAUGGAAGUAGCACAAGCAUGAAACCAGAAUUUAUUAGGGAGAUGGGCAGUUUGUAACAAAGUGAUGGCGGUUUCCACAAUAUGUCUAUGCUUUCUCUCAGCAAGACCAUUUUGUUCAGGGGUAUAGGGACAUGACAUUUGAUGAACAAUACCCUUGGUAUGAAGAUAGUUUUUGAAGUUGGUGCUAAUAUAUUCACCACCUCCAUCACUUUGAAAGAUCCUAAGUGUAGCAGAAAAUUGAGUAACUAAAAAUGUAUGGAAAUGGACAAAAAUAGAAUAAACCUCUCCUUUAUUGAUCAUUGGAAAAAUCCAAGAGUACCGUGUACAUUCAUCAACAAAACUAACAUAAUAUCUAAAGCCAUCAACAGACAUUACGGGUGCAGGGCCCCAAACAUCACUAUGUAUGAUUUCUAAAGGGUGAAUGGACUUAAUUGCUGGAUAUGGAAAAGGAAGCUUAGUAAUUUUGCCCUCUAAACAAGUGGUACAAACAGACUUGGUAGGAUCUGAAGUGAAGGGAAUCUGAGACUGAGUGAGAAGAGUGGACGUGAUGCUAUUAGAGGGAUGACCAAAUCGCUUGUGCCAAAGACUGGUUUGAACCUGUUGACCAAGAUAGCAAGACUGAUUACGAUGGGAAGCUAAUGCAAGUUGAAAAGGUGUGUGGGAACGAGAAGAAACAGAAAAAGGAAUAGGAUAUAAACCAUUACUACACAGGCCCUUGAGAAGGACAUUCCCCGUGAUUUUGUCCUGAAUCCAAAAACCAAAGUCAUCACAAAUAAAUCGACAAUGAUUAUCUUUACACAGCCUAUAAACUGACAGCAGAUGUUGAGAUAGCUUAGGAACAUGCAACACUUGGUGUAAUUGUAAGGAGCAUUGUGGAAUAGGCAAAACAGAAGAGCCAAUACUAGAAAUGCUCAAACCUGAACCGCCUGCAGUGGUAAUAGCAUCAGGACCAGAGUAAGAAGUAGCCUCCUGAAGGUGAGACAAAUCAGAUGUCAUAUGAGCUGUGGCGCCAGUAUCAGCCACCCAAAAUGGUUCAGGAGGUGGAGGAAAGGUAGCAGCCAUAGCACUGAGAUUGAUGGAAGGAGGACGGCCUUGAUAGGAGAAGUUGCCUCUAUGAUAACAUUGGAUGGCAGAAUGCCCAUAUUUCCAGCAAAUUUGACAUUGAACAGAAGAGGUAGGGGCUGAGGAUUGGUUGUGACGUUGAUAACAAUCAGCAGCAACAUGACCUCUCUUACCACAGAUUUGGCAAGUAGGCAUAUCAGUUCCAGGACCAAGAAUACCAGGAUUAGAGCUUGGUUGAGCAGGAUAAUGUCGUUGGCCAGAUUGGAAAGUAUGGCGACCUCUACCACGGCCCCUAAACUGAGAGCCACGGUGGUGAAAAUAACCACCAGUUUUAUGACCAUUGAAACCACUCUGAUAGCCGUUAGAACCUCCAUGGAAGCCAGAGGAAAAUUGAGAAGAUGGAGCUGACUUGAAGUUGGAAGAAAGAGGAUUAGAAUUACCUUCAUCAAGAACCAGAGCCUUGCCUUGAGACACUUGAUUCUGAACGUGCAUAGCAGAGACAAAUGGAGAAGAGGAAUGGGUCUGCUCAAUAAUAGCUUCUUCAGCAAGCAAUUGAGAGCGAAAAUCUUUAAGAGAUAACACAUUAUCUCUGCCUCGAACCAUACAUCGGAAUGUGUUAUAGUCAGAAGAAAGGCCAUUGAGAGCCAAGAUCACAAUAUCCUCAUCUUCAAAAUAAACUCCAGCGGCAGAGAGAUGGUCACGGGCAUCUUUGAUUCUCUGCAGAUACUGAGACACAGGUUCUGAACCUUUCUUGAUAGUUUGAAGUUCACUCUUCAUUUGAAAGAUUCUUGCCUUGGUUACUGUAGAAAAACGAUCCUGCAAUUGAACCCACAUAUCAUGAGAACUGAUGCAGCCAAUGACAUAGGAAAUGGCAGUAGAAGAAAGAGUUGCAAUAAGUAGCUGCAUCAGUGCUCUGUCAUGCAUUUUCCAAAUCUGAUGAUCAUCAGAUUCAACACCCUCAAUAUCGGAAUCUGUAUCAAAUCGACUUGGACAUUUUCUGGAACCAUCAACAAAUCCUAGAAUUCCAUGACUUUCAAGAAGAAUUUUCAUUUGAAAUUGCCAGACGAGGUAGUUUGUAUCGUCAAGCUUCACUGUUAUAGCAGUAGAGAUUGCAGGAAGCAGAGAAGUGAUAGGAGAUUGAAUAAUCUGAAGUUGAGAGCUAGUCACCAUUUUAGAAUGUAGGAGAAAGCAGAAAAUUGAAGAUUAUAAUGUUCGGUGAAGUAAUAGAAAACUGGAGUUUUGAAGAAGAGAAUCAGUGAGGCAAUAUAUCAAAUAGCUGAUAGGCACAUCAAUAAGUGCACAAGAAUUUUAUGAAGAGGAUGAGAGUAAAGCCAAAAUUCAGAAGUUAAUGGCCACAAGAUCAAGAGUUCCAGUGCUCUGAUACCAUGAUAGACAGUAAUGUUUAUAUGGAAAUGAAAUAGAAAUGAAGAAAGAACAGAGAGUGAAAAGAACGAAGAACAGAGAAUGAAUGAAUCUGUUAUGCACAGAGAAGCAGAAGAUGAAUUCUAACACUGUUUUGUUAUUUGCUUUUUGCUUAAUGUUUUCUUUACUCAUACUCUGUUUAUAUGUGUAGCAUUGGAAAGAUACUCUACUAAGAAUAUUCUUCCUUUACACACAAUAUAUAUUGCUAACAGAUUCUCCUUUUGUAACAAACAUACUAACAGCAUUGUAACAAAAUUAAUUGUUGAUCUUCUGACACUUGGCAUCAUUAGGACCGUUGAUAUCUUUACAAAAGAGUCAUUUGCUUCGAUUCCCUUGAUCAAAAUCUGUUGCGUUCGAUGGCCUUUAUUUUUUCUCUAGGAUUGGUGGAGUGUGCUAAGAAGAUUGAAGGUGGUAAGUUGGAUGCUGCUGAUUCACUUUUGGCAGUAAUUCAAUCUCUAGCUUCUAAAGAAGCCAGCACAUCGACGUGGAAAGUUUUCAAAUACUGUGCUGAGGCUCUUGUCCGGCGAGCCUAUGGAAUUCGUCCUCCAUGUCCUUCACCCUUUGUACCUUUUCUAUACGAACACGAAUACAAAUUCGAUCCUCUCUACUUGUUUGAUGCAAUCACCAGUGAACAUGCCAUUGCUGAUGCCUUGAAUCCGAUAAACGACUCCACAUUGUUGACGUCUCCAUCCUGUUCGAUUUUCCGAGGUGGAAUUCCUUAAUUGUUGAUCGAAAAAAGCAGUACGGCCUACAAUCAGUCCUAAUAACCAGUAUCGCACCGAAACUGUCAAAACAGGACUAUCUCCGUCAAAACUGGGAACGGGCUCGGAACAACAAUAUGGAAUUGAGGCAAUUGAUAUGGAAUAGUCCGGAUGAUAUUGUCAAUUGUAUUUCCAAACUCAGAAGGAAAAGGGAGGAUGAGAUGCUGGUUGUGAAUUGGGAUUUUAUACUCCACAAAUUGCUUGCGCGGGAUGGGGCAAUGGAGCAAGUGCUUUCAAAAGUGAAGGAUUUUGGAGCGGACAUCAUGGUAAUUGUUGAGCAAGAAGCCAAUCUUAACAGUGAUGUUCUUUCGGAGCGGGUCGAACAAUCAUUCCAAUACUACUCCACUAUUUUUGAGUCACUGGAAACGUCUCAUACCCCUGUGUUAUGGGAGACGUAUUUCAGGCGACAGAUUGGGAAUGUGGUGGCAUAUGAGGGCGUUGACCGGGUCGAGCGGAUUGACUCAUUUGCUCAGUGGCAAAAUCGCCACUCUCAGGCUGGGUUUUGUCCAGUUCCUCAACAGGUAGACAAGUCUAACAAAUAUCUUCGACGCUAUUUAAAUGAACAUGGAAUCGAAGAGGAGGAAGGGCAUCUCCUGCUACUUUGGCACAGUUUUCCGGUAGCUGUAGCCUCAGUUUGGAAGUUCACUGGUCCACCUCAAUUCAGUGGCGGUGAAUAAUCCAAUUCCAUCCUUUCCUUGCUCUUCUCUUGUUAAACUAUUUAUCCGUCAAAAAAUUCGCUGUGUGUAUUUUCACUUUAGGCUACUGGAAAAACAUGUUGACAGGUCCUUACAUAAUGCAAGAUACAGUUGAUGACUCAGAAGGGAUGGCGAGCGCCUCUGAGUCUGAGGAUGAUGAAGAAAAUGAUUCUCUAGUUUCCAUAAUUGCAGAAAGAGACUUACGGUCCGCACAGGUAUCGUUCUUUGUUUUAUCUUUAUGGCAUGGGGAGAUAGCAACAACUUCAAAUGCUUUAGACAAGAAUUAGAAACUUGCAAUAUAAUUCUUGCUCUGAUAAAUGGCAAAAAAACAAUCUAAAAGAGUUUGAUCCACAGGAUUUGUGAUAUACUCUAUUUUUUUUUUUUUUAAUCUUUAUGCCAUUAUUGGUGUCGAAGAUCUCACAGGACUCUUCAAUGAAUCGAAUAGCUGCUUCAGCUAAGUUUUUGGACAUAUUGGAAUAUACAUGUGAUCUACAUAGGUUACCGCUGGCUGUGACAUGGAUUUCAUAUGGCCAAAAUGGUAAUACAAAUUCAAAGGGAAAACGUAUUCUAUGUAUUGAUGAUAGCGCUUGCUAUGUAAAUGAUUGGUUAAGGCAAACAUUUAUGUAUGAAUAUGCACGGCAUCGUCUCGAGGAAGGACAAGGUAUCGCCGGAAAAGCACUCCAAUCUAAUAGUCAUAUCCAGCAUGACAUUAAUGCUGCUUUUGCUAUAAGGCUAACAAGUACCCACUCUUGCAAGGAUGAUUACGUAUUGGAAUUUCAUCUCCCUAGAAGCAUGAAAGAGGCUUCAGAACUAGAACUUUUGAUAAAUAAGGUCUUGCGUACAUUGCAGAGGAAAUGUUUAAAGUUGUGGAAAGUUUGGGUGAGAGAACUAAAUGAGGCGAGUGGCUCUGAAGAUAGAUUGGAUAUUGAAAGAAUGCCAAGCAUCCCACAUGAAGCUGUUUCUAGGGUUUUUCAAUUGCCAUCAUCUGAUGGUGUUGUAGAAGGAAAUGGAUUCAUGACAUUGAACCCAACCAGCAAUCAAGCAGAAGAAACACGCGAGCCUCUUGAACAUGUGCUCUUCUAUACUGAAUUCAUGUCAUCUUUUUCUUGAAGAAUGAGUUGAUUGCUAAGCAUUUUGAAUUUUUUUUAAAAAAUUUAAUUUUAUUUUAUUUUUAUAUCAAUUUUGAUUUUGAUUUUUAUAAUUAUUAUUUAUUUAUUUUUAUAAUUUUUUAAUUAAAAUUUUUUAUCUAUCAUAUUUGAUCUUCAUUCUCAUUUAUUCUCAUUUAACUUUUUAAUUUGUAAAAUUAAUUCCUCAUUAUUUUAAUAAACUUGAAAUAAAAUAAAUAUUAAUAAGUUAUUUUCCAGUUUUUUUUUUCAUAAUAUAGUGAAAUACCAGAAAAUAUUUUUCAAUUUAUAUUUCAUCACACCAUGAAACUCUAAAAAAUAAUUUAAUUUUUAAAAAUUUAUUUUCUAAAAACAAAUUACAUACAAUAAGAAAUUCUAGCAAGCUGUGGUACCUAGAGAAUUGAAUUCUAGGUUAUUUAGAUUAAAAAAAACCCUUUAAAUUAACUCAUUUUCAUCUAAAAACAUUUUUAAAAAACCUUUAAUAAGUUUAAAAAUAAAAAUCAAAUAUAAAAAAUUUACUUGUGAUUCGCUACAAAAUAUACUAGCCAGCAGAAUUGGGUUCAAGGUUAUUUAGACCCAAAAACUCUAAAUCAUCUGCCUUGUCAGAUGGACAGAAAAGACCCUCUGUUUUGGAUUGACACCCAUCAUGUGUCCAAUCAUAGCCUUCUAUGUGGCAGAUUUCCUUCCGCAGAUUGUGCAAGGGGUGGAAUAAUUAUCAUGUUGCCAAUAUCCUACUUCCCUAUCUCUUGACAGGACGUCCAAGAACAAUCUGCUAUACCCGCACCUGCUCUGAAUGGUGAGAAUUCAUUGCCCAGUGUAGAUGGUGGCCUCCAGAGUACUAAUAAACGAAGAAAGAUAUCAACUGUGUGGGACAGGUUCGUUAAGCAUCGGGGAGAAAAUGGGGAAGUAUGGGCCACAUGCAAGUAUUGUAAGAAGAAGCAUAGAGCAGAAAGCAAAAGAGGAACUUCAAAUUUGCACAAGCACUUAAAAAAUUGUUCGCCAAGCAGACAGGACGAAGCAGAGCAGCAAAUUUUGGUUGAGACAGGUGACUUGAGUACUAGCGUCAUCCAAAGGAAUUUUGUCAUAGAUCAAGAAAGAAGUCGUGUAGACAUUGCGACAAUGAUGAUUAAGCAUGGAUAUCCCUUGACUAUGGUUCAACAUGAGUUUUUUGUGAAGAAUUUUCAGCCAGCGUUUCAACUUUAUUCAAAAGACGUAGUUGAAGCUGAUGUCCUUGCUAUUUGCAGACAAGAGAAGGAGAAACUCAUCAAUUUUUUUGAUAAGCUCUCUUGUCUCUUCAGUUUAACACUUGAAUUGUGGUCAUCUACUGACAAAAUGAUGACCUACUGUUGCUUCACCGUGCACUUCAUUGACGAUGGAUGGCAGCUGAAGAAGAAGAUUCUUGCUUUCAGGAACUUACGGUACAACUAUGACAUGGGGACUGUACAUGAAGUCUUUAAAAGUGUGCUUACAGAGUGGAGCAUCAACAAGAACGUUCGCUUCAUAUUCCUGGAUAUAACUCCAAAGGAUCACAUGAUUGGAGAAUUAAGAAGUAAGGUUUCUGAUCAAGCCCCACCUAUCCAUGGACAUCUUUUCUGUGUUCCUAGUUAUGCCCACAUUCUCAGUCUCCUUGUUCAAGAUGGAUUUUCUGAGAUAAGGAGUGUGCUAUAUAAGAUAAGAGAAUGUAUAGAGUACGUCAGAGGAAGCUCACUUAUAAGGCAGAAGUUCCAGGAGGCAAUUAAUAAUGGGAGUUUGCAGGACAGGGAAAUGCCUACUCUAGAUGUUCCCGCGAGAUGGGACACCACCUUUCUUAUGCUGGAGAGUUCAUUGGAAUUUAUAACAGCUUUUAAUCACCUAGAGCAAUUGGAUGAUGAUUUCAAAGUGAAUCCAUCUGCGGAAGAAUGGAACAAAGCAACAGCCGUAUUUGAGUGCUUGAAAGAGUUCUACAAGUCAACAUGCAAUUUUCCGACAAGCAGAGAUGAUUAUUUCCUCAGUGUUCGUGAUGUUUAUAAGAAUUUGCAAGGCUGGAAACAGAGCGAUUAUGUAUAUGUUCGCGCUAUGGCAAAUAGAAUGAAGGGAAAAUUUGACGAGUAUUGGGGAGAAGCUAGCUUGGCUUUGGGAAUCUCAGCAGUUCUUGACCCGAGCUAUAAAUUGGACAUAAUUGAGUAUGGCUACCGGCAGAUAUACGGCAGUGAUGCUGACUUGCACUUAUCCAGAUUCCGUUACGAUCUUACAUGUGCAUACCAUAAAUAUGCAAAGGACAUCAGCAAUCAGGGACCAUCUUCUUCUGCCAUGGCUGAAGUGGGUCGUUGUACAUCAUCUGAUAUUAGUUUCAAAGAGUGGCGCAAGGGUAAGAACGAACGCAACAUGGUGCCCUCACAAUGGAAUGAGCUUGAUCAGUAUCUACAACUGCCCCCGGAGAACUUGGAUAAGGAUGGUAACGUAUUAGCUUGGUGGCAAGACAAUGCUCCAAAUUUUCCAAUACUGGGAAAAAUGGCUCGUGAUUUCUUAGCAAUUCCAGUAUCAACUGUCAUUUCCAAGUCAUCAGAGGUUAUGAAGAUGGCAUCAGUCCAUGACGGUGUUCGUCCUGAGAUAGCUGAGGCUUUGAUAUGUGGAAAGGAUUGGUUGGACAGCCCUAACUGCAAGUUUUCCUUUUUCUUUUUGCUCUAUUUAAGUGUGAUGCGUUUAUAUCUCUGCUAUCUGUUUAUUUAUUUCUUCUUCUUCUUCUUUUCUUCAGCAAUUGAUCCAUGUUUGGAUCCUCACUGGUAGUUGCUAGUACUGUGAAAUAAGUUUUUCCCAGGUAAACACUGGCCUUCUCUUUUAUUUCCAAGAACAAGAUUUUGUCUGCAGAGUGAAAAAUCAAAAUGCGCAUAUAAUCUGCAGUCUGCAUGAACAUUAAAACUAGGCUGGAAAGUAAUUCUCAAAUGAAAACAAAUAACAAGUUACAUUAUUUUUCUGUGCCGCAGGGUCAACCAGGCUGAGCAAAUCUGACUUGGAUGCUGUAGAAGAAUAGUACUGGACACAAGAACCUGAAGUGACGAAGACUUAUUUUUUGCUUAAUUUUAUCAUGAAUUUGAAAAUAAAAAAAAUCUUGAUCUAAAAAAUGAUUUGAAACUACUUUUUUAAUGCGUUUUAAAAAUAUAUCUGUAUCUCCGUGAAAAAACAUGAAAUUAAUGUUUUCUAGUAUUAUUUGAUGGUUUUAAUAUUCCAUAUCAAAAAUAUAAAAAAUAUAAAAAAAUUAUUUUUAACAUUAAUCCAUUAAAUACAAUCUAAUUAAUUUAGUUUUAUAAAUAUGACCAUGACCUAGACAGUUGCCUGCGUACUUUGGUAAACAAUUCAGGUAAUUUCAGCCCAUUGAAAAGUCCAUUUAAAAAACAUUAUAUGACUAUGCUUAAAAAACACUAGGCCUCGAUCAACUAUCACUUAAAACAAGCUAUCAAAUCUAGAUCAAACUUUAUAAUAAAGUAUUUUGUAUUUUAAGAUACUAUGUUGAUUAAAAUUUCUCAUUCCUUGCAAAUAUUUAUUUGCAUUCACCAAAAUAAUUAAUAUGUGAAACAAAUUUAGGUAGCAUCAUACAUGAAUUCUCUUCAUUUCACACCAGCAAAAUUAUGUUUGCAUUAUUUCACCUAUGAUUAUGUUAAUCAUAUUUACAUUAAUCUUUUUAAUUUUCUUUGUACCUAUUUUUAUAAAUGUCUUAUGAUAGUCACUAAUUUAUUUUAAAGAUUCGUUAGAACAUAUAUUUGAAUAUAAAUAACAGUAUUCAAAACUAACAACGUAAAUAAGAUUUAUAAUUUGAAUAAUAGAAGAAGAAAGAUGCAGAAAUUAAAAGGUUAAAUUAUUCAAAAUCAUUUUAAAUUCUUGGUCAAUACUUUACCAAAUCCAAACCAUGUCCGGUCAUGUUCCUUCCAAAUCCCAAAACUCUGUUAGUCAAUAGUUUACCAGAACUGUAUAUGGACAUCUGUAUUCGGAAGAAUUAAUGGAAGUAGGGAUAUUAACGAGGUGCAUGCCUAGGAGGGCGCUGAAGGAGAGGCCUCGAAUCAUAGAUUGGGCUAUGAAUUCCAUCCAGCUCUAAUGGCUAUGCUCUUAGUACUGCUUACAAGCUUCCACAGCUUAGCAGUGAAGUCGAAUAAAAAUCACUAAUAUACAUAAACUGAGGUCAUUAUACUUUUCCUUUGUUUUCUAGAUGACUCGGUUGCCACUGAGAAUUGGGUAUAAAAAUGACUCUCCAUUUGUGAAAAAAGAAAACUAAAAAAAAAUGUUUUUUAUUUCUAAACACACCUUAAUCCUUUCAUAUUGCUAUUAUAGUUGUUAAAUCUAAUUUAACUUGGUAGCUAGACUAGGAUAGAAGAGCUGAUCUAGAUUCAUUUUUAGUUAAACAAAACAAGACAUUAGCAUGUUAAAUUGACAUGACAUGACUUGGUUUUUAGUAAUUUUAAUUGACUCGGUCACAUCCAAUUCAAAAUCAAUUGGGUCAAUAUUUUAUAAAUAAAAAAAAAGUUAUUUAAAUAAAAAUAGUUGAUUCAUAUGUUGAUCUAAUGAUUUUGUCACAAGUUGAUCUAAUGAUUUUGUCACAAAUGGACAUCCUAGCGUGUGAGAAAUAGAUAAAAAAAAAAUUAAAAAAACUUGUCAUGUAGUUUUAUAAUAACUAAAUACAUUAACUAGUUUUUUUUUUUAUAAUUUCUAGUUAAGAAGGUUGAUUAUAUAACAAUAAAAAUAGAUACCAUUUUAUAUAUUAUAUCUAAAGUACACUGCAUUGUUGUUUAUUUUUAAUUAAAAAUAUAUUUAAAGUGCCUUUGAAAAUAUUUUUAUGAAAUGAUUUUAGUAUCACUUCUACAGAAUAAAUCUCAUUAAGAGGUUAUUUAUCCUAUAUUGAUCAAUAGAUAAUAAAAUUAUGAUAAAAAUAAAAAUUCAGUAUUUGCUGAUAAUAAAACACUUUUCAGUCAAAGGAAAAUUUAGCUUGGUUUCUAAGAAAGUGUUUUCCUUUUAUUUUGGACGAAAAAUACUUUUCAGAAGUUGCGAAAAAAUUAAAAAUAUCAUAUUAUUUAUUGAUUAUAUCAAAUUUGAUCCUCAAACUUUUGAUUGCUAUAUAUAUUUUUUGUUUUCAAUUUUUUUUUUAAUUUUAUCCCUUAGAAUUUGAUUUUUAUAUUAACUUUAGUCCUCAUUUUUAUGAUUGUUAUUGACUUUUCUCUUAUCAUUUUUUUAAUUAAAAUUUUUUAUCUAUCAAAUUUGAUCCUCAUUAUUUUGAUUGUUACUUAUUUUAUUUGAAAUAAUUUAUGAAAUUGUAAUUAUUAUUAUUUUAAUUUUAUCAUAUUUUAAUUUUUUUAUUUGUUAGAUUUGAUCUAUAUUAUUUUGAUUAUUAUUUAUUUUAUCUGAGAUAAUUUAUGAAAUUAUAUAUUUUUUUUCAAUUUCAUUCUCAUUCAACCUUUUAAUUUAUAAGAUUUAUUUUUUAUUAUUUUAAUAAACUUGAAAAAAAGGUAAUAAUAACAAUAAAAAAAAUCACUUAUUUUCUAUGAUAUAACUAAACUCUGGAAAAUAUUUUCCAACUUAUUUUUCAUAAUACUAUCAAACAUAAAAAAAUAAUUUACUUUUAUAGAAUUCAUUUUUCAAAAAAAUUAUUUUCCAGUAAACCAAGACACUUAAUACCACCUUUUUUUUGUGAAAAUUGUUACAUGAUAUUAUCAAACCCCACAUAGUAUUUGCUGCUGCUGUGAAUGCUGGUGGUGAUGGAGGCAGAACUUGCAGGAUGUUGAUAACAUUUUCUUUAUGCUCUCUUGCUUUUCAUCAAAUCGAUUUUGUCCUUUGCAAAUUUCUUGAAUAUUGAUUUUUUUAUCGAUUUAUUUUUUAAAUUUUUUAAAUUUUAAAUAUUAUUAAAUUCAAUAAAAUAUACAAUUUAAAUUAUAAAUUUAAUAGAUUCAUCGAGAUUAAUUCAAUAUAUCUCUAAGAAAAAAACAUUUUAUAAUUUUUUUAUUUCAAAAUUUUUUGGUAUAGUAUAGUGAGAGAAGUAACCUAGUUGAUAUUUAAACAAUCUCCUAUCAUUAAAUUCGAUUUCAAGCUGAAAACAACUCUAACCAAACAUCAUAAACAGCUCUAAAAUUAUAUUUUUCCACAGACAAUUUUGACAUGUAACCCCCGACCUCUAAGUAAAUGACAGCAUCAUUUUGCAGCACAAUCCUAUCCAGUCAUGACAGAUGGGCUUAGAAAAUGGAAUUUACAAAGCAGAGGAAAAGGCAAGAAUACCAAUUCUCAAUCAAUGGGUCCAUUGCUUAGGUCCCUCCAUCGUGAUUCUGUAAGAUUUUUCCUUUGAUUUCUAAGAACCACACAAACCAUCUCAACACACGUCGUCCACAUCUUCACUCAUGCCCUUCCAAGAUUGCAAAAGAUCUGAAUGGAAUGGAGGUCCAAUUGAAUGACACUAUCUUUAAAGUGAACUGCAGGUUCCACGAAGGAACGUAUGCUGGAAGCAAACGGGGUUGACUAUAAGAAACGAAGAGUGAAAGAGUCAUUUGCUUCGAUUCCCUUCAUCAAAUCUUGUUUCCUUCGAUGGCCUCUCCCCUGUCUUGCGUGUUGAUGGUGUGUGCUAAGGCGAUUGAAGGUGAUCGCUUGGAUGUUGCAGAUUUUCUUUUGGCAGAAAUUCAAUCUCUAGCUUCUAAAGAGGAGAGCAUAUGGACGAGGAAAAUUGUCAAAUACUUUGCUGAGGCUCUUGUCCGGCGAGCCUAUCGAAUUCGUCCUCCUUGUACUUUUCCCUUGCUACUACCCGGAUACAUGUAUAAACCUUUCUGCGAGUUUGCUAGAAUCACCAGUAAACAUGCCAUUGCCGAUCAUGCCUUGAAUUCGGGAAAUAAAGGACUCCACAUUAUUGACUUCUCCAUCAAGUUCAAUUUUCGGCAGUGGAAAGAUUUAAUUGAAGACCUCAAAAGGCAGUAUGGUGGCCUACAAUCUGUCCUGAUAACCAGUAUCGCACCGAAACUGUCAAAACACUCUUACCAUCUCCGUCAAAACCGGGAAUGGGCUGAGCACAAAAAUUUGGAAUUGAGGCAAUUGAUAUGCAAUAGUCCGGAUGAUAUUGUCAAUUGUAUUUCCAAACUCAGAAGGAAAAGGGAGGAUGAGAUUGUGGUUGUGAAUUGGAAUUUUACACUCCACAAAUUGCUUGCACAAGAUGGGGCAACGGAGCAAGUGCUUUCAAAAGUGAAGGAUUUGGGAGCGGACAUCAUGGUAAUUGUUGAGCAAGAAGCCAAUCUUAACAGCCCUCAUCUUUCGAAGCGGCUCGAACAAUCAUUCCAAUACUACUCCCCUUGUUUUAAGGCACUGGAGGAAGAUUGUGAUAGACAUGUGUUCAUGGAGAUGUAUUUCAGGCGACAGAUUGGGAAUGUGGUGGCAUGUGAGGGCGUUGACCGGGUCGAGCGGAUUGAGUCAUUUGCUCACUGGCAAAAUCGCCUAUCUCAGGCUGGGUUUUGUCCAGUUCCCCAACAGGUAGACAAGUUCGAUGAAGAGUUUGUAAUCGAAGAGAAUGAAGGGCAUAAUAUCUUGCUAAGUCGGCACGGUUGUCCGCUAGCUGUAGCCUCAGUUUGGAAGCUCACUGAUCCACCUCAAUUCAGUGGCGGUGAAUAAUCCAAUUCCAUCUUUUCCUUUCUCUUCUCUUGUUAUACUAAUUUAUCCAUGAAUAAAUUCGUUGUGUGCAUUUUCACUUUAGGCUACUGGAAAACAUGUUGACAGGUCUUUACACAAUGCAAGAUACAGUUGAUGACUCAGAAGGGAUGUCGAGCUCCCCUGAGUCUGAGGAUGAUGAAGAAAAUGAUUCUCUAGUUCGCAUAAUGGCAGAUAGAAACUUAUGGUCCACACAGACACAGGUAUCCUUCUUUGUUUCCGAGAUUUAACAAAUUUCCUAGUUUUAUCUUUAUGCCAUUAUUGGUGUCGUUGAUCUCACAGGGCUCUUCAAUGAAUCGAAUAGCUGCUUCAGCUAAGUUAUUUGACAUAUUGGAAUAUAUAUGUGAUCUACAUAGGUUAGAACUGGGUGUGACAUGGAUUUCCUAUGGCCAAGAUGGUAAUACAAAUUCAAAGGGAAAGCGUAUUCUAUGUAUUGAUGAUAGCGCUUGCUAUGUAAAUAAUUGGGUUAUGGCAAAAUUUGUGGAUGAAUAUGCACGACAUCGUCUCGAGGAAGGACAAGGUAUCGCCGGAAAAGCACUUCAAUCUAAUAUUCAUAUCCAGCAUGACAUUUACUUGCUUGAUCCAUCUGAAUUCCCUGAUUCCUGUUCCUUCAGUAGCUCUUGGAUCAGAAAAUGGUAUGCUGCUUUUGCUAUAAGGCUAACAAGUACCCACCCUUGCAAGGAUGAUUACGUACUGGAAUUUCUUCUCCCUGUAGACAUGACAGACAGAACAGAACUUUUGAUAAAUAAGGUCUUGCGUACAUUGCAGAGGAAAUGUUUAAAGUUGUGGGAAGUUAGUGUCAGAGAAGUAAAUGAGGCGAGUGGCUCUGAAGUUAGAUUGGAUGAUGAAAGAAUGCCAAACAUCCCACAUGAAGAAACACGCGAGCCUCUUGAACAGGUGCUCUUCUAUACUGAAUUCAUGUCAUUUUUUUCUUGAAGAAUUAGUUGAUUGAUAUGUAUUUUGUAUUGUAAUUUUUUUAAUUUUAUUUUUAAAAUUUUAUUUAAUUUAAUUUUUAUAUCAACUUUAAUCUUUAUUUUUAUAAUUAUUAUUUAUUUUUCUCUUAUAAUUUUUUUAAUUAAAAUUUUUUAUUUAUUAUAUUGAAUUCUUAUUUUCAUUUUUAUUCUCAUUUAACUUUUUAAUUUAUAAGAUUAGUUUCUUAUUAUUUUAAUGAACUUGAAAUAAAAUAAAAUAUUAAUAAAUUAUUUUACAGUUUUUUUUUUAUUUAGCUAAACAUCAGAAAAUAUUUUUCAAUUUAUUUUUUAUAAUACUAUCAAAUAUCUAAAAAUAAUUUAUUUUUCAAAACUUCACUUUUAAAAAAUAAAAAAAAUUACAUUUCAGACAGAGCACACGUGUUGUUUGCUAUAAGAAAUUCUAGCCAGCUCUGGUACCUAGAGGAUUGGAUUCUAGGUUAUUUAGAUCCAAAAACAUCAAAUUAACUCAUUUUCAUCUAAAAACAAUAAAAAAAACCUUUUAAUGAGUUUAAAAUUAAAUAUCGAACUAAAUAAAAAAAAUCUACAUGUGAUUCGCUGCAAGAAAUUCUAGACAGCAGAAUUGGGUUCAAGGUUAUUAAGACCCAGAAACUCUAAAUCAUCUGCUUUGUCAGAUGGACAGAAAACACCCUCUGUUUUGGAUGGACACCCAUCAUGUGUCCAAUCACAGCCUUCUAUGUGGCAGAUUUCCUUCCGCAGAUUGCGCAAGGGGUGGAAUAAUUAUUGUUCAGUAGAUAAAUUACAAUUGAUGAUUCGAAUAUAAUAAAAUCCAUUUUGCCUCCGUUUUGCUUUUAUGUUCAACUAUUGAAGAACACACAAUCUGCCAUUAUUAUUGACUGGAAUUGGCCUUCAUGCUGCCAAUAUCCUACUUCCCUAUCUCUUGACAGGACGUCCAAGAACAAUCUGCUAUACCCGCACCUGCUCUGAAUGGUGAGAAUGCAUCGCUUAGUGUAGAUGGUGGCCUCCAGAGUACUAAUAAACGACGAAAGAUAUCAGCUGUGUGGGAAGAAAAUGGGGAAGUAUGGGCCACAUGUAAAUACUGUAAGAAGACGUAUUUUCAGCCAUUGUUUGAACUUCAUUCAAAAGACGAGGUUACAGAUGAUGUCCUUACUAUUUACAGACGAGAGAAGGAGAAACUCAUCAAAUAUUUUGAUAAGCUCUCUUGUCUCUUGAGUUUAUCAAUUGAAUUGUGGUCAUCGAAUGACAAAAUGAUGACCUACUGUUGCUUCACCGUGCACUUCAUUGACGAUGGAUGGCAGCUGAAGAAGAAGAUUCUUGCUUUCAGGAACUUACGGUACAACUAUGACAUGGGGACUGUACAUGAAGUCUUUAAAAGUGUGCUUACAGAGUGGAGCAUCAACAAGAACGUUCGCUUCAUAUUCCUGGAUAUAACUCCUCCAAAGGAUCACAUGAUUGGAGAAUUAAGAAGUAAGGUUUCUGAUCAAGCCCCACCUAUCCAUGGACCUCUUUUCUGUGUUCCUAGUUAUGCCCACAUUCUCAGUCUCCUUGUUCAAGAUGGAUUUUCUGAGAUAAGGAGUGUGCUAUAUAAGAUAAGAGAAUGUAUAGAGUACGUCAGAGGAAGCUCACUUAUAAGGCAGAAGUUCCAGAAGGCAAUUAAUAAUCGGAGUUUGCUGGACAGGGAAAUGCCUACUCUAGAUGUUCCCGCGAGAUGGGACACCACCUUUCUUAUGCUGGAGAGUUCAUUGGAAUUUAUAACAGCUUUUAAUCACCUAGAGCAAUUGGAUGAUGAUUUCAAAGUGAAUCCAUCUGCGGAAGAAUGGAACAAAGCAACAGCCGUAUUUGAGUGCUUGAAAGAGUUCUACAAGUCAACAUGCAAUUUUCCGACAAGUAGAGAUGAUUAUUUCCUCAGUGUUCAUGAUGUUUAUAAGAAUUUGCAAGGCUGGAAACAGAGCGAUUAUGUAUAUGUUUGCGCUAUGGCAAAUAGAAUGAAGGGAAAAUUUGACGAGUAUUGGGGAGAAGCUAGCUUGGCUUUGGGAAUCUCAGCAGUUCUUGACCCGAGCUAUAAAUUGGACAUAAUUGAGUAUGGCUACCGGCAGAUAUACGGAAGUGAUGCUGACUUGCACUUAUCCAGAUUCCGUUACGAUCUUACAUGUGCAUACCAUAAAUAUGCAAAGGACAUCAGCAAUCAGGGACCAUCUUCUUCUGCCAUGGCGGACGUGAGUCGUUGUACAUCAUCUGAUAUUAGUUUCAAAGAGUGGCGCAAGGGUAAGAACGAACGCAACAUGGUGCACUCACAAUGGAAUGAGCUUGAUCAGUAUCUACAACUGCCGCCACCAGAGAACUUGGAUAAGGAUGGUAACGUAUUAGCUUGGUGGCAAGACAAUGCUCGAAAUUUUCCAAUACUGGGAAAAAUGGCUCGUGAUUUCUUAGCAAUUCCAGUAUCAACUGUCAUUUCCAAGUCAUCAGAGGUUAUGAAGAUGGCAUCAGUCCAUGACGGUGUUCGUCCUGAGAUAGCUGAGGCUUUGAUAUGUGGAAAGGAUUGGUUGGACAGCCCUAACUGGAAGUGAGGUUUCCUUUUCUUUUUGCUCGAUAUUUAAGUGUGAGCUAUCUGUUUAUUUAUUUCUUCUUCUUUUUUCUUCAGCGAUUGAUUCAUGUUUGGAUCCUCACAGGUAGUUGCUGGCCUUCUCUUUUAUUUCCUAGAACAAGAUUUUGUUUGCAGAGUGAAAAAAUCAGAAUGCGCAUAUAAUCUGCAGUCUGCGUGAACAUUAAAACUAGGCUGGAAAGUAAUUCUGAAAUGAAAACAAAUAGCAAGUGACGUGAUGUUUUUAAUUAUGAGAAAGAAGGUGAUGGUGCAUACAGGUAAAUAAUUUUCAAGUAUUCCAUGUAUAAUUUCAAUGCUUAAUUACUGAAAAUUCAGUGAUAAUAAAAACCAGCACUUCGAUUCUCCCAUGUGUUAGUUGCAAUCCCGGAGUGAUGUAUAAAAAUGUAUUAAAACAUUCUAAAUCUAGUGGCCUACAUAUUGUGGAAGAUAAUUGAGAUAAUUUGGGCCAAGAACAAAGCCCAGCUAAAAACAUUAUGUGACUAGGUACAGAUCAAUUGUCAUUGAGAGUAGACAUCCAGCAGCUAUAACAAGCUUUCAAGCCCAGAUCAAAUAUUUUAAGUUGUUUAUAAAAAUAUCUCCUACUUGCAAAUAUUUAUUUGUUUUCACCAAAAUAAUUAAUAUGUGAAGAAAAAAAUUUAGCUAGAAUUAUACAUCAAUUUCCUUCAUUUCAGACCAGCAAAAUUAUGUUUGCAUUAUUUUACCUAUGAUUAUGUUAAUCAUAUUUAAAUUAAUCUUUUUAAUAGUAUUUGUAUUUAUUUUUUUAAAACAAAAAUCACAGCGGUGCCCAUCAAAGUAAAAUAAUAAUCAUAAUAAUGAUCAUUAUAUUAUUGUAAAUUAAUUUUUCAGCCCUUACUAAAUAAAAUAAAAAUAUUCGUCUCAUAAUAUCCAUAUCAAAUGUCUUAUGAUAGCCACUAAUUUAUUUUAAAGAUUCAUUAGAACAUAUAUUUGAAUAUAACUAACAUUAUUCAAAACUAACAACCUAUAUUAGAUUUAUAUUUUGAAUAGUAGAAGAAGAAAGAUGUAGAAAUAAAAGGUUAAAUUAUUUAAAAUCAUUUUAAAUUCUUGGUCAAAGUAAUCUAGUCUCUAAACUUUAAUUUUCUUAUUCAAAUAUCAUAAACUAUUUUUUGGUAAAAAAACAAACUUUUUAUUUAUUUAUGUUUUUGUCUCUUAUUUUUUUUUUCAAAUUACAUAUUUUUCCUGAUACCUAUUAUGCUUCUAAAUUAUUACCUGUGAUUGAAAUUAAUAAAAAAAAAUCUUUAAAAACAGUUUAGGUAAUGAAAUUAGAAUAAUAAUAAUUAAAGUACCAUUUGAUCUAAAAUCCCGGAUAAUUUUAACAAUUUAGCCAAAUUGAAAAGAGAAAAACAGAGGACCAUUUGAAAACGUUUCGAAACUUGUACGAAGGUUUUCCUUUCGGUCUUUUUCUCUGGGUGAGAGCAAACCGAGGUAGAGCUCACUUUCCUUAUCCAAAAGAACCACACAGAAAUGCCAGCAACGUAAACAAGGAAACCCCCAAAACCAAAAAGAUUGCAGAUUUCCUUUCUAUCAAAACGAAAAUGCCCCUUCUUCUCUCCAAUCCUCUCACCUCGCUCUCUUCACUUCCCCCCUUUUCAUCUCCAACUUUGGCCUUCAUUGCAACACCAGGUACCCACUUCUUUAGAUUUGUCUCAUGUUUGCAGUUUUUGCUAAUAUGGGCUGUAUCGACGGUGAAUUUUAUUAUUUAUGCUUUUCAGCACUUGUUAGUAUAAGCUUAUUUGAUUUCACUUCAUGCUCGCUUGGCCGUUUCAUCAAACACUUAUCACUUGCUUCCUAAGUUCAACCAGUUCUUGGAUGCUCGUGCUUUCUAUAUUAUUUCUAGGAAGACUGGUCUUUUCUCUGUUAUAACCC